ACCCGUGAGGUACUAGCCUUUUCUGUUUCAGGAUCUUUUGGCAUUGAUCUUAGAGAUGUCAUCUUUGCUGCAGCAUCUGAGAUUCUGGAAAAUUUGUCGAAGCAAGGGCUGGCAUUUGUAAUUAUCUUACGGGGAGUAGGUUUUAUCUUUGAUACUCUCGUUCUUUUAGCAGUUUGUUCAGUAGUUGGGAUCGGUUCACUCAGUUUUUUGCUUCCAAGAAAUCUCCCUGGUUUCUUUUUAACCAGUAGUGCUUCUUUUUCUCUUCUCGCAGAUUAGGGAAUGUUUUCUUCCACAGAACCAAGGCUAAUUAUCUGGAGCAUCAGAAAUCUUUCCUGGAAGUGACUGGAUGUACCCUCUCUAGCCACAGGAGAACGUCCUAAUCUCAAAAUAACAGGGGUCCUCUCUUGGGACUUUGGGGAGGGUGCCUUAGGAGGCGACCUCAUCAUGGAUGCACGCACCAUCUAGGCUGUGGAUUUCUCAAAUUGGCCGGCUUGUUCUGUGGCUCUGAUACGUUCCCGCCGAGCUGCACUUUCUGAGGGAUCCACGCAGCUAGAGUAUUGAAUCAUUACCUCUUUUAGUUCCCCCAGAGCUUUCUGCAUUGCUCUCGAGGGGAGGGGGGAAGAUCUGCUGCUACGGCAUUUUGGGUAGAUGACAGGGCAACUGUCUGAGCCUCGGGGAGUUGAGGGGUUCCAGCUUCUUUCAAUCCUGAGAGGUGUUGCUGUGAAUUUGUUCUAUGUGCAGAUUUUGCCACCCAAAUAGCUUGGGUAGAAGGUCUCAGAGAUCUAGAGUUUUCCUGAUGGUUGUAGGAUCUCGAAAUGCUAGAUGAUUGUGAUCGAUGGUUACCACCAGUGUCGGUAUGGUCUGUAGAGAGGUUCCUUCCUUCCUCGUGGUUCCUUAUAUGAAGAUUUUCCUCUUCCAGAUAAGGAAUGGUACGAACCCGAGUGUGAUUCACAAUUUCCUUUUGAGCUUCCGUAAUGGGAUCCUGACUGAUCUCUCUUAUGUCCAGCGUGGAUCUUUGGGACUCGGCUAUAAGAUUUUGCAGCUCCAUUACCUUUGUUUGUUUGUCGAGCCUGAUUAUCUCCUCCUGAUUUUAUCUGAUUCACCGGAUUUAGGAUGUUUUUUGAGGAGCUUGGACAUUCGGCCUCAUCAUGGAAGAAAGAGAAGCAAAUUUUGCAAUGUUUUGCUAGACGUUCGUAUACCAGUUCAGCUGUUACUUCAUCUCCAUUAUCAAACUCAACAAUGGAAGAGUUAAUGAGGGGUUGCAGACCGUUAAUAGUAACUUUCAUUCUAGCUCUCGUGGUCAGGAUUUCCAUUUCUUUAUAUUGGCAUAUGUUUUUUGCGAGGCUUAACAGGGUUGGUUCCGACCAGAGAUGGCUUGGAAUUCCUUGGAUUUGAAUCCAGAAUGGGAUUUGAGAGGGGAAAGAUCUGGCUACUUUUGGCUCCCACUUCUGAAGAAUAAUCAUCCAAUGUGCAAAGUGGUAAGGUAUGUUAUCCAGAACAGUUUGCAUAUCUUCUUCUAAGAAGAAUUUAAACUGAAACCGCCCUUGGCCUAAGUCAGUUCCAAUAGGUUGAGUUGCAACUCUCCAAUGGUCUGCUAAGAAAGGCAAGAAAGCCCAGAUCUUCUAGAUUUUUGGGUUUGUGAUUCUACCCACCAACGUCAGGGAGUGGCUGCGGAUGAGCUCGGAGUUGUCAAACGGGGGAACCUUUACUCUUUCUGCCCUUGGGGGGUCAGGUUUGUCUGUGUGCCCCUUUCCUUUUUCCUAAUAGGAUAGCCUUCGAAUCAUGAUUUAGAUUCUCUUUCAAAGAAUGGGAUGAAGCCACUUACUUUAGAGCUAGGAGGAGUUAAGUUGGGGUGGAAUUCGUAGAGAGGAUUUGUAACAUUUCUAUCCCAGGCUUCUUAGAAAACCGGAGAAUCGGGUAUAUUAGGACCAUAGUCGUUAUGACCAUAGUCCCUUGGUGAGCCUUAGGUCUGCCAGGAACGAAAACACCCAGGUAACAAUCAAUAACAUAGACUUAGCUAAUCCAUCUAACCUGCAAAACUAGAUAGAGAGAGGGGUAAGUAAUUUGGGAGAAUUACUUAGUGAGUGAGAACCAAACCAGGUUCCCGCCUCAUUCAUUUAUUUUCCACCAACAUAUUAAUAAUAAAUCUAAUGAAACCGAUCAAAGUGCACAAGCAAGUAAUAAAUAUGCGAUGUCUCCGUCCCGCCUACUCAAUAGGCCAAACCACCUUAUCACUCAGACACAGAUCGACAUCUCACCCUGUCAUACAGAUAGAAACCCGGCAUGCCACAUGGACAGCCCCGUGGGUCGUCACUCCACCGAAUAAAUGGAUUAUUUCCACAGUCACACAAACGGCACAUAACCCAGCAAACAAGCCUGCAUUCGGCACAUCGCUUCCAGAAACAGACUAUGACCUUUAGGACUUCUACCAAUCACUAACCAAUCAACAGGGUUAUCAAUCAAUCAUGCUGGUUCUUCCUCUAAUAAGAUCAUAGAUCUUAUUAGUUAUAUAUAUCCAUAUAUAUAUAUAUAUAUGGAUCUGCCUAGAUGCACAUAAAGACAGAUCUGUCCCACCAGAUCUAGACUCAACACACCAGAAGAAAAUAAAGGGAUAAGAAGAAAAACUUAGAUCUAAUCUUCACCCUGGCCUAAGAGCAGAUCUGGACAUCCCACACCAAAACAACGAUAUCUCAUGGCACAGAUCCCCGAUAUUGAUGAACUUGAUCUUCUUAAAAAGCUGACACUCGAGGCUACAGAUUGAUAGGUAUUCUUCGCGUAGAUCUUUACGGUUCGCCGGAAAAACAUCAUGGAAGGUGGCGGCCAGAGAAGAAGAAGAUGAUAAGAGAGAAAGAAGAACAAGAGAUAGACAGUCGAGAGAGAGAGAGAGGAAGAAAGCCACGGUGAGAGAGAGAAAGAGAGGAUGGCGUGGCUGAGAGAAGGAGAAGGAGAGAAAAUGUGGUUAGGUUUGUGUAUCUUAGGAUUAGAAUGAUUAAUUAGAGUUUUAAGAGAUAAGAAGGUUAUUUAUACUUAGCUUUAAUUAGAUGGGCUGGUCUUAAUGGGUUUUUAAAAAAAAAUUAUGAAAAUGUCUAUUAAAAAUAAAUAAGGAAACAUGGUUUAAUUUAAUUAAACCGGAAUUAAGAACUGGUAACAAUCAAUCUUUAGUUAAUCAAAAGUCGGGAUGUUACAGGAUUAGUCUAAGCUUUAACUUCUUUGAUAGAUGUAAGCUGGAUGGCUUCAAAUUUGUAGAUAUUCCUUGAGGGAAUAACUCUAGAUUUUGAGAUAUAGCAAGUGGACUUUACUGACGAUAUUCCUUGAGGGAAUAAAUCUAGCUUUGAGGCACCGUUGAUUGACGGGGAGAGCCCUCGAAGAUGAAAUAUUCUAAAGAGCUGGUUCAGGACACUUUCACUCUGAGAAAACAGGGGAGAGACAAUAUUCCUUGAGGGAAUAACUCUAGAUUUUUCUUUGUUUUCAGGAGUCGGGAGCAACUGAUCUUGAAGGACUUAAACUGAUAUUAGCCUGAAUCUGAGUGUGGUAGAGUUGCAUUUCUAAACCAGAAGUAGAAAGGAAACACUCCGCCUGAUAUUUAGGCCACAAUAAGCCGAGGAGGAAUACCUUGAUGAGAAUGAGGACUAGAGAGGAGGAGUCUUACCGGUGGGAAAGGGCCCUACGACUAAACGCCGGGGGCGAACCCGAUGAGGAGCGGCCCAGGAACGGCAAGAAAUUCAAAAGUUUACUAUUAGAGGUAAAGAAAAAUAUAUAGGAUUUAGAUAAAGUAGAUCUCAGACUAUUAAGGAAAACUUUGAUAAAAGUGCCUGAGAGCGUUUUAGAGCGUCUUUAAUUUUUAGUUUAGUUACGUUCUUGAUUCAAGAAACCAACUUCUACCUCCCUAGACUAACAUCCUAAUCCUCAAUUUCCUUUUGAAAACCCGAAAACUCAAUUAUGAUAUUUGGGGUCGGGCAUUCAGAUAUUUCGGUUCAGAAAUCAGAACUUCCGGUUGUUCAGUUUGAGGAAGAUGAUGCUGACUAAACCGAAACAAACUUGGUUCAGAAGUGACAAACUUCGGUUCUAUUAGAUUCAGUUCUGACUUAAGUUCAGUUUGGUUUUAGUUAAAACUACUGUUGCCAGAUUGGAACCGAAAUUUUUUUUCAGAUAUGGUUUAUGUGACAAAUUUACCGACUCAAUCUAAUUUUAAUAGGGUUCUAAUUUUCAACAAAUGGGUUGAGAAGAUAAAUUCCAUAAAUAUUGUUAGUCCAGAUUUUAGGUGUCAAUAUCAACUAUAAACUUUCGUUUAGUUAAGUCGAAGCUAGAGUGCAAUUAAUAUAUACACAUUUAAUAUUGUAAAUUCAUGAGUUUCAAGGAAGAGUAGAGAAACAAUAAGCAUAUAACUUCGAAGUUCAAACUAAAAAGCUUUAAUAAUUUUGUUCAAAGAUGGGUAAUCUAAUCUUUCGAUAGCUUGAGAGUUGAGAAUUGAUCACUCAUAUUUUGUACGUAUACACUUGAUGCUAUCACUACGAUUCUACGAACAUCAAAGAACAACAACAUGUACUAUACAUAAUACAUGUUCUGAGUUCGAGUAGAGUUUUGACAAAAAAGACCGCAACUACUACCGGUCUCUUAAAAAAUUUCAAAUUUACAGACACAUAAGAGGUACAAUCACACAGAAAGUUUAUUAGGAUCAAGAGUAUUUAAAAAAUUGUUUAAGAAUGGAAAGAGAUGAUUAUACAAAGGGGGAUAUUUUAUUUAUAUGGAAUACUCACAAAUUACAAUGACACUCAAAGUUUUCUCUCAAACUCGAUUACAGGACUUGGCUUGAUUUAUGCAAGCACCCAAGCCUCUUAUUUAUAAUGAUACAAUGGAUACAUAACUUAAGAUUAUUACACACGUGGAUACUAACUUAGAGCUAUUUAGCAUGUGGAUACCUAACUUCCUCAUGCAUAAAUAUUUUAUUCUUUUCUUAUUUAACAUAUGGAUUAUGAUGCUUUACUUAUUCAACAUGUGCAUCAUUAUUUAUUAUUAUCCCCCCUACCUCCAAAAGAGAGAUAGAUUCUCCCUUAUCCGAAGUCUGAAUCCUCGUCGUCUUCUUUGCUGUCAGAAACUAUCUUCGUUAUGAAGAUUUUGUGGCCCGGGAUAUACCUUUUGAUUGUGUACUUCUUUCCUUCAACUCUGUAGAUUGGAUGGUCAGGAUCAUCUUGUGGCCACGCGUACUGAUCAUGGAAGCUUGCUAGACUUUGUCGUAUUUCAUCAAUAAAGUCAUGUGGAUAAGCAUCCUUGUUGUGCCAGUUUGCAGUGUGAGGACAAAAUAACUGUGGGUCAAUUUCAGAUUCUUCAAUGUGAUUUAUCGCUGCCAGGUUUCUUGUCCUUAUGUGAAAAUUUUCCCCGUCAAAAGGACCAUCAUUAUAACUUUUCUGGAUCUGGGUUUUGUAUUCUCUCUGAAUUAUGACUCUGUCUUCUUGUUGUUCUUGCUUUGUGAUGAUGUUGAAAGUGAUUAAGACUUUGUAUCCUUCUUGUGCUCGAAUAUUCUCUUGCCACCAUGUCACAUCGUGGAACAAUGUGAGCCACUUGUACAACAACUUGUAGUGCUCUUUCCUUCUUGUCAGAAUGUACUUUGCCAGAUACUGAAGUAAUCUGCUUUUGCUCAAUAAGUACUCCAAUGGUGUACAGUUCCGCUAGGUACCAUAACAGGAAAUACGCUUCUUGCGGAAUUUACCAUAGUGAGUUGGGUUUAAGUCUAUGGUAGUGAGGAAAGAGAAUACCGGAUGAUAAGGUAGCUAGAGGAGUGGCCCUUGGUCUAGACCAUACCUGUAGACAUAGAGCUUCAAGAAUCCAUGGAGCUUCUCACAUCCUUGAUAGACUAGAGCAGUCUCUAGGAUCUUUUCUUGUAUUCCUUGUGGCAUCUUUGCAAUCAUGUUCCUCAAGGACUCUUCGGUUGGAGUGAGAGUGCAUAUCAUCGGUAUGACAGCUGAAAUCUGUCUUUGGGUUCUGGAUAGGAAGUCGGGAAGAAAAUUGUCUUUUCCUUUGAUGUGCUUCACGUCAAACUUCCACUGUGAAAACCAACUUGCCCAUCUAAGUAAUUGUGCUUGUGGCAAGAUCUUUUGCUUGAACUGAAUCAUCUUUGGGAACAAGGACAUGUCCAUUUCGAUAAGAAAGUGUUGUCCGACUAGGUGGAACUCGAACUUCUCUAUGCCUCUUUUGACUGCAAGUAUCUCCUUGUAGGUAGAAUGGUAAUGCUUUUCACUGUCUUUGAAAACACCACUUUUGUAUCCACAAAUGCUUCUUUUUCCUUUUCGUCUUCUUCUAAGAGAACAGCACCCUAAUAGCAGUCCCUUGCAUCAGUUUUUAGGAUUCUUUUCCCUUUAGAAGGGAUCUUUAAUGAGGGUAGAGUCUUUGAGAUCUGUUUCAGCUCUUUUACUGCUUAUGUACAUCUUUCGUCCCAUGGAGGAGCAUCUUUCUUUAGCUGUGUUGAAAGGAUUGACCUGUACUUUUCUAAGCCAUGAAUGAAUUCCGCCAUGUAAUUGACAACUCUAAGGAAUUGUUGGACUUGUUUGAAAGAGAGCUUGUCAUCUGGGAAUUCGUUGAGCUGUGUUGCAAUGUGAGGCUGUAGAUGGUAUUGCCCUUUUGAGAUAUGCAUGCCAAGAAAAUAUAUCUCUGUCUCUCAAAUGGCCAUCUUUUUCUCGGAGAGCAUGAUGCCAUACUGUUGAACGAUCUUGUGAAAUUUCUCUAGUAGUCGGGUAUGGGAGUCGAUAUCCGGAGAAAACAAGAGGAUAUCAUCGAUGGAUACUAGUGCAUUUGGAAGUAUUGGCUCGAAUAUCUUUGUCAUUGCCUUUUGAAAUAGCGAUGGGGCCACCUUUAAUCCAAAUGGCAUAACCUUCCAUUGGAAAUGACGGUCUGGUAUGCAAAAACCUGGUGUAGGUAUAUCCUCCGGUUUGAUUCCCAGUUGCCAGAAUCCCGCUUUUAAGUCGAAUUUUGAGAAGACUUGUGCUUGUGGGAGCCUUUGGAAUAAGACUUCUCGCUUCGGUAAUGGAAACUUGUCAUCAGAAAGGAAGUGAUUGAGUGGCUGAUAAUUGAUGACUAACCUCAAUUUUCCUCGGACUUGUUCUGCCCUUUUGUUGACGUAAAAAGCCUCGAAUGCCCAUGGUGAAGUUAUUUUUUCGAUGAGACCUUCCUUUUGGAGUAGGUUUACUUCUUCAAGUGCCAGAGUAUAAUGAUCUGGAUUCAUCCCUGGAUGACUAGCCUUUGUGGGAUUGAUAUCUUCAUUUUUCUUGAAUGGCAAGGAUAUGAAGAAGUCUGGAUUUUGCCAUAGGGGUGAAGAACAUUUGGUGAGGAAUUCUGAGUGAGAACUGGCACAAGAGGUCUUGGUAAUCUUUUCUUUGAUGGGGUUCAGGAGUUCCAUGGGGUAAAAAUGGGAAAUGGUUGUCCAUGGUAACAGGUGGUUUUUGUGUUUAAGGCCUUUUGGAUGCCAAAAUACUUUUUUAAGGCUAUGGAGGAUAUCAAAUCCACGUAUGAAGUCUUUUCACGGAAGAUCAGACCCAUAUACUUUAGAGUUAACCAUAUAUCCAAGAAAUAAUUGGAUAUGGAUGGGCUUACUGAUGAGGGAGAUGUGCAAUAUCUGCCAGUUGCCUGCUUUGAAGGCCACUGAGCACCCAUCCCAAUGGGUUGAUGGGAGUAUAUCUGGUUUGAUGAUCGAAGACGCAGCUCCUAUCACCGGUAUACGCUUAUCGUAUUUGGUAGGGAAGAUGUAGAUCUUGGCAUUUGGAGCUGGUAGGGAUAGAUAUGCCAAAUCUGCUUCUUUUGACUCCUCAACCUUACAUGAGUCUAGGCUGUAGAGAUCAAAAAGCAUGAAUUGGUCGUCAGCAUCCUCUUCUUCUUUGGUUUCAGAUUCAUCUGAGAAUUCAUCAUCAUGCUCAAUUCCCAUUGCAAGGACUGUAUCAUCAGUUGGUUCAUCAUCAAGAGAGAAUAUGGACUCGAUGUCUGAGUCGUUAAUGUCUUCUACUUGGGCUAGAUAUCUAAGGAGAUUAUCCCUCUUCUUCUUAUUUGGACAUUGUUUUGCAUAAUGUCAUUUCUUUUUGCAGAUGUAGCAUCUGUCAGAGUUCUUGUAGCCUCUUUGUUUCUUUCUCCUGAAAAAUUUUCAUUUCUUUCCACCAGAUAGCUUGGGAUACCUCUUUUGCCAUUUGUUUCUGGAUUUUUUCUCCUGUUUAUAGCUCGUAGAACAUCCACACCUUAUUGUUUUGCAUUUGAUGGAGAGCUCUAGACGGUCACAUGCUCUUCCAAGUAGUUUUCCUUGUUCUUGCAGCUGUUUGAAGAACUUUUGGUGGUUGCACAGCUUCUCGAGAGCUGCAAGCGAGAUCUGGUAUAUUUCUCCUAAAGAAUCUUGACUUAGAGUCAUAUUCUUUAGGGAUAAUAUUCGAGAUGUCUCAUUUCCAAGAGGUUCUGGAAGCGAGUUCAAGUACGCCUGCUUGAGAUUGAAAUAGUCAAUUCCAUUUAGUGCGUAGAAUCUUUUUGACAUCCUCUGAUAGUGCUUCUCCAGAUCUUUUCUUUUGAAAGAGCAGCAUCUCAUGCUCAUGUAUUCUUCCCUUGCUUGGAUUGCAUAGUGAUCCCAUGUGCCAAGAAAUUCGUUGUGGAUAUGCCCAAUCACGGUAUCCACUGAUUGAGCUUGGCGGAUCUGUAGUUGUCUGUAAUCUCCAAGGCUGAUCCACCAUUGUCUGAGACGACCAUGGAAUUAGGAGAUUAGCUUGUCUAUUACUGUAGGGAGAGUAGCUCCUGGGUUGAGUAGUUGUUCGGUGAGCCAUGCAUGCAUUUCGUAGAUUUUGUCUCUCCAUUUUGAUGGGGGAACAUUGUCGAAAGAGAAACUACUGUGUGAGUCAGUGUGGCUUCUUGGAUUCCAGUCUGGUGGAGUUUGAGGCUUCUGUGGUUUUCUUCUGUCUUCAGAUAUGUUUCCGCCAUCGCUUUCCAUAUCUUCUUCUUCUACUGUUGGUUCGGCCAUCAUGAAGUUUGGGAUUAUGAACUCCUCAUCAGAACUUUCUUGUAGCGUCAUCAGGCUUUUCGCAUAAUGUUGUUGCUUUGGUGGUUUUUUUUGCUCCGCCACUUGUUCAAAAAAUGUAGAGAUUGGAUUUUUGGCAUGUCCCACCAUAAAAUGUGCUUCACCCUUUCCAGGUGAAGUGGUCUUCGUGUUUUCUGGCGCAGAAAUCUUCGGAGUUUCUUUAGGAACAGUUGGGUGUUUAUUUUUUGCAGGACGUUGCUCUUUGAUUCUUGUUGGUAAGAAGGAGGAUGAUCCAAAGAUACUUGGGUCAUGGGAAAAGGAGAGAGGUUGUGUUUGGGUCAUGGCUGGUGAAGAAUAUAUAGGAUAGGGUGUGAAGAGAUCAUAUGGCAUUACAGUCUGUGUUUUGGGCUGGUUUUGUAAUGAUUGUAAUUGGGCUUUAAGGGAUCUUAGCUCUGAUUCCUUUUGGUACAUGAGUGGGGAAGUUGUAGAAACGCCAGGUGUAAGAGUUCUUGGUGAAGAGAACUUAUCCUUUUGUUGAUUUCUUUGAUUGAAAGGUCCAGGAUAGAUACCUUUCUGUCAAUUUGGCUCAAGAGAUGGUUUUGGACCAUAGCGUUUUCUGAUUGCCAAUUUAAAUUUGUUUCUACUGCACUAACUUGUUUUGUCGUUCCAUCUGGAUUUUUAACGUUCGGAUUUCUGAUUUUCCAUGAGUGCCUGAUCUUGCCUUCUUCAAAUUCUCGUGUUGGAAAUGUUGGCUCUUGAGAGGACGAAGAACCGAACAUAUAACAUGUGCGGACAUCUUCAUUGUCAGGUGUUGGUGGAGUUGGUCCGUUUGAAUACAAGAAAUAGUAUUCAAACUCCUUCCCCGUAGGUUCUCCAAGAAGACCAACUUCGGGGUCUCCAGAUUCAUAUCGUUCCUUGAAAAUUUGCUGGGAUGACUUCUUUAUUUAUUAUUAUAAAUAAAUAAUAAUAAAUAAAGGACAUUAUGCACAAAGAAAGGACAUUAUGCAAAACAAUGUCCAAAUAAGAAAAAGAGGGAUAAUCUCCUUGGAUGUCUAGCCCAAGUAGAAGACAUUGACGACUCAGACAUCGAGUCCAUCUUCUCUCUUGAUGAUGAACCAACUGAUGAUACAGUCCUUGCAAUGGAAAUUGAGCAUGAUGAUGAAUUCUCAGAAGAAUCUGAAACCGAAGAAGAAGAGGAUGCUGACGACCAAUUCAUGCUUUUUGAUCUCUACACCCUAGACUCAUGCAAGGUUGAGGAGUCAAAAGAAGCAGAUUUGGUGUCAAGAUCUAAACCCUAUCCCAACCAGCUCCAAAUGUCAAGAUCUACAUCUUCCCUACCAAAUACGAUAAGCCUAUACUGGUGAUAGCCUUCUUUGAUACAGGAGCUGCGUCUUCGAUCAUCAAACCAGAUAUACUCCCAUCAACCCAUUGGGAUCGGUGUUCAGUGGCCUUCAAAGCAGCCAACGGGCAGAUAUUCCAUAUCUCCCUCAUCAGUAAUCCCAUUCAUAUCCAAUUAUUUCCAGGAUAUAUGGUUAAAUCUAAAGUAUAUGGGUCUGAUCUUCCGGGAAAAGACUUCAUAUUUGGAUUUGAUAUCCUCCAUAGCCUUAAAAGAGUAUCUUGGCACCCAAAAGGCCUUAAACACAAAAACCACCUGUUACCAUGGACAACUAUUUCCCAUUUUUACCCCAUGGAACUCCUCAACCCCAUCAAAGAAAAGAUUACCAAGACCUCUUGUGCCAGUUCUCACUCAGAAUUCCUCACCAAAUGUUCUUCACCCCUAUGGCAAAAUCCAGACUUCUUCAUAUCCUUGCCAUUCAAGAAAAAUGAAGAUAUCAAUCCCACAAAGGCUAGUCAUCCAGGGAUGAAUCCAGAUCAUUAUACUCUGGCACUUGAAGAAGUAAACCUACUCCAAAAGGAAGGUCUCAUCGAAAAAAUAACUUCACCAUGGGCAUUCGAGGCUUUUUACGUCAACAAAAGGGCAGAACAAGUCCGAGGAAAAUUGAGGUUAGUCAUCAAUUACCAGCCACUCAAUCACUUCCUUGCUGAUGACAAGUUUCCAUUACCGAAGCGAGAAGUCUUAUUCCAAAGGCUCCCACAAGCACAAGUCUUCUUAAAAUUCGACUUAGAAGCGGGAUUCUGGCAACUGGGAAUCAAACCGGAGGAUAGAUCUAAAACAGGUUUUUGCAUACCAGACCGUCAUUUCCAAUGGAAGGUUAUGCCAUUUGGAUUAAAGGUGGCCCCAUCGCUAUUUCAAAAGGCAAUGACAAAGAUAUUCGAGCCAAUACUUCCAAAUGCACUAGUAUCCAUCGAUGAUAUCCUCUUGUUCUCUCCGGAUAUCGACUCCCAUACCCGACUACUAGAGAAAUUUCACAAGAUCGUCCAAUAGUAUGGCAUCAUGCUCUCCGAGAAAAAGAUGGCCAUUGGAGAGACAGAGAUAGAUUUUCUUGGCAUGCAUAUCUCAAAAAGGCAAUACCAUCUACAGCCUCACAUUGCAACACAGCUCAACGAAUUCCCAGAUGACAAGCUCUCUUUCAAACAAGUCCAACAAUUCCUUAGAGUUGUCAAUUACAUGGCGGAAUUCAUUCAUGGCUUAGCAAAGUACAGGUCAAUCCUUUCAUCACAGCUAAAUAAAGAUGCUCCUCCAUGGGACGAAAGAUGUACAGAAGCAGUAAAAGAGCUGAAACGGAUCUCAAAGACUCUACCCUCAUUGAAGAUCCCUUCUAAAGGGAAAAUAAUCCUAAAAACUGAUGCAAGCGACUGCUAUUGGGGUGUUGUUCUCUUAGAAGAAGACGAAAAAGGAAAAAGAAGCAUUUGUGGAUACAAAAGUGGUGUUUUCAAAGACAGUGAAAAGCACUACCAUUCUACCUACAAGGAGAUACUUGCAGUCAAAAGAGGCAUAGAGAAGUUCGAGUUCCACCUAGUCGGACAACACUUUCUUAUUGAAAUGGACAUGUCCUCGUUCCCAAAGAUGAUUCAGUUCAAGCAAAAGAUCUUGCCACAAGCACAAUUUCUUAGAUGGGCAAGUUGGUUUUCACAGUGGAAGUUUGACGUGAAGCACAUCAAAGGAAAAGACAAUUUUCUUCCCGACUUCCUAUCCAGAACCCAAAGACAGAUUUCAGCUGUCAUACCGAUGAUAUGCACUCUCACUCCAACCGAAGAGUCCAUGAGGAACAUGAUUGCAAAGAUGCCACAAGGAAUACAAGAAAAGAUCCUAGAGACUGCUCUAGUCUAUCAAGGAUGUGAGAAGCUCCAUGGAUUCUUGAAGCUCUAUGUCUACAGGUAUGGUCUAGACCAAGGGCCACUCCUCCAGCUACCUUAUCAGCCGGUAUUCCCUUUCCUCACUACCAUAGACUUAAACCCAACUCACUAUGGUAAAUUUCCGCAAGAAACGUAUUUCCUGUUAUGGUACCUAGCAGAACUGUACACCAUUGGAGUAAUCAUUGAGCAAAAUCAGAUUACUUCAGUAUCUGGCAAAGUGCAUUCUGACAAGAAGGAAAGAGCACUACAAGUUGUUGUACAAAUGGCUCACAUUGUUCAACGAUGUGACAUGGUGGCAAGAGAAUAUUCGAGCACAAGAAGGAUACAAAGUCUUAGUCACUUUCAACAUCAUCACAAAGCAAGAACAACAAGAAGACGGAGUCAUAAUUCAGAGAGAAUACAAAGCCCAGAUCCAGACAAGUAAUAAUGAUGAUUUGACGGGGACAAUUUUCACAUAAGGACAAUAAACCUGACAGCGAUAAAUCACAUUGAAGAAUCUGAAAUUGACCCACAGUUAUUUUGUCCUCACACUGCAAACUGACAAAACAGGGAUGCUUAUCCACAUGACUUUAUUGACGAAAUACGACAAAGUCUAGCAAGCUUCCAUGAUCAGUACGCGUGGCCACAAGAUGAUCCUGACCAUCCAAUCUACAGAGUUGAAGGAAAGAAGUACACAAUCAAAAGGUAUAUCCCGGGCCACAAAAUCUUCAUAACGAAGAUAGUUUCUGACAGCGAAGAAGACGACGAGGAUUCAGACUUCGGAUAAGGGAGAAUCUACCUCUCUUUUGGAGACAGGGGGGAAUAAUAAUAAAUAAUGAUGCACAUGUUGAAUAAGUAAAGCAUCAUAAUUCAUAUGUUAAAUAAGAAAAUAAUAAAAUAUUUAUGCAUGAGGAAGUUAGGUAUCCACAUGCUAAAUAGCUCUAAGUUAGGUAUCUACGUGUGUAAUAAUCUUAAGUUAGGUAUCCAUUGUAUUACUAUAAAUAAGAGGCUUGGGUGCUUGCAUAAACCAAGCCAAAUCAUGUAAUCGAGUCUGAGAGAAAACCUUAAGUGUUUUUGUAAUUUGUGAGUGUUCCAUAUAAAUAAAAUAUUUCCCUUUGUAUAAUCAUCUCUUUCCAUCCUUAAACAACUUUUUAAAUACUAUUGAUCCUAAUAAACUUUUUGUGUGAUUAUACCCACUAUGUGUAUGUAAAUUUGGUCAUAAUUACAUUAUUUGCAUAGAUAUUUGUAGAAAUUACAUGCUUUAGGGGGUAGAGAAAAAUAUGUUUGUCAAACAAAAAGUCGACAUAGGAAAUGAAAUAUAUAGAGUCAUGCAAUGUUUGUCUAGAACGUAAAACAUCUUUCUUCUCUACUUAAAACCCCUUAGCGAAAGAGACAUAAACAAAAUUAAAUUAUAAAGUAAAAGAAAUCAAAUAUUGAGACAAAAUCUUGGUAAAGUGAAGAUUAGGUAAGAGAUUCACUACAAGAAGCCAAAUAAGACAUUGCAGCGUAACAGGUUCUGAUAAUUUAACUAAAGUACAAGUUCUAGACAUUCCUGAUAUUUUGUGCACAAUUUUUUCAGCUAUUUAAACAUAUAUAAUCAAGAAAAGCGAUUUUUGGGUACUAUUUUUAGAAGGGAAAAAACUAUAUUUUUGGAUUUGAAAAGAAAAAAAAAAGAUUGGGUUACCACCACGUAGGUUCUUAGCGACUUUAUGUUUAAUGUACUGUAAAAAUAGCAAAUGCUCUAACAAAAGUAAACACUGAAGUUGGAACAGAAUCUGGAAGAUUACGGAGUAAGUUGACGUACGUAUCCUUGUAACCUGACGUACAUAGACAUGUCAGUCAUAACUUGUGGAAAUAGACAAAAGGUUAGAAAAUUGGAGAGAGAUUCAUAUUUUGAGAAAAUAUUAAAUUUGUCAUAUAAGAUGAGAAAGAUCUAUUGAAAUAAACUACGGUUAUCAUUUAUAACAAUGCAUAAUACAUAUACAUUGAUACACAUCAGGUCACCAAUGUAUUAAUCAUUCGCAGUCUCCCAGCCACACCAAAUCUAUUUGAAUAUACUCUGAUAGUCUUACAUAUAAUGAAUUAGCAUUUUUCUAAUUUGUUGCAAAAUUACUAUAUAUAGAGUGUUUGUUCCCUCUUAUUUGAAUUUUAUUUUUUGGAUUCAUCUUUAUUUUAACCAGUCAUGGAAAAUGUAAGAUUUUUUUUACGGCUGGAAAGGUUUAAAAAGGUGAAAACAAUAUUUUUUCCCUCUUCAAACUCUAUAAUUCCGUUUCUAAUUGUUUGUAUCAAACGCAUAUAACCAAAAAUAUAUAUGGCGUUUGCAAAUAAUUCCGGGAAAACCGAUAAAACCCUAAUAGUUGAUAGUAAUUACUAUGUAGCAACUAUCGAAAUACCAUAAGAAGAAAAAAUAAUAAGGUAGUUCAAGUAAAUCAAUCAAAUUAUAUUGUAGGAAAAUAAUGAUUUAGGUUCAUUCAAUUGUCAACUAAACUCAAACUGGCAAAGUGUUAAGAAGACAAGAUGGUGACUGGUGACAAGUAAAGUUUCCAAAUAUCUUAAAAGCAAAGGUCAUGCAUGAGUUCAGGGGGGUAAGGAAGUAGAGGCUUAGUUAAUUAAUUAGCUGUUUCUGUCUGAUUUCAAAAUGGUUAAUACAAAGUAAUAAUUGCGAUUAAAAAGUUUUAGUGAUCAAAUCAGGGUUGUAGUUAGUAAGAUUCGGGAAGAUCUUGCCAUGUCUAAACAAAUACUUAAUUUCAACGUCAAUCACGCCAACACUUUAUACUUGAUGUUAAUCUAUUUGGCAUUAAAGUAUUUAUGGUGGGACCUCAAUUAUAACCUGAUUAAUCAUACAUAAAUGCAUAGAUAAUUAUAUUAAGAGGGCAGAUCAAAGAUCUAUUCAAUAGAAUUGUUAUCUUAUAAUUAUUUCAUCAAUAUUAUAAGAUAAUAAAACAAAAUUCCUUUAUGUCCAAUCAACUAAUUGAACGGUUCAAACCCGUGACAUGGUUGAACAUAAAAAUAAUAAGAUUAGGAAUAUGUUUAUCUAUACUACACUAUAGAAUAUACGAUCAAUGCUUUACGAGGUAUGUUAGACCUACACAGCUUUUAUUUAUUGUUAUGUGUGUAUUAACAUAAAUCAUCUAUACAAGUGUUUAUAAAAGCAUGGAAGUCGGAAACUAAAGCAUCAAAACCAAUCAAAGCGAUUGUAAAAUAUUUGGAAACAUGCCAUAAACAAAGUGAGUGGACCAACCUAGACUCCAUAAUUAUUUCACUUGUGAUUAAAAUAUAAAUAAUUAAAUCUUAAUUAUAAAUAUAAGCACAUGCAAACUCAUUGUUCCCAUUUAAGUCUCUAAUCUCAUCUUUCCAUUAACAAAGACUUCUCAAUCCCCCUCUCUCUCUCUCUCUUUCUCUCCCUCUUAAUCUGUGUACAUAUACAUAUAUGGCGACCGAUACAUCCUCUUUGAAACUCUUCGGCAUAAACCUUCUUGAAACGACGUCGGAUCAAGACCAAUCACCCGAACCAAGAUCCGAGUCACGGAAAUACGAGUGUCAAUACUGUUGCAGGGAGUUUGCAAACUCUCAAGCUCUUGGUGGUCACCAAAACGCUCACAAGAAAGAGCGUCAGCUUCUUAAACGCGCACAGAUGCUAGCCACUCGUGGCUUGCCACGUCAUCAGAACUUUCACCCUCACACGAAUCCACUUCUCUCUGCCUUCGCGCCGCUGCCUCACCUACUCUCUCAGCCGCAUCCUCCGCCGCAUAUGAUGAUCUCUCCUUCUUCCUCGACUUCUAAGUGGCUUUAUGGUGAGCACGCGUCGUCACAAAACGUCGUUGGUCCCAUGUAUUUUCACGGUGGAUCUGGAAGAAGGGGAUUAUACGGCGGCGGUAUGGAGUCUAUGGCCGGAGAAGUUAGGGCACAUGGUGGAUCGUUGACGGAGAUGAGGAGGUUCGUCGGAGAGAGUGAUCGUAGUAGCGGAGUCAAGUUAGAGAAUGGUAUUGGGCUGGACCUCCAUUUAAGUCUUGGGCCAUGUUAAUUUUUAUUUUGGUCCAGUUGAAAUUUGUAAAAUACUACUCGGAUUUCAUUUUUAGAGAGUAAUUAAUUUCCUGGGUUUUUUUUGUUAAUUUCAGUUUAAAAGUGAUAAAAAAAAAAUGUGUUCUUAUUUUACUAAAUCUCAUGUUCUAUGUAUGCGUUUGCUUUUUUUUUUUAAAUUCAUCUUGUACAAAUGCAGUGUGACUUUUCUUCCCUAUUACUCUGUCAAUGUUUGUUUAAUUAGUCACUGGAGAAUAUAAGUUUAAUGUUGAAAGAAGUUGAUUAGCUAGUUUGUGAGAUGCACACCAAACCAGAUCUAGUUUUCAAAUAGAGGCUAUUUUACACAAGGGAUUUACUUAAUCAAGUGUUUUAACCACUCUUCAAGAAUGUGUUAGGCUCCAAAUUUAUUUGCUUUCAAAAGGUGCACAUUCCUACCAAUUUGGGAACUGAUAAAACCUCUAAAGGCAUGUUAGCCAACAAAAGCAUGUUAACCUUUUCUAAAAAUCAAAACCCAAUUCCAUUCUCAUGAAUGCGUUUGCACAUUUUACAACAUGUUAUUUGAUGAAGAUUGCGGUUAAAUAGAUUGGAACUCCACCAGAAUUUUGGGAGAAAACUUAUAGGUUUGCGUAGACUUCAAUGUAUGAAGCAUAAACUCAUUUUCCCAAUCAAAGACAUUUGAGGAUUAACACCAAAGGAAAAGCAAGUAUAUUAAGUGUUCCAUAGUCUUAGUCCAUGUACCACAACCAACCAACAGGACACUAAAUCACUAAUAGCAACAUCAACAAAAACAAAGAUCAUCUCUUAAAAUGUGACACUAACUUUUUUAUUUCUUUUCCAAAUGAAAAUGAAGAAACCACAGCCCCAAAAGGUUAAAACGAUCAUCUUUAAAAUGUGACACUAACUUUUUAUUUCUUUUCCAAAUGAAAAUGAAGAAACCACAUCCCCAAAAGGUAAAAACAAAGAUCAUCUCUUAAAUUGUGACACUAGCUUUUUGAUCUCUUUUCCAAAUGAAAUGAAGAAGCCACAGCCCCAUGAGGUAAAAACAAAUUACGAUAAUCUCUUAAAACCCUUAAUCUUGCAGAAGAAGGUGAUUACCCAUGAUAAACGGAAAAAUUAUAUAAUCAUCCAUCCACAGAACAAAGGAAGAAAAAACAAAGAAACCUAGACACCAAUCAACAAGAGUGUGUAACAUUUGCACAAAGAAACAAGAAAAACCAAAUCUUUAUGACAAAGGAUGAGUUGGUUUCACCUGAGUUGUUUCUUCAUAAAUAGAUGUUUUUUUAUCAAAUAUAAUUACAUAGCCACCAAAUUGGCCACGAAUUAGUCAGUGGCUAUGGUUCUGUAUAAAAAAAUCUGAAAUGACCAAAUUAGCGGUUCAGCGCUAGUGCUUAUAAUACAUGUUACUCAGUAUAGUUAAAAGCUUUAAAUACAAUUGAAAUACAAAUAAACAACCGGAUGGCAAAGUUGAAAUGUUGUGUCACUAUUGCAUCUAACUCCUCUUCUUCCAUCAGCUUCUCUAAUUCCAUUCCUCGAAAGUUGUUCCAAAUUCUGCAUCGGUGCUUUCUCUUUCUCACCCAAUCCAUUGGUGGCGUGUGCUGCAAGGAACAUGUACCCAUUCUUUCACCUUUACCUCUGUUUCUUCUACCUUUCCCUGUGUAUUUUUGUUUUUCAGUUCAAUGAUCACAUUUCUUCGGAUCUCGAAAAGUGAAUUCGUUUUCAAAGCUUUGUAAGUAUAUGCCUCGAGUUCCUUGUAGAAGGCAAUUACAUUUGCUAAGGACUGCACUGGUGAUUCCACAAGAUCUUUAAGAUAUGCGUUGAGUGACAUCUUGAACUCAGUCCCAACUACAGUGACUUCCAUGUUUGGUAUCCAUAGAUUGUUAAUGACGGUCAGUCCUUCUCGUCUCCAUCCAAUGAAAACAGAGCUAUAAUCAGAUAUAUGGUUUACUUAAUAUCAGGAUAUACACGAAUAUCUUUUGUAUAUAUCAUUAUGUAUAUUUUACAUUUACAUUAUGUCUAGAUAAGGCAAUGUCUAAGUGUAUAUAUAUGAUGUAUUUACCUAUUCAUAAAUCAAUAAGAAUCAAGUUCUAUAUGUUAUCAGAGCAUAUCGAUUCAUAAACCCUAAAUUUUUUUUACAGCCGCUCUCUUUCACAACAAAGUUUUCAUCGCCAUGGCCAACGCCAAUGCUCAACUUGUGCCUGUCUACAACAAGACGACACCCAGCGACUCGCUCAUCUCUGUCAACAUGUCCGGUAUCACCAAACUCACUUCGUCAAACUACCUUACCUGGAAGCUUCAAGUGUAUGCUCUGUUCGAAGCGCACGAACUGCAUCACUUCAUUGUAGAAACCGAUCAAACACCACUGGCGACCGUCACAACAGACAACGUAACUCAGCCGAACCCGCAACUCGCUCCCUGGCAUCGUCAAGACCGUCUCCUUUACAGUGCCUUGCUGGGCACACUAUCAUUGCCGAUCCAACCGCUCGUUGCUCGUGCCACCACUGCUCGUGAAGUUUGGACCACUUUGGCUCGCACUUACGGCCAAUCCUCUCGUGGACAGAAAAAUCAAAUCAAACAGCAACUGAAAAAGAUCACCAAAGGAACACUCACCAUCACAGAAUAUAUGCGAUCCAUCAUCACCAAAGCAGAUCACCUUGCUCUUCUUGGUGCACCACUCGAGCAAGAAGAUCUCUUGGACUACAUCAUGGAUGGUCUCGGAGAUGAGUAUCGCGCCGUCAAAGAGAUGGUCAAUGGUCGAGACACACCUAUUACCACCGAGGAGCUCCAUGAGAAGCUUCCCAACCGUGAGAAUGAGAUACUUGUUCUAGAGGCCUCCACAUCUCCAUCCCUUCCAGCGACAGCCAAUGUGGCUGAGCACCGAUUCAACUCGUCCAACAACUACACUCCACGUGGUGGUGGUAACUACAGAGGUAGCUCGCGUGGUGGUUACCGAGGUGGUGCUCGUGGUGGUGGCUAUCAAGGAAAGUGUCAAAUCUGUGGCGUAUAUGGACAUAGUGCCAGACGUUGCACUCAACUCCAAUACAUGACUUCCCAGCCUCAACAACAGGCGUACCGUGGCCCUUCCGCAUCCAAUCUUCAGCCACCACAAUGGAAUCCUCAAGCACACUACACAACCUCCUCACCGCAUCCAACCGCAGACAAUGCAUGGUUGCUCGAUAGUGGAGCCUCACAUCACAUAGCCUCUGAUCUUGCCAAUCUCUCAAUGCAUUCACCAUACCAGGGCAACGACGAUGUCACCAUUGGCAAUGGCACGGGUCUACCGAUCACCCAUACUGGUUCCACUCAAUUACUCUCUCACUCUCGACCACUUACUCUGUCGAAUGUUCUUUGUGCUCCCUCCAUUAAAAAGAACCUCAUAUCAGUGAACAAGUUAUGCAAAACUAACAAUGUCAUGGUUCAACUCUGUCCUUAUGACUUUCAGGUGAAGGAUCUCAAGUCGGGAGCAACACUAAUCAGCGGACCAGCCAGUGAUGGAGUCUAUGAGUGGCCAUUCAAAGUUCAUUCACCCAAUUCUUCUAUUUUGGCUUUUUCAUGUAUCAAAUCCUCGCUUGUCAAUUGGCACUCGAGGCAUGGUCAUCCCUCUCUAGCUAUACUUAAACACAUUAUUUCUCAUUCAUCUUUACCUGUUUUGGAUUUUUCUCCUCCUUUAUCAUGCAAUGCUUGUUCAAACCAAUAAAAGUCACAAACUCCCUUUUUCUUUUAACUCAAUGCAAUCUUAUGGCCCCCUUGAUCUUAUAUAUACGGAUGUUUGGACCUCACCGGUGUACUCUGUUUAUGGCUACAAGUACUAUGUCAUAUUCGUUGAUCACUAUACUCGAUAUGUCUUGUUUUAUCCUCUCAAACUGAAAUCGCAGGUGAUUCAAGUGUUCAUUCCAUUUAAAACACUGGUGGAAAACAAGUUUAAUCGCAAGAUUAAAACGUCAUACUCAGAUAAUGGUGGAGAGUUCAUCGCCAUGGCGUCCUUUCUUGCCACACAUGGCAUCUCUCACUUUACCUCACCUCCACACACUCCGGAGAACAACGGACUUGCAGAACGGAGACAUCGACACAUUGUCGAAACCGGCUUAUCUCUCUUGACCCAUGUGUCGCUCCCAAAUACGUAUUGGAGCUAUGCCUUUGCAGCGGCAGUCUACUUGAUCAACCGUAUGCCCACACCAAAUCUCUCACGCAAGUCGCCGUAUGCACUCUUAUUCAGUGAGGAACCAAACUACUCUAAACUCCGUAUAUUUGGGUGCCUCUGUUAUCCUUGGUUGCGUCCAUACACCACUCAUAAGCUCUCUCCUCGUUCAGCCCCUUGUAUUUUCCUUGGCUACUCCCUUACUCAAAGUGCUUACCUAUGUCUAGAUCCAUCUACAUCCCGUGUCUAUGUCUCUAGGCAUGUGGACUUCCAUGAGUCCAUCUUUCCAUACCCUCGGCUCAAAACCUCAAGUCCAAACACUGUUCCUGAACCCGCUCCAAACUCUAACCCCUCUGCUUCUCUAGUUCCCUUUUUCAGGUUGCCACUCAUGACUCAGUCACAAAAAACAAAUACGGUGUCCCCGACAGAGAUUCCUUCACCAAUGGUACCGGUUCACACCAGCAACAACUCAGUACCGGACCAUGGCUCAACUGUGCAAACGCUGGCCCCAACUCACAAUCUCAGGAUGACCACUCGCUCGAUGAACAAUAUUUGGAAGCCAAAUCCGAAAUAUGGUCUCUCUGCUCUUCUGUCGGAAGUAGAACCUUUAACCAUCACUCAAGCCUUAAAAGACAAGCGAUGGAGGGGCUCUGCAGGUGAUGAGUACAACUCUCUUAUUGGUAAUCAGACGUGGGAUUUGGUUCCUCCCCAUGAAGCGCAAAAUGUCAUUGGCUGUAAAUGGGUCUUCCGCAUCAAAAGGCUUCCUGAUGGCUCGGUUGAUCGCUUCAAAUCUCGCCUAGUCGCAAAAGGGUUCCACCAACGACCUGGCAAUGACUUCGAAGAAACAUUUAGUCUUGUUGUAAAGCAUGCCACCAUUCGUAUUGUCCUUGAUGUUGCUGUUGCUAAAACUUGGACUUUACGGCAGCUUGAUGUAAACAAUGCCUUUCUCCAAGGUACAUUAGAUGAAGAGGUAUAUAUGAUUCAACUUCCAGGAUUUGUUGAUCAAUAUCGGCCAGAGUAUGUUUGUCGUCUACGAAAAGCUAUCUAUGGCCUGCGUCAGGCACCUCGUGCGUGGUAUAAUGAACUUCGUUCCUUUCUCCUCAAGAUUGGUUUUAAAAAUUCACUUGCUGACGCCUCACUAUUUGUUCUUAACACUGGCUCUGUUCUGGUCUAUAUGCUUGUUUAUGUGGAUGAUAUUGUUGUCACUAGCAGCUGCGAUAUCACUGUCAAUCGCAUUAUUGAGCAACUCUCUGCUCGGUUCUCUCUCAAAGACCUGGGUGAACUCUCUUACUUUCUUGGUAUCGAGGUGUAUUGCUCUCGUGAAGGACUUCGGCUAACACAGCAGAAGUACACCACUGAUCUCCUGACAAAGCUCAACAUGCAUAAGUCCAAACCGGUUGCUACUCCUCUAGCGUCGACACAAUCGCUUACUCUCGCUGGCACUAAACUUGAUGAUCCUACGCAGUAUCGUGCCGUCGUUGGUAUUCUUCAGUAUCUGUCUCUUACACGACCCGACAUUGCUUUUUCCGUAAAUAAGUUGAGCCAGUUCAUGCAUUGUCCGACUAUUGAACACUGGGAAGCUGUCAAGCGUGUGCUUCGGUAUCUUGUUGGCACUGUCACUCAUGGUAUAUUUCUCUCUGCCUCGUCACCUCUUUCCCUUCAUGCUUAUUCUGAUGCUGAUUGGGCUGGUGACAAAGACUAUUUUACGUCUACCGGUGCUUACAUUGUGUAUCUUGGCAAGAAUCCCAUAUUUUGGUCAUCGAAAAAGCUGAAGGGUGUUGCUCGUUCGUCUACCGAAGCCGAGUAUCGUACAGUGGCUUCCACUGCUUCUGAGGUUAAAUGGGUUGCUUCCUUGUUAUCUGAACUAGGCGUUCGUCUUCCUCAAAUCCCCACUAUCUACUGUGAUAACAUCGGUGCCACCUAUCUUUGUGCCAAUCCUGUGUUUCAUUCAAGAAUGAAGCAUCUUGCUCUGGAUUAUCAUUUUGUCCGCGAGCAAAUACAAGACAAGACGCUUCGAGUUUCUCACAUCUCCUCUACUGAUCAGCUGGCUGAUGCACUCACCAAACCACUCCCACAUACUCGGUUUCAAGACUUAACUGUCAAGAUUGGAAUCACCUCUGGUGCUUCAUCUUGAGGGGGCGUAUCAGGAUAUACACGAAUAUCUUUUGUAUAUAUCAUUAUGUAUAUUUUACAUUUACAUUAUGUCUAGAUAAGGCAAGUCUAAGUGUAUAUAUAUAUGAUGUAUUUACCUAUUCAUAAAUCAAUAAGAAUCAAGUUCUAUACUUAAUAGGUCUAAUCAAGAUUAUAACGAAAUUUGACAUUAAUGUUUCGAUGUGAUGAUCAAGAUGAGCAUGAUUUGGAUCAGAAUUAAUGCUUCAGUACAAUCCCCAAUCUCUUACCCUUGAGGCCACACUAGCUUUCAAAAACUGCUUGUAAUCCCCUUCCGGUAUGCACUUGAAUGCAGCCUUCGUGGCAAUGUCCAAUGGAUCAUAACUCACAAUAGCAUCAAAUAGAUCAAGAUGUUGUGACGACACAAGAGGAAAUGCAUACAAAAUAGAGGGAGAGGAAUGGUGGUCAACGCCAAGUAGCCAAUUAGCUAUUUCUCAAAGAUUCAUUUUUGAACAAGAUUUGUUUACCUCCAACGAAAAGCUUGGUAGACAUGUACCGGAGAGAACCAAGCAUAGAUUAAACCGGAACAUUUUCGGUCUGAUAAACAACCCAUUGUCUCAGUAGACCACCGAGAUUUUUGCAGAAAGCCAUUUCCACACAACUUUUGGAAACCACAAAUCACGAACCCUAAACCAUCAAAGACUAUAAAUUUAAUCAUCAUCAACCUCAAACAAAUUCCACAACGAAGAGCAACAAAAUAAGUGUACGUCUAGCCUAUUAUGAUAUGUGUUACCCGACCUUAUGAGAAAUUAUUUAACUGUUAAUUUUUGAAAACCCUUCGUAAAGGAAAUGUAAAACUUCUACCAAAAUCGUACAAAGCAUUUUUAGACGUGAUAUAAGAAUAAUUUCAAAUAUUUAAAUUUAAACUUUCUUUAAAAAGGAAAACGAAAUCAGUGAUCACAACAACAAAAAUGUAAAACUCUUGAAAUAUCCCAAAUGAUUUUUGUACAUAUAGACUUAACUUUCUAAUAAAUAAAAAAAGAAUUGUAAAUUUCGACAAGAUACUUGUAGAGUAACAGAAGAAAAAAAAAAACUUCUUCAAAGGUUUGUCGACCUAUUAAGAGUCUUUAAUGUUAAUAGAAAAAUGCAGAAAUAAGGAAAAAUGCUUUUUUAACAAACAAAAGAAGGAAAAACUGUUUUGAUCAAAAAAACUAUAUAAAGAACAUAGGGAUGAUUUUUUAAUUUAUUUUUCAAUCUCGUUUUCAUCUUUCACAUUUAAAAAAAUAUAUAUAUUCAUAUUGUUUACAAGUUAGAAACUAUGACUCAAGAUCAAGAAGACAACCUAGAUCAAGAACUCAACCUAGAAUUGGGUUUAGCUCCAUGUGAUCCAUGGUUAUAAAGAAGACGUUAUGCGACACUGAUGUUUCCCAACAAGGUAGGCUUAAUUUACCAAGACAGGACUUUGAAGAUUUGAUCAUUCCAGAUAUAGCAAAGGAUUUGGUCCAGAAUUUGGGAAACGGUGUUAAAGUGAAAGUUUUUGUUGUGGAUGAAGAAGAAUACAUUGUAACCUUAAAAAAGAAGUCUAAUGGAAGUUAUAUACUUAGCGCAUGAUGACCCGCACUCGUCAAAACUAAUGGUUUCCAAACAAACGAUCUAAUUGGAUUUUGUUGGGUUAAUUGUUCUAACAAAUUUUAUUUACAGCGUAUUAAUUAGUUUCUCUUAUUUUAUUUUACUUUUUUCAAAUAUCUUAACUACGACGUUUGUUUUUUAGUUAGUUUUAUGAGUUUUUGGGUCAUGAAUUCACCAUGUUGAUUUAAUUAGUCUAUUGAAAGAAUAAUAAAAAUAAUAGUUUUUUUAUUUGUUCCUUAAUCUAUUUAUUUCACUUGUAUGUCCUGCUCAAGCGAGCUCGUUUCCUUCUCCGCCGCCUCAAAACUUUGCUGCAGCUUCUUUAACUAUGUCGAUAAUAUCAAUAGUGUUAGUGUUACCAAUAACUCUUGUUAUUUUGCCUCUCUAAACAAGUACGUGAUGGUAAAAACAAAAACUAUGAAGUUGGCUCAAUUAUUUCUCAUCCCCUUCUUCAUUCUUACCCAUUUCUUUGCCAUAUCUACUUCUCUAAACGAUCAAGGUCUUGCUCUCCUCUCCUUUAAGCAAUCCUUACAAUACAGUAGUACAGUACCAGUGUACCACAAUGCUGAUCCGAACAUGAAUAUGUCGAUGACCACUAUAGAAGAGAAGUUAGAGGCGCUGAAACAAAACUUGGACGUGCUGAAGCAAGACAUGGACGAGAUAAAGAAAGGCGUCUGCGAGCUCAAGCAAGGCUUGGACGUGAUUUUGACGGUUUACGGCAUAGUAACUAUUUCCCUCCAUCCGAUGGGUCCGCUUGCUAAACCUGCCAAAGAAACUAUAUCCACUAUGAAUCCUAAAUUAUAAGCAUGUGAAUCCACACAAGAAAAGGCUGAUCAACUUGGAUUCUCAAACUUACGUAGCUGCCUUUUAGCCUGUCAAACGCAAGCAUGAAGCAACCAUGAACCAAUGAAAGCCUAAUUGAUUUGACUUUCGUGGAGCUCAAGGAAAAAGUCCAUUGGGCCUUAAGGAAAUCUAAGCCCACUCUGAAAUGGGCGUCUUUGUAUUACUCUAUUAACUCUCAGAUCGUUUGUAAUCUCAUAAAGAUUUUUUUGUUGACUUCAUCAUAUUGUAAAGAUAAGGUAUGGCGUUAUUACCAAAUUAUAAUUUCUCACCUUUUGACCAAAUAGAAAAUUAAUAAUAAAUAAUUUCUCGAUUUACGAAUUAAUGACCGUUCGAUCUAAGAUCUUCAGGGCCCCACCAAACAAAAUAAGACCGUUAUAGAAGUUAAAAAGGAAACAAAGGGUAAAAGCGUCCAUACAAAAAAUAUUUAGGAAUCUCCUCUUUUUUUCCAAUCAGACCGUUACGAACUUAAAUAAAAAAAAUGAAGAACAAAAAACCGUGAAGCCUCUCUUCACAAUUAAUAAAGCACAAAUAAAAAAAACUUUCUGAGGAAGAAGACGACACAGUGCGAGAAAACAAUCAAAACUUUGAAUCGAGAUUCGAUUGAUCAGUAAAUGGAGGAUACGAUUUCAAACCCUAGCAUGGAACCUCUGUUAUUUUCCGUUGAUCCAAUCUCUCUCCUACUCUCUCAAAACUCCGAUAACAACAGUCUCUGCAAAUUCGAGCGAGGACCCAGAUAUGGAGAAUACGCGAGAUUACGAGAAUCGAAGCUUCGUUUGAAACGAGAGUACGAGAAGAUACUAAAGGAAGAAGAAGAGAGGUUUUUCGGCGGAGAUCAGACGAGAAAGAAACCGGCUACGAAACAAGCGAGAUUUGGUUUCAGAGGAGGAGGAGAAGAAGAAAUUAGAGUUUUUUCGCCGGAGAAGAACAAUAAACAGACGAGAUUCGGGUUUAAUUAUAAUCCGGCGGCUAAUCCGAAUCCUCGGAGAAUGUCGUCGUCGUCUUCAUCUUCGUUGGCUCAAUCUGUGCCUGAUUUCUCUGCGAUGAUUCGCAAGGAAAAUCGCCGGCCGGUUAAUUCGAAUUUGCUUCCCCGGAGAACAGAGCUUACUCCGCCGUCGAAUAAAAGCAGAAACGCCGCCGUUUUCGCCGGCUCGGCGAGAGGAAGCAUGAGUGCAGGGGAGAAGAAGAGCAAAGCGAUGAUGGGUAUGGCGCGAAAGAGCUACGCCACCGUCGAAGAUCUCAAAAAAAUAUCAAUGGCUGCAGCUUCCGCCAUUAAUGGCGGCGGCGGAGGAGGAAGGAAAUCAAUCGGCGGCGCCGGAGAAGGACGGAAAUCACUCGGCGGCGGUGGUCGGACUAUCCUUGGCUACCGACAAAUCUACUGAUUCUUUGAAAUUUGUGUGCCCAAUCUCACGAUUUGAUAUAUUUUUCUACGAUUUGAAUCUUUUUUUUAGGUUUUGAUUGAUAAAGAUUAGUCCUUUUUCUGGUUUUGGUGAUUGAUAAAGAUUGGUCCUUUUUUUCUGGUGUUGGUUUUUGGUGAUUGAUAUUUGAUUACCAUAAAGCUUAAUAAUAUUGUAACAAACAUUGAUCAUAUUAGUUCAAUAGCCACAAUGAUGAAUUACACAAAUGCUACUUGACAAAACAUUAUCUUGUUAGGUUCUACAACAGAUCCAUUGCUAACUCUCCGACCAAACACCAAAGUAUCUCAUAAGCAAUCUCUGAUCCAACUCCAAACAAAUGAGUCUCAAGAUCCAUCCAUUUCUCCAUCUCAAUACCAAUAACCUCAUCCACACCAAUCCGAGCCAAUCUCGCCCACUUUGGCACCUCCUCAAGAACACCUUGAAUCAAUUUAUCAGCUUCAGCACUCAAAGGCUUUAACCCGCAAGAAAUGUUUCUCUCUUCCAAGUGUUCGAUCAUGGAAUCAACCAAGAACCCUCCGGUUAUUCCAGGGAGGUUAACAAGAUUAUCAGACCGUGCCGCGUAAAUCAUGAGCUCAUCAAAGAGUUCUGGUCCGAUGAGGUAGUUGUCUUGUCUAUUAGUAUUACCACCAACCAAGAGCUCGGUGUGGAUUAUGACUUCUCUUGCGUUGGUGAAUCUCUGCUGCGUUAGUAUGAGACCUGUGUUGCUUAAACAUCGCAGGACGUUAGAGACAUGGCUUAUCAGACUCGCGAUUGCUCGAUAAUUACCACCAUUGCUUGUUGAGUUCUUGAAUGAAGCCGCGUAAUCUUCAAGAACGUCCCAAUCAGAUUCUAUAGGCUCUAGAGGCCGCUUAGUCUGUCCUGGAACUACACAUCAUAAACACCAAUGUCCGGUUUCAGAUACAAGAAGUGAUGUUUUUUCUUCAGAAAUGAUUGAUUCUUACGUACCUGAGAUGUUGUCGAAGCUAUUCGAUAAGCAACUCUCGUUGGAGAAAGAUGCGUCGAGUACAGAACCAGGGCUCGUGUAUUCACUGUUUGGAUUCCUCUGCAAGAUUUAAGACGCAAAAUGAAGUAAAGAUGAGAAAAUACUAAAGAUGUUUUAAGACCUUGCGGAUUAUAGAGCAUACCCGAUAAGCUGUGUCUGCGUAAGACAUAUCGAUAUCUCGAGUAUAGGGCUGAUUCAUAACUAAAGAAGAUAACAAUUCAUGGAGAAUCAAAGAGGCAGGUUUAUUAGGCAAUACACUUCCUCUUAUGGCUUCAUCUUCUUCUUGUAUAGCGAGUUCUUUUAACUUUUGCUGAAUCAAACCCACAGUACCGGCGUGAUCAAGUGGUAGUCUUUUCUGAUUUGGAACGCGUUGAACUACUUUUCGCUCUUUGGAUUCUCUGCAGCAUUGGCUAUAGUUUCUAUGAAGGGAACCAGGUUUCAAAGGAGCAAAUGCAGCUUCAUUGCUACCUCUAGGAUCAUUACUACAAACACAAGAGCUUUCACCAUCUAAUCGUCUUGAAACUGGACUCAUAAAGCUACUUCCUCGUCCGUGACCACUUACACAAGCUAGCCUUCUCUUCCGUGCUGGACUACUUAGUCCUGAUCUGUUACAAGAAUCCUCAACUCUAGUGUGAGAUUUUCUCUGCAAAUUCAACUCUGAGUUAUGGUUCUUGCUAGUUGAACCUCUGUUCAUAGCUAUUAAGUCCUUCUCUUUACAGUUGAUCAUAUUAGCAGGUGAAGAACAAGAACCACUCUUGCCUUGUAAGGUGUAAGAUCGAGCCUCACGAGGAAACCUUUCUCUCUGCAACAGCUGAUUGUGAUAAUCGUACCGAGCUCGAGGCAGAGCCUUCUUCUCCAUUUGAUUAGUAUCUCUGCCUCUAGCAGAAACAGACACAGGUGGUUCUUGAUUUCUCCAAAACACAUUUCUUUUACUACGUUCAAAAGGAGUUGAUUUAGAAACACACGCCAUGUUCUGUCCAAUCUCUUCAUCUACAAGACCUGAACCAUGAACAUCAACAAAGCUACCACAUGCUUUACAAGAAGCAACACUAUUAUUACUAUAACCACGUUGAAACUCUGGCGAAACAACAGCUUCAAGCGGCUCUCUCCCAGCGUUUUCGAACCUCCUCGUCCCUGAAGAACCAGGAUAAGCAAUAGCGUAUCUCGCGUUUCUCUUCCCCGGUUCAAGAAUCCUAGCAGCUGCAUCAAUCAACCUAGAGCUACUACGUCUAUGAAGCCUCGGGCUUCUCACAGGAGAAGCUAACUUCUGAUGGCUAUUAUACUGAUGAUGUUUCCUAACUCGGGUCAAAACGUUCUUGAUCUGCAAUGCAUCUGAUCCAAACUUCUUCACCAUCACACGUCUAUCACACACACCUGUUGUUCUCUGCAACUUCUGUGGCCUAGAUUUAUCGAAACCAGCAUUAUCUUCGCCUUCUUCUUCAUCAACAUCAAACAAAUCGCAUUUAUCAUUGUCCUGAAACUGCAAAAACGGCGGUUUCUUCUUCUUCUUCCCUUUGUCUCUAUGAUUAGAUGGCAUAGAUUCAAGCCCCAUUAAACGUGCAACCAAACUAGGAGAUCUCAUUUCAUGCUUCACAACUUCACCUCUCUUCGGGAAACUUCCUCUGUUCUCAUCAUCUAUCUAUCAACACAAGAAACAGACAUCAAACUAAAGAUUGAAGAAACAGAGAGUUACACUUUAACAACAACAACGAAAGGGGGAAAAUAAUCACCAGAUUAAGCUUAGAUUUGAGCAUUUUGUCAUUCCCUCCAAACCUCUUUGAAGCUUGUUUACCUGAAAAUGCAUAAGAAACUCUUUUAAAACAACAUCCGUUUUCAGACAAAACCGUAGAGAAACCGAGACAGAGAAACACUAACCAGGAAGAAGUGAUUUGCGAGAAAAGAGCUUCUUUUUAGCGAAACGUCGGUUCCAAUCGAAGAGCUGGAAGAAAACGCCGACGCAACCGCCGAGUCGAUUUGGCCGUUUCUCUGUUAUGGCCGCACACGGCGCCGUUUUAUCAACCACCUCCUGUAACUCUCCCGUCAUUACCACGAAACCCUAACACCAGACAAGCUCAGAGAGAUCGAAACACACAGAAAAAACGUCUCCUUUAGAGACGCAUUGCCUCAAAUUUCAUAACUUGAAGUCACCAGAGAAGAAAAAUGUAGCUAGAAUCUGAGAGCGUAAACCCAGCGAAAGAAAAUAAAAAUACUUUCUUUUUGAAUUCUGAUUUUGAAAUAAAAAAAAAAAGGAGUCUCUCAGGUUCUGUGAAAUUUUUUGGAGCUCGUGAAGAAGAAGAAGAAGAAGAAUCUCUCAAGAAAAGCAGAGAGGAUGAGUGUACAUUAGCAUUAUCGAAAGCAUAGUUACGAGAAUAGGGAAAGAAAGAAGACAGUUGGAAAUCAGCAAAACGACAAUGGUACAGUGGAAGAAGAAGAAGCUAUGAUUCACAAAAAGGAAAAACGAAUCAUUAGAGCUAAAAAAGAAACUAUGAGCUUAAACAAGAAGAAGAUAAAUAAAGUCUUUGUCAAAAAAAUUGGGACUCAACGAGUAAUAUUCGCAAUUUGGAGUUAAAAAGUGAAACGAGACAAAAGCUAAAAGAUAGUGAAGAAGUGAUUGAAAGCGAAACGAGAGAUUAAAUCUUUUUGUGUGUUUUUGCUGUGAUUCUCUCUGCUGUCACUGGCGGUGAAAGGGGCUCGAGAGAGAUUAUUACAGCUUUUUUUUCUUGCAGGAGAGGAGAAGAGAAGAGAGAGAGAGAGCAUGCGCACAAAAGGUUAAGUAGCUGAUCAAACUAGACUUUGAGAAGAUAAAGUAAUUACGCAGAAUUAGUCUUUUUUUUUUUGUCAACAAUUAGUUUUUCUUUUGUAUGAAGCUAUGAUACAUUAAGGCUCUGAUUGGUAAUCUGCGGAAUGGCAGAAUUGCGUUUUUAAACACAAUUUCGCAGGUUUUUUGUCAAUCAACAAAAAUCCGCGUAAUGAAAAAAUACACACAAAAACGCAUACUGCGUUUUUGCUUAACAAAAAUAUAAAAGAAAAGUUAUUCCGCAGAAAAGCGACUUAUAAGUUAUUUAAUCUAUUCCGUAAGAUUUUUUCUGCAAUUCUGCCAUUCCGUAAAAUUACCAGUCGAAACCUAAGUUAAGGUUUUCUUGGAUAUUAGAAGAAGCGUAAAUAGUGGUUGUGGAAACCGAAGAACAUGAAAGGUUCGAGGGUUCUGUUUCUCGUUUUUCACGAAUCCAGUUUAAUCCGUAGUCCAUUUUCUCAGUUCCAACUCUUGCAUCGACUUCUGUUCCAAACAGACAACAAGUUUCUUUUUUGUUUAACUAAUAUUGAAAAAGGGAAAAAAGUAGAGUAUAAUCACUUCUGAUAUAUAAAUAUGCGAAAGAAAGGAGUAUUACUAUUUGUAUUAGCAUAUUCAUCCAAGAGAAAAAUAAAUACCAGAUAGCUAAAAUUAAUUUCAGUCCAUUGGGUCAUUCAUUGGCUUGUUUUGGUUUUUGAUAUAAUCAUUUCUAUUCAUUAACAAAUGGCCUCCUAAAUAUUUUAGACUCAAAUGCUUAAAAACUAUCGACAAUUAACAAAAGAUAUUCAAAUGUCCAAAAGUUAUAAAAAUAAAUAAACAACAAAGGAAUUGUAUUCAAAUUGUCAGCAUGUUUUGUCCAACACUGUUUAAAAAAAAGGAGAAUUCAGAAACAUAUUUUUUUUGAAAUUGUCCCAAAAUUUACAAAAACUUUUAGAUGAACUUUAUAAUUUUCAAAACUUUCUUGUAAGUCUUUAAAUAAUAUUCCAAGUCUUUUUAAACAUUACUCCCUCCGUUUCAUAAUAAUUGUCGUUUUAGAUUUCAUUUUUUGUUUUAAAAAAAGUGUCAUUCUGCAUUUUCAAUGUAAAUUUUUACUCUUAUUUCCUGUUUUAUUCCUCAUUUAAAGAUAAUAGUCUUUAUAAUUAAAUGUUAUAAAAGUAUAUUAAUUAGAGGUAUAUUUGUAUAUUUUCUUAAUUUCUUAAUAUGUGUGAAAUGUGUCAGAAUGACACUUAUUAUGAAACGGAGAGAGUACUAUUUUCAUAGUUUUCAUUUAUCCAAUUUUGAAGAUAAAUAAUAAAAUAUUACUCCUUUUGUUUUUUUAGAAUAGAUGUUUUAAAGAAGAAAAAAAUUAUUCCACAAAAACAGAUAUUUACUUGGAGAUUUUUGUUUUUACCUCGCUUCAUUCCUAUUUUAUCUUGUAUCUUGUUCAUUCAUAAUCAGAAACAUAAGAACAUCAUUAUCGUUGGUUUUUUGUGAGUUUCUUAUGAAUAUUUAAUAAUAAAUAUAAUCAAAUGAAAUAUUUAACUGAAGAAAAGUUUAUUAUUUGGGAAUUAUAAAAUAAGUUUUUUCUGCCACAUGUCUUACUUAAAUGGUUAACAACAUAUAAUAAUAAAAUAUAUUAGAUUUUUGGUUCUGUGGGCCACGUUUUUAAACAGAAUAUAAUAAUUAAAAAUUAAAUAAGAAAUCUAUAUGGUUUCUGGCGAUAAUGAUGCUCUAAUGUUAUUCUAUAUAGAAUGCAUUUUUAAUACGAAAUACAGAUUCGAGAUCGGAAACAAGGUGGAACGGAUAUCCUAUCCAUGGACCACCACCAUAUAAAACGAAAGAAGUAUAACACUAUAUAAAUAUAUAAUAUAAUCAACAAAAACUACUUUUCACAAUUGCCAAUUUUUCGUUAUUGCAUAUCAAAUCGGCUCGAAUGUGGAUAACAUCAACUAAUUCAGGGUCAUGGAACGUUAAUAAUCUGCAUUAUGGGUUUGAGUAAUCGUUCAAGAGAAUCGUUAUAUGGGUUCUUUAGUUUCCAUGAAUAAUGAAGUGGAUUUAUAUAUAUAUAUAUAUAUAUAUGGGUGUGUGCAACUGUGCAUAUAUAAAGAAGAUGUAGAAAGUUUGAAAUCUUUAAGAGUGUAAUAAGACAGAAAAAGCAGAGUUGCGUCUUUGUCCAUGUCUGACGAUUCUGAGAUAUGUCACGGACAAUAAUAACCCAUACACGCUAGGAAUCUCUACUCUCUAGCACAUCCCCCACACUUCUAUUCAAACACAGUUCCAAUUAUUUUCUUCUAGUGACAUAUUACAAUAUACAUACAAAUACUGUACAUUCAAUAAAAUAUAUAUAUUUUGUUUAGCUAUAAACUGAAAAUUGCUAGUAACGUUACUGUUUCAACUCAGAAGGCAAAACAAUUCUGAAGGAAAAUAGAGAAAAAACAAAAAAAAAGCGGUGUCAAAUUUUGUCAAAAUGAAAAAAAUAGUGAAGCCAGUCUUACUAUUUCCAAAAAGUAACAUUUUGACCAACAUGAAAAAACAAAAAUUCCUGGUGCUUUCUCUAGAACUCUGUUGUUUGAUUUAAACAUCAUGGUGAAUACUGGAUACUAAACGGUUGGCGAUUUCAUUUUUUUCUAUGACGCAACAGUACAUGUGAUGUUUCCUUUUGUUGUAUGAUGUUUCUUUUUGUUGUAUUAUACACAGUACAUAUAUAUUAUAGUUACAUGUUAAUAUUUGCUUGUGAAUGUGUUUUUUUUCUAUAUGCUUUAUAGCUUAGUAACGACAUGCAUUAUAAUAGUCUUGCCAAAGACUACAUAAACAAGCCUUUUAGAAAGAAAAAAAAAGAUUAAGAUAAACAAAUAUGUACUAUGCAUUAACAAUUUUAACAUAUUAUUUUAAUCCUUUGUAUAUAACUUGUUUUACUUAACUUAAUAUUUUAAAAUUUGUAUGUAAUUUUCAAAAAUACCAUGACACGUUGAAAAAUGAAAAUGAAGAUUGCUCAUAUAGCAAGCUAAUUCUAAUUUCCGUAAUAUAAAAGACUUUUUACACAUGCAAUAUAUUUUGGGCUUUGGUUUUAUGAACUAAGACUUUUCCAAGCCCAUAUGUUUCCUUUUUGUCGAUUUGAUUUUUGUAACACACAUUAUAUACUUAGCUAACUUCUCAUAAUCAUAUUACUUUUUCAAUUUUUUUUUUUAUUAUGUCAUGUCUACAUACGGUUCAAAUACAAAAAGUAGAACAACGAUUGUAAUAAGGUCGAUUAAAAAUCUGAUAUGGUACCAUAAAAAGUUUUUAGCGAGUGAGUAUGUGGACUGCUAUGGCUAAAUCAAGUGUGUCAUAUUAGGAGUUUAGGACCAAGCAUAUUGAUAUAAAUUUUCAUAAGGGAGUUGGCAGCUUCAUAUGAUAUUUAAGUAGAGAAAUGCAUACUUCGGAGAAUAUAAUUGAUAUUUUGACCAAAAUAGCUACAGCAAGAAGUUCAAGGAUUGUUUGGAAUUGUUCCAUAUCUUCCAUUGCUAAAGGAAGCUUCUAUAUUUCCUAUUUUUCUGUUUACAUCGAGUUUUGGAUUUGUAUAUAGAUCACAAACGUUUGUGAAAAUUCAUUCACAUUAUGAAUGAAAAAACCUAUAGACAAAAUGCCAGGGUACUCGCUUCAAAAAGGUUUUUUUCCUAGUUUCUACACUUUAAAAAUUCAUAAUUAUUCACCUGCAGUUAUUCACAAAAGAUUUAAUUACUUUUGUUCUUAAGGUUAUGACCUAAAUAACCUCUAAAAUGGAUAAAAAUGUUUAAACAUGAAAUAGUAAACAUGUAUCUAAAUAAAUUUUGAACCGAUUGUCAAAAUUUUAACUUAUAUAUAUCUAAAACGCGAUAUGGAACAAUACGGAACAAUAGCUAGUUAGUUUAGUCUGAUUUUUGAAAGAUCAGAGUUUGAUGCACUUACUUUUUCCUCUUGUUCCGCGGCUAUGAAUUAUAAUGUGGGAAUGUUGGGCUUUGGUUUUACGAACCAAAAACUUUUCCAUGUCCUUUCUUUUUAUAGAAACAAAAUUCGGCCUUGUAACCUCUUACAAGUUCCAAGUGGACAAUCUACCUUUUUGAUCGGAUGUCAUGACAUAGCUUAAUACGAUUAUAUAUAAAAAAUAGGGAUUAAUCUACGCUACAGCACAGAAAAUAUUUUUUUGUUCUUUCAAUUAAGUAAAAUACUUUUGUAAAAAACAGUUAUUAUUAUAAAUUUAUUUAUUAUCUCGUAUUCACAUAAUGAUGAUUACAUUAUCAAAUAUAUUAUAAUUUUUUUUUGUAAAAUAAUUUUGGUCCAGAUUACUAUUAUUUAAAAUCUAUAAUUUUAGUUCACAAAAUUUUUUAUGAUCCAGUCAAUUAAUGAAUAAAAUUUAGUUAUAUAAUAUUUUAUAAAUAAAAAUUAAUUUUAUAAAAUAUUCUAUAAUAUCUUACAAAUUAAAAUUAAAGUUUAUUUAUAUAAAUAAUUACUUAAAUAAUAAUCUAUUAAUAAUAAAAAAAAGUUAGAAUAAAUGGUUUUUUUUUCAGUACGUGCCAUAGAAACGGAGAACAACCCAAUCUAACCGAGUAGUCCAUAUAUAUUCACUCCAAAAUGAUAUUUCAAGUAUAUUAUAUUCUUAUAAAUGUUGAAUAAUAUUCUUUAAUUAUGAAAUUUACGAAGUCGACGCCACUUGCUUAUUUUUGAAGAAACUUUCAUUACUUAGUACUUACCACUGUUUUGUCAGAUCUCUCUAGUAUGAAAAAAUGUGAGUUAGAAUUUUAUAUUUUCAAAUCCGUUUAUUGGAUAAAUGUGAGACUUCUAUAUUAUUUUGCCAUCGUAUUGACAGACCCAUUUAGAAUGGAUUUAUGUGACAAUCUAAAAAUUUUAUGUGAUCAUUGUAAUGCCCAAUCCAUUUAUAAAGGAUUAAUGUGAGAAUUUUAGUAUUAAUUUGUCACUAUAUUGACACAUCCGUUUGAAUGGAAAAAAAUGUGAAAAUGUUUGAACUUUAAGUGUAUUGUAAUGCCAAAUCAUUUUAGAAUGGAAAUAUGAAAAUCCUGGAAUCAAUUUUUUUUAUUGUAUUGUCAAAUUAAUCUAUUGGAAGAAUAAUUUAUCUAUAAAUGGCUCAUGGACUUUUUUUAUUUACAACAUUAAAUCAUUCACAACAUUAGACCCAAAGUUAACAAAAUUUACCAAUAAGAAAAUUCAUGAAAAAAGCAAAAUAAAUAAAUUAAUAGAGAUAUGUUAUCUACAAAAAAAGUUUCUUAAAAAGAAAAAAGAAGAAGCAAAUUAGUGGCAACCAGAAGAGAAUAGGAUUAAAGUGUUUUUAGUGCCCUACAACCAUGUGGCGGUUAACAUCUUGCGAAUGGAUAAUUGUCAUCCCUACUUCCUUGUCUUAAAAGUGAUCUAAUAACAGUUCACAAUCAUAACUCCAUCUUUCGAACAUAUUUUAAGAUUAUCGUUGAUUUUUAGAAAAUAUAAAGAUUUUGAAGUUAGAACUGUUCGAUACCUGAUCACAUUGGUUUUUAGACAAAAAAAAAACAUUGAACUUUGUAAAGUUUGUAUAGAAAAUCUCCAAUGAGCAUUUAGUUCUCCAAAUAUUCUAUAAGCUUGUGAGAUUUCUAAUUCCGAUCGCGUUAACAACACAACUAAUAAAGUUAUAAAGAAAAUAUGACUGGACCAUUAGAUUACUGAUCGCCUUUUCAAUUUUUGCUAAACGUAUUUUAACAUUCCAUCUUGAACAAGGAAACAAAUUGCAAUAACUGUUGAACGCAAUCAUUUGGAUGUGUGUAUUUAAUAUUUAUUGAUGCGAUCAUAGAAUUAGAGGCUAAACCACGGAUCAAAGAUUAGGUCGUGAAACAAAAAUUGGAUGCGACCUUAGUCAUUCCAAACGGGCUAAUGACGAGAUCAUGCAUCAGGAGGUUGGUCGGAGCCGUUCAGAAGAUACUUGCCAAGCUCAGAAAUCAGAACAUGGAACCAGCAACAACUGAAGUCAUGACCCUUCUCACGUACCAGGGUAUUUACUGACUUCAGUCUAAUAUAGUUUUUGGUACUCUUUUUCCUUACAUCCGGGUUUGUCCCAAUGGAUUUACCGGAUAGGGUUUUAAUAAGGUCAAAGGCUAUACCAACACACGGCCGCGGUUCAGUACGUGCUUGGUUCACGGGUCAGAAGCUCAAGAGAUAUUUUUGCUUCAGCUCAAGGGUCAGUCAAAGCUAGACGAAGAGUUAGUCCAAGUUUUUCGUCAAAAUCAUUUAUUUUCUUUGUAAUUUCUUAUGCAUGACCCUUGGUCUAAUCUGCCCCUAUAUAAAGGGAUGAACCCUUCUCAUUUUCGGUCAUUCACUUUUCUUAAUAAAAUUUUGAGACUUUUCUCCUUUGUUUUUUUGAAAACUUUGUUGAUUCUCAGGUGGUUAGCCUAGAAUUAUUUUCGGUUUAUCAAGUUCAAUCCAUAAAACUUGAUGCAGCUUUCGUCUGCAAAGUUUAAAGUUUUCGUUUGUCGUAAUCGGGGCUUAGGGAUUUUCGGGAACCUAGUUCUCACGCCUUAACAUCCUUUUACCGACGAGUUCUUUUUAUCUUUGUUCCACCCCCUUGUUUCAAACUAUUCUUCGUGAGUUUGGGCCUAAGAAUUUUCGGGAGUCUUCUUUCACGCCUUAGCAUCUGCUCCAAGAGUCGUUCGGACUUAAGGAUUUAUCAACCGCCGGUCCAAGUGUGUGAAGUCCUUAGGGAGAUCGUAUCAAGUGGUAUCAGAGCCACACACUUGAAGAAUUCGGUAUUAUCUUUCUUUUUGUUUCUUUAACUUCCGCCUUAUCUCAUCUUUUUUUGUAAUCUUCCAGAUCUAUUUAAAAAAAAAAAUAGAAAGAAACUCUAUUAAAAAAAAAAACAAAAAUUAGUCAAAAAAAGAAAAAAAAAGAUCUGUGAACUCAAAUUCUUUUCUUUCUAUCUUCUCGUUUUCUUCUUCAUACUCGCUUGAUUUUCUGAUUUGGUUUUGGAUCUACAUCGGUCUCGAUUUAGUUCCUUUAGAACCGAAGAAAGUCUCUUGUGUGUGUGAAAAUAUUAAGAGUGCUGAGUGAAACACUGAGUGAAACACCAAGUGAGGAAUUUUAAUACUAACGUGUUUGUUCUUUUUACGAGGUACCAAUUUUUAUGUCAUCGGGUCCUUAUUCAGACUCAGGUGGAGAGUGGAACUACUACACCUUUCAUGACGGGAACCACAUUCGUUGGAUCAAUCCGGAAGAAAUGGAUGCCAAGCUCAACCAAAUCACCGAACUGAUGGAACGUAUGAACCAGCGAAUGGAUCGGCUGGAGAUGCAGCCACGGCAAUCCGAUGGAGAACGAAGUAAUGGCCGAAUCCGUGACGAGCCAGACCAUCUAAGGAGAGACCGCAAGCAAGAGGAAGUCCUAGACAAUCCCUUUUACGCAGACGGCCACACAUCUGGAGGAAGCCGUACUAGACCGCGAUAUCAUCGAGGCGUUCGUCGUGAUUGGGCAGAACGACGCGAGCCAAACCACGGGUCCGACCGCGGUCGAGAGGAUCAACACCAUGGACGAUACCCUGCGGCCCGAAACUGUGAACCAGCUGAUCUAUAUCAGGAGCCGUACCGCAGACAAGAACGGUGUGAACCAGAUGCAUCUCGAGGCCGACCUGAUAACAACCUUGGCGGGCUGAAGUUGCGAAUACCGCCCUUUUACGGGAAGAACGAUCCUGACGCUUACCUGGAGUGAGAGAAAAAGAUUGAAACCGUGUUUGGUUGCCAGAAUUUUACAGAGAGAAAGAAGAUCAAUCUGGCAGCUACAGAGUUCCACGGCUAUGUUGUAGAUUGGUGGGAUCAGAUCGUCACCAACCGGAGACAGAACGGGGAUCGACCCAUUGAGACAUGGGACGAGAUGGUGGGUCUAAUGCGACGACGGUUUGUUCCAAGCUAUUAUAACCGGGAACUACACAACAAACUUCGGCGAUUGACCCAGAGCACUAAAAACAUUGAGGAUUACUACCAGGAGAUGAAGCGGCUGAUGCUCAAGGCUGACGUGGAAGAACCGGAAGAUGCUACUAUGGCGCGGUUCCUCAGUGGUAUGAACCGAGACGUGCAGGAUCGUAUGGAGAUGGAGACCUAUCGGAGUUUAUCCAAUAUGUACCAUAAGGCCAUACUUGUAGAACAGCAGUUAAGGAGGAAGAACACUGUCCGGUAUGGAUCCAGCUCACGGCCCAACGACAAACCGAGUUAUUCUUCCCGAUCCGAUGCCAAGCCUAAGACCGAAUCUAAGCCGACUUCAUCCACAGCCGAUUACAAAGGCAAGACCGAGGCUACACCAGUCAGGAACAGAGACAUUGAGUGCUUCAAGUGCAUAGGUAAGGGGCACUAUGCUAACAAGUGUUCGAACCAGCGGGCCAUGCUACUUCUUGAUUCCGGAGAGAUCAUCAUCGACGAUGAAGAGGACACCAGACCGGUCUAUGAUGGCGAGGAGGAACACGCAGAUGAGGGUGAGUUGCUUGUUUCCAGGCGUGUUCUUAUUUCCCAGGAGCCGGUUAGAGACGAUGAGCAGCGGGAGAACUUGUUCCAUACCUGAUGCUUGGUCAUGGAUAAGGUUUGCAGUUUGGUGAUCGAUGGUGGAAGUUGUACCAAUGUAGCAAGCCAAACCAUGGUUGAGAAGCUGGUCCUAGAGACCAUGAAACACCCCCAGCCUUACAGUUUGUGAUGACUGAACAAUCAAAGGCAACUCAAGGUGACUAAGCAGGUAUCAGUUCCUUUUUCCAUUGGCCGCUAUGAAGACAAAGUUCUGUGCGACGUGUUACCUAUGGAAGCCGGCCAUAUUUUGCUUGGUAGACCGUGGCAGUUUGAUCACAAGACGGUCCAUGAUGGCUACACUAACAAGCACACAUUUGAGCAUAAAGGCCGGAAGAUCACACUUGCUCCUUUGUCACCGCGGAAAGUCUACCUUGAUCAGCUCAAACUUGAGCAAAACAGCAAAGGUAAAAACGUUCUGAGUGACCCCUCAAACACUACCUCCACUAAAAAUGAGAGUGAGGAAAUGAGAAAAACCCAGCAAAUGGCCUUUGAGAGUAAACCCGGGAGGUCAAACACUUCUUUAUUUGUGAGGCCGAGUGAGAUCAAACAUGCUAUGCUUUUAAGACAGCCUUUUGUCUUAUUUGUUUUUAAAGAAGGUUUGGCUAGCACUACUGACCCUAAGCUGGCCCUUCCGAGCAGCAUUUCUUCUGUCUUGCAGGACUUUGCCGAUGUAUUUCCGGAGGACGACCCACGCGGCUUACCCCCGAUCCGAGGGAUCAAACAUCAGAUCGAUUUCAUGCUUGGUGCCUCACUGCCAAACCGUCCUGCUUACCGAACCAAUCCGGUGGAGGCUAAGGAGCUGCAACGGCAAGUCGACGAGCUUAUGGCCAAGGGUUAUAUCCGGGAGAGUAUGACCCCAUGUGCUGUACCCGUGUUGCUGGUGCCAAAAAAGGAUAGAACCUGGAGGAUGUGCGUGGAUUGCAGAGCCAUCAACAACAUAACAGUUAAGUACCGCCAUCCCAUUCCGAGGUUACAUGAUAUGCUAGACGAGUUGCAUGGGUCUUGCAUAUUUUCUAAGAUUGAUUUGAAAAGUGGAUAUCACCAAAUCCGGAUGAAGGAAGGUGAUGAAUGGAAAACGGCUUUCAAAACUAAGCACGGUCUUUAUGAGUGGCUAGUCAUGUCCUUUGGUCUUACCAAUGCACCUAGUACUUUUAUGCGUCUGAUGAACUAUGUUCUUAGGUCUUUUAUAGGUGUUUUCGUUGUAGUUUACUUCGAUGAAAUUUUAAUUUAUAGCAAGACCUUAGAGGAACACGUUUUGCAUUUGAGAAAGGUGUUAGAUGUGCUUAGGCAAGAAUGGCUGUUUGGAAAUUUCAAGAAAUGCUCUUUUUGUACGGAUAACGUUGUCUUUAUAGGCUUUGCUGUGAGCUCGCAGGACAUUCAGGUCGAUGAAGAAAAGAUCAAGGCCAUUCGGGAUUGGCCGAGUCCAAAGACGGUUGGAGAAGUCAGGAGCUUUCACAGAUUGGCUGGGUUCUAUCGACGGUUGUCCGAGAUUUCAGUACCAUAGCCGCACCAUUGACCGAGGUCAUCAAAAAGGAUGUGGGCUUCAAGUGGGAACAGGCUCAGGAGGACGCCUUCCAUCUUCUAAAACACAAGCUUACUCACGCACCCUUACUUGUCUUACCAGAUUUCUUUAAAACCUUUGAAAUUGAAUAUGAUGCAUCUAGUGUAGGUAUCGGGGCUGUGCUGAUGCAGGAGAAGAAACCAGUCGCGUUCUUUAGUGAAAAACUGGGUGGAGCCACUCUUAACUACCCAACCUAUGACAAGGAGCUCUACGCCUUGGUCUGUGCACUCCAAACUUGGCAACAUUACCUCUGGCCGAAGGAGUUCAUGAUUCACACAGACCACCAGUCUCUCAAGCAUCUUAAGGACCAGCAGAAGCUGAAUAAGAGGCAUGCCCGGUGGGUGGAAUUCAUAGAGACAUUUCCGUAUGUUAUCCAAUACAAGCAAGGCAAGGAAAACGUCGUGGCCGAUGCUUUAUCCCGGAGAUACACACUGAUCUCUAUCCUGGACGCCAAGGUCCUUGGUUUCGAACUGAUUAAGAAAGCUUAUGCUUCUGAUCCAGAUUUCCAGGAAGUUUACGAAUCCUGUCUUAAGUUUGCUUCGGGAAUAUAUUUUCGGAAUGAUGAUAUCUGUUUUAUGAGAAUCGCCUUUGCAUACCUAACGUUUCUCUUCGUGAUUUACUUGUUGGGGAGGCUCAUGGAGGCGGUCUUAUGGGACAUUUUGGAGUAACUAAGACUCUGGCCGUGGUACAGGAACACUUUUUUCUGGCCACACAUAAAACGAGAUGUGGAACGGAUCUGCAGUCGGUGCACGGCCUGUAAGUACGCUAAGUCCAAAAGCUAAAACCAAGGUUUGUACUCUCCUUUACCCAUUCCUAUUGUACCUUGGACCGACAUAUCGAUGGACUUUGUGUUAGGUCUGCCUAGGACUAGACGUGGUAGGGACUCGAUCUUUGUUGUGGUAGAUAGGUUUUCGAAAAUGGCACAUUUUAUACCAUGCCAUAAGACCGACGAUGCAUCAAAUGUUGCUGAUUUUUUCUUUAGGGAAGUUGUGCGUUUGCAUGGAAUGCAUAGGACCAUAGUCUCGGAUAGAGAUACAAAGUUCCUUAGCUAUUUCUGGAAGACCCUCUGGUCUAAAUUAGGAACCAAGCUUUGUUUCUCUAUGACUUGUCACCCACAGUCCAACGGUCAAACCGAGGUGGUCAAUAGGACCUUGUCUAGUCUUUUGAGGUCUGUGAUUAAGAAGAACAUUAGGACUUGGGAAGAUUGUUUACCCCAUGUCGAGUUUUCUUACAAUCAUGCUGUGCAUUCUAGUACUUUGUAUUCACCAUUUCAGCUUGUAUAUGGUUUUAAUCCGCUUACUCCUUUGGAUCUCACUCCUUUACCUUUGAGUGAACGUGUAAGUAUGGAUGGCAAAAAGAGAGCUGAGUUGGUUAAGCAGAUGCAUAAGAAAGCCAAGAUGAACAUCGAGCAUAAGACGGAGCUGUACCGAAAGUAUGCCAACAAAAAUCGGACUGAGAAGGAGCGAUUUCCGGAAGAGAGAAAAUCCAAGUUGCUGCCAAAAGUGGACGGUCCCUUCACCAUUUUGGAGAAGAUCAAUGACAACGCUUACAAAAUUGAUCUCCAAUGUAAGUAUGCUGUUAGUUCCAGUCGGGGGGGGGGGGGGGGAAGAAGGGAACAUGGAACCAGAGGCUGAACCACGGGUCAAAGAUCAAGUCAUGGAGCAGGAACCGGACGCGGCUUUGGUCAUUCCGGACGGGCCAAUGACGAGAUCACGCACCAGGAGGUUGGCCAGAGCCGUUCAGAAGAUACUUACCGAGCUCAGGAACCAGAACAUGGAACCAGCAACAACAGAAGCCAUGACCCUUCUCACGUACCAGGGUACUUACUGACUUCAGUCUGGUAUAGUUUUUGGUACUCUUUUUCCUUACAUCUGGGUUUGUCCCAAUGAGUUAACCGGAUGGGUUUUAAUGAGGUCAAAAGCUAUACCACCACACGGCCGCAGUUCAGUACGUGCUUGGUUCACGGGUCAGAAGCUCAAGGGGCAUUUUCGCUGAAGCAGCUCAAGGGUCAGUCAAAGCUAGGUGAAGAGUCAGUCCAAGUUUUUAGUCAAAAUCAUUUAUUUUCUAUGUAAUUUCCUAUGCAUGACCCUUGGUCUAAUCCGCCCUUAUAUAAAGGGAUGAACCCUUCUCAUUUUCGGUCAUUCACUUUUCUUUAUAAAAUUUUGAGACUUUUCUCCUUUGUUCUUUUGAGAACUUUGUUGAUUCUCAGGUGGUUAGCCUAGAAUUAUUUUCGGUUUAUCAAGUUCAAUCCAUAGAACUUGAUGCAUCCUUCGUCUGUAAAGUUUAAAGUUUUCGUUUGUCGGAAUCGGGGCUUAGGGAUUUUCGAGAACCUAGUUCUCACGUUUUAACAUUUUCUUACCGACGAGUUCUUUUUAUCUUUGUUUCACCCCUUGUUUCAAACUAUUCUUCGUGAGGUUAGGCCUAAGGAUUUUCGGAAGUCUUCUCUCACGCUUUAGCAUCUGCUCCAAGAGUCGUUUGGAGUCAAGAAUUUAUCAACCUUCGGUCCAAGUGUGUGAAGCCCUUAAUAAGAUCGUAUCAUUUAUUUAGUAGAUCUGAGUGUUUCUUGAAUUAUAUUUGUCCAUAAUCCAAAAAUGGAACAGAGGAAACAGCAUGACACGUAAAGUAAUUAACUUUCUAUGUAGAACUAGUCUGCUCCAUGGAAGUUUGCUUCGGGUAAGCAACUCAAAUAUUACUUAUACUUUAUGCGUUUGUUAGUGGCAAUCAAAAACAAACUAAACUUCUUCAUGCUUUGUGUUUUUCCCUUUUACUUGUAUAGUUCAUAGAUCUGAUAAGUGACACAAAGUGGUAAAUGAAAAAAAGAGAACAGUAAAUAGUACCAAAAAUACUUAAAGAAGAAAAAAAUAAUGAUACAAAAAGUUGAAAAUAUCGUUUUUGGUACGCUAGUUCUUACUGUAUUUGUGAUUGUAACUACUGAAUUGAUAGAGUCCACAGUAUGAAAUCAGUAAAUUACCAAUUAAACAUUUGUACCGCACUGUGUUCUCUCAUUACUGAAAACUACUCAUUUUAUAUAUAAAUAUAACUGAGAUUUUUUUUACCGAAAUCUAAAUUAAUUUUUUAAUUUUUAGAUAUAUAAAAAAAUUAAAUAUUUUAGUUAUUUGAUGACAGUGACUAACAAUAAUUGGAAUCAAGGCCGACUAAAAGCCACUCCAACCAGACAGCAAAACACUAAAUUUGGUGUUAAAAUUACUCCAACCGAAUGGUAUAUGAGACGCUAUAUUUUUGUUUUUGCCGUUUCAUGAACAGUAUCACACCAUAUUUGGUAUAACACUCUUCAUCACACUAAAUAUUAAAAUAUUAUUAUUUUUAGUUGUUCUAUUAUAUAAUAUAAUUAGUUUGUUGUUUAUUCAUUGAUUAAAUAUGUAGCUAAAAAAAAUAUGACAUUGAUAUUUUUGUAUAAAUCAUUUUAAUGAUACAAAAAUUUAUUUGUAACAUAAUAUUUUUUCCCUCAAAUAAGAAUAUUUUAAAUAUAUAUAUACUUUUAUUUUAUUAUUAAUUACAAAGAACACUCAUUAUUUCUAAAUUUAUAAAUUAUACACAAAUAUUUACUUGUUAGUUUUGAUUUUUGGCUUUAUGGAUAUGUUCUACUAAAUGUUUUAAUGGUUUUAUAGAAAAACUUUAAUAUACCACACUAUCUCUUUGUGUUAACUUUAUUUUUUUUAAAUAUAAUUUUAAUUACAUAAUUUAAAUAUUUGUUUGUUAGUUUUGACUUUUGGCUUUAUGGAUAUGUUAAACUAAAUGUUUUAAUAGUUUUAAAGAAGUAUUUAAUAUACCAAACUAUCUCUUUGUCUUAAUUUUAUUUUUUAUUAAAAUAUAAUUUUGAUUACAUAAUUUAAAUAUUUGCUUGUUAGUUUUGAUUUUUGGUUUUAUGGAUAUGUUGUACUAAAUGUUUUAGUAGUUUUAUAGAAGAAUUUUGAUAUAACAUGUUUUGGUAUAAAACCUUAUAAGAAAUUUUAUAAACUUUUAUAAGAAAUCUUAUAAAUCUUUAUAAAUAGUUAUUGAUCAAUACUUAAAAAAAAGAAAAUUUAAAUAUAAUAAUAUAACAAUAAAGAAUAUUCUUUUUAGUGUGAAAUAUAAUGUUAUGGUUGGAGAUAGAAAAAAAAGUAGAACACUAUAACAUCAAAUUUGGUGUUAUUUUUACACUAAAUUUACCGUUUAGGUUGGAGAUGAAAACCUAAACGGAUCAGUAUAGGUGUACAACCUUCUAAAAAUAAAAAUCGGCUAUGUUUAUAAAUCGGUUUCUUUUCAUUUUACCAUAUAUUUUGCAACCUUCUUAAACUCAAAACCUACUUUGAUUGAUAACACAUAGAAAUACUAGAAUUUCGAUUCAUCCAAACCUCUCUCCAACACUAAAAGCAUAUGGUAUUCAACUGAGAAAAAACAGUUGGACGGUGUCGCAAUUAUUUACUUGACUCAAUAUGAGUCAUGACUAUAUGCCUUCUAAACGUAGAUUCUUCAGAAAAGUCAAUUCACCGCAGUAAGAUUUGGUGUUCAAAAUUCAUAAUAAGAAAAUUUAGUUUAGUUUUUUAUUUUAUUUUUUAAGCUAUGAAAAAUUAGUUUUUAAAUCAGGAAACUUUGGAAUAUAAAUAUAAAUAAAAAAGCCAUAGUUCAGAUUUUGUCUAUAUAUUUAAUAAAAGACAUAGUUCAGAUUUUAUUUAUAUUUUUAAUUACAUACAUGCAGAAGUCCUAAUGACCUUAGGAUAUGAUCUAUAGCCUGACUCGCAAUAACACACGCCACGCUAAAUUAAAAGUUUGAUACGAGCCGUGUGAACUAACUAUGAUUUAUUAUGACCACUAAAGUAUGAAAAUUAUGUUCCUUUCUAGCAAAUUUAAGCCGUUAAUCAUUCAAAAAAAAAAUUAAGCCGUAAAAUAGAAUGAAAAUAGCGUAGAAGAUAAUAAACGAAUAAUUGGCACGACGUUAAGCGUAACUUUACAUGGAAUGAUAGGGAGAAAAGUAGAUUUCACGUCAAUUAUUUAUAUUUUUUUCCUUUUUAUUUGCUUUGCUUUAGUGAUAAUUCACAUUAACUGGUAAUACACACCAUGUGAGAAAUGUUCAAAAAGGAACAGAGUAGGACAAGCUCGAAAGAUAAUUGUUUACCUGUCAUUUGUCUUGUCGCACUUUCUAAUUGUAUUUUGAGAACUCUAUUAUUAUUUUAUUAAAAACACUUAUCAUCUAAUUAGUCACUGUUAUAUUACCAAAAUUAGUUUAGUAAUAGACUAAUAGAAUAAGUCAAGGUAAUACGUCUUGUGCGCAAAAUUGAAAAUUCAAUCAAAAUGAUCUUUUCAAUUUAAAACGUCAGUCUCGUAAUUGUCUUUGUCCUACAAUUACAUUGCCACCAAAUGUAGUAGAUGUAAUGCAGGACAACUCGUUAAUAUUUUAUUUCUAUUUUACUUAUUUAAUUUUUAUAAUUCAACCACUAAUUACAACAAUAGAUUAUUCAAGUGAACGAAUCAAUUUAGAAUCAUUGAUUGAAAACUGCGAACGACACGGCCGGUUGAAACCUGAUCCACAAAUUGUCCCAAACAAUUAAUAUUUUGAACCAAUCUAUAAAAAUUAUUAAUGCCUUCGGGGGGAGACCAAUCAAUUUGAUUUCUCGUUUGAAUAAUGUAGAUCGGUUCAAAUUUCUUAGUUAAGAAAAUCAAUGAAAUUGGAUAAAAAUAAGAAACAAAUACUCCCUCCAGAUUUAUUUAGUUGUCGUUUUAAGGUUAUGCACACAGAUUAAGAAAAUAUUAAUUGUAUUAGUUUUUCAAUAUAAAAACAUCAUUAAUUAUUUAUUUAAACACAAUUUAACUAAUAAUAAAACAAAUUGCAUAAUAAAAAUAAUUAUAAAAAUUAAAAAACUAAUAAAUGUUACAUUAAAAACUGAAAACGACAAUUAAUUUAAAAUAAACAAAAUUUUCUAAAACGACAACUAAUAAAAAACGGAGGGAGUAAUAAUUUGUAACAAACUACAAAAUAAUGAUUAUAUAUAUAUAAUUUAGAUAACAAAUAAAUUUUUGUGUUCUUCAUCUUCAAUGAUGAUAAGAAAAUACGAAUAAAUUUAGGUUACUUCUUUUUUUAUGUGGGUAGCUUUGCAUCAUCCAUGUAUUACUCCAAUUAUUAAUUUUCAAUCGCUCUCAGUGCAAAAAGUAUGUAAAUAAAAAAGUAUUAACAGAAAAUAUCGAAUUGUUUUUCCUUUCUCUAAAGUACUGUCUAAUCAGUGACAAAAAAAUACAUAAGAUAGACGUUUAAAAAAAAUACACAAGAAAAAAAUAAAAAAAUUUAUGUGAUGCUCAACCCUAAAAUACUAAUGCAGGUGAUAUGUAUCUGAAAUUAGCAGCCUCUUAAAUUAAAAAAAAAUCUAGAUUUAAACAUUGAUAAAGACAAACUAACAUAUCAAACAAAAAACAAUUACACCACAACAAUCUAAAUCAAAUAAAAUAAAAAAGACUGAAAGAAGGUUGGCAAUAGGACCCACAAAACACACUGUCAGAAAAUCUUCAGAGUUUCAGAGAAGAAGAAGAAGAAAGAAAAAGAAGAAUCAAACAGUAGUAAAUCCCAGGAAUAUUAUAUUUUCUUACCAAAUCAAAAAACCUAUCUCUUCUUAUUCUUGUCUCUUCCAUUUCCAGAGAAUAUAGAUCCUAAACCAAACAUAUUCCCAGAAGGGACCAUGUUUAUAACCGGACUCACUCUAAUCCCUCCUCCAUGGCUUCCAUAACUGUAACCUCCGUAAUUUUUCUUCAAUGGCGGUUUCUGAAAGCUACUGUUACUCGAUGUAGAAGAAGAAGAUGAUGAUGAUGAUAAAGACGACGAUUGUUGUAGCUUUAUAUGCUCUGUUGUGUGUUUCCUCGAGCUCUGUUUCGGUUUACUCGACGUAGAACCGGUCGAAUUACUCCGGUUUAGUAACGGUAACGGACAUAGACUCCGUCCGUAACUACUUCCACAGUUUAAACUGCUGCUUCUCUUAAACCCCCAAAACGACUUCGUAUUGGGUUUCUCCUCCGUUACGGAGACGUCAUCGUCUUCUUCAACCGGUUUCCUCUGUUUCCUAAAAUCCGGUUUAGUCGGUUCGGUUGGACCGGUAUCGGGACCUUUCUGACCCGGAUUGCGUUUCUCGGGCGGUGGCGAUUCGGGUUUCUUCUUCUUCUUGAUUUCUGUUGGCAAGAUUUGUCCGUUACGGAAGAGUUCGUCGGCGGACCAAGAGCCUUGGUCGAAGCUUUCGGCGGAGUUUACGCCGCCGGGAAUGCAGAAAUCGAAAUCGAUGCUUGAAUUGAGACUGGACGGUUUCGAAUUCGACGAUCGUAAGGGACGUUUCUCGAUCGGAAUUGCAUCGGAUUGACAAAAGUCACGAGAAAAUGAGAUUCUUGGACUCAUAUUAGAAUUUUCCGAUAGAAGAUCCACCGCCAUUAUAGCAAAACGAACAAUUUCCGAAUUCUGAGAGAAAAGGAAGAGACUUUCUUGAAUAUUGAUAGAAAGAUAGAGAGACGUGGAGAGAUAUUUGGGGAAGAAGGUGAAGGUGGAACGAUAGGAAGGGUUAGAAUUUAAUUUAUAUUUUUUACAAGUGAAUUAAAUUUAAAUAAGUGUUUUGAUUUUGAUUUAAUAAAAUGGAAAAUAAAUAAAAAGAAUUUUCGGGUGAAAGAAAUUGAAAAAGUGAAAGGGAAGGAAUAAAUAAAGAAAUGCUAAUAGAAGAGGGGACAGAGAAGCGUGUCUCUUGCUACAUAUUCACAUGCAUGGGCCAAAAAAGGAUAUAUGUUGGUUCUUCACUUUGUACAAUUUUAUUUUCUAUGGUAUAAUUUUAUUUGAUGUAUAUCUUUUGAAAAUUCUUUUAAGAGAGGCUAUUUGGAUCAUUGAUCUGGGAAGAUAUGGAAUUUUUUAUAAAAUCCACUCUUAUUGGAUGUCCAAUAUUUCAAAAAGAUAAUGCAUUUCGGAAAUCUCUUCAUGUUAUAGGAUAUACCAUGUCAAAUUAUUUUACAAUAAUAUACAAUCUACCAUUAUUAUUUUGAAAGUUUAUAAACUAACAAAAAAAAAUCUAGGGUUAUUGAAUCAUUUCUAACUGUAAAUAAAGAGUCUGAAAUUUUUCAAAGAUUUGAAUAUAUGUACUUAUAGUUAUAUACUCAACCCCUUGAAAAUCUCUAGAAAAACUGACUUUUUUGGAGAUUUUUAGAAAUAAUAUUUCAAAUUUAUCAUUUUUUGUUGACUGAAUUAGGUUUACUGGGUACUAUAGAUGGGAGAUAUAGGUUUUUCCGACUCUGAUACAAUGAAAUAUAUUUUGAGACUAAAUUUUCUUUGAGUAUAUAUAGCUUCAAAAUAAGAAUGAUCAACUGAAGAUACCUUGAACAAAUGAAUGAAAAAAUGUAGUAUGUAUUUAUUUUUUAUGAUUCUCGAUGUUAACAAUGAUUUUGCUAAGUCUUUUGCGUAUGGGGAAGAUGCUUCUUUCAUCGAUCCUUCUGCUUUUAUAGCAUUCCAAAACUAAUUUCUCCGGUCAUUACAAGAAUUAAAUUCGUAUUAAUUCUUUCGAUUUAACCGUUCCCCUUUUUUAUUCUUCGGGCUUUGAACAAUUCUUGCUUUGCGAGGUAAUCAUCUUCUUUGUUUCUUUUGGUAUUUUUUUUUUUUAUUAGUCCACUGAAUUUGGAUGAUUUACUUUAAUUUAUUUGUGUAUUGUUCUCUCUAGGCUGUCAUGGAUCAGGUUCAUAGUGAAAUCCAACACUAAAAACAACGAUAUGAUCGAAAUUUUGAGAGCAGGUAGAAGAAUCUCUAAUAAUUUCAAAUAUAAAAUAAUCCACCAAAACUUUAACCUGGUUUGUAGCAAAUAAGUUUAGAGUGAGAUUAAUUCUCUAAUUGUGUGAGUUCACCACAGCCAAAAAAAACAAAAAAAAGAGCUACAUCCCCGUUAUGAACUUUUUUUCCUUCAGCAAAGGGGAAUCAAAUAAAAACGACUAACUUUUACAAAAAGAAAAAUACGGUUAAUACAAACACUACAAGAAAACAUUACAUAUUCCUACCAGAUAUUUCAUCAGAAAAUCGUAGGAAACCGGCUUUUCCUAUCAAUUUCCUACCAAAUAUUUUUGUAGGUUCUAUGCCGUCAGAAAUUUUCAAAGGUAGAAAAAUCGUAGGAAAUUUCCUACGAAAAUUUUGGUAGAAAAAUUUUGGCGGUAGGAUAUUCGUAAGGAAAAUACCUACCAAAUUACUUCCAUCUUUCUACGAAAUAUUCCUAUCAUUUUCCUACCACUUGAGAUUUUGUAAAAAAUAAAAUUAAUUUUAUAAAUUAAAAAAAUUAAAUUAAUUUCAGAAAUUAAAUUUAAACUAAAAGAUGAAUUAACUAUUAAUUCGAUUAUUAAUAUAUAUAUAUAUAUAUAAACAAAUUAAUUAAAAGAGAGAUGAAAAUCUUAUUUAUAGAAUAGCUUCAUCAUCCAAAUUGUCUCAGAUCAUCGAUGUGGGACAAAACCAAAGUUGAAAUGUUCCUACAAAAUUCCUACGAUUUUUUUACACAUAAUAUUUCGUCAGAAAUUAGUAGGAAAUUUCCUACGAAAUACUUACUAGUAUAAUGGUCAAUUGUAUCCUAUUACUUUCCUUUCAAAUUUUGACCGCGUGGUAAAUUAUUGGUAGAAAAUAUCCUACGAAAUUUCGACAUAAUUUUUGGUAGGAAAAUCCCUACCAAUUUCUUAUCACUUUUACUUUUUGUCAAAAUUACGUAGAAAAUUGGUUAUAAAAAUUUCUUACCAAAAAUUUCGUCAAAAUUUUCAUAGGAAUAUGAGAUGUUUUCUUGUAGUGAAACAAUUUAGCAGUACAAAUACUUGAAAUCUACAUAAACUUAGUCGGAUGUUAAAAACAAACAAGAAAAAUUUUUUAUGUAUAAUAUCUCAUACAAAAUACACUGCAUUUUUCUGAAAUGUCCUUCCAAAAUUGCACAUCGGUUUUUGAGUAAUUGGAGGAAAUAACAACAUGUUACUUACAUAAAAAAAUGUUUAGUUUUUGUCAUUUGACAAACUCGCUCUUGGUUUUUUUUAGCUCACAAAAAGAAAAUCAAAAGUUACAGAAAAUAUUUAGAUCGUAUCAAAACCCAAUCAAACCCAAAGUCAAUAAAAGUAAUCUAAAUCCAAUGAUAAGUCAAAAAACAUAUGUGCAAUGUUUGAAAUGUUUAGAGAGUCAACGUUGGGAUUCGUGUUGACUAAUGUGAUGAAGCAUUGAACAUAGACCAAUGGUGCCAAGUCACCGACCCGAGACUUUAACCAUACUAAAGUUUCGUCACGAACUCUAUCAAGUUAAAGAAGUGCAUUCACAUAUUUUAAACCAAAUCAAUGAUGCUUUUACUAUGGUGUACUAGGAAAUGCUACAUUUUAAAGUAUUCCUGAUGAACAAAUUUCAAACGAACACAUGUCUCGCUUCUACAUAUCCUUAUAUGUUGCUUGCGAUAACUAUAACCAAGUAAAAACAAAUAUAUUAGGUAAUCAGGUAUUCUAAAUGCUAGAAAGAUUAGUUGAAAUUUUAGCAAAAAAUGGUUAGAUGAUAGUAUAAUUCUUAUAAAGUAUAAGAAUAAUAAAAAGAAAAAACACGGUGGCAUUGUUGAUACUCCCCAAUCAAUACGAGCAGACACAUAUCAUAUAUAUAUCAAAAUUCAAGAAUAUAUAAGAUUUUAGGUUAGACCAUAACACAUAUGCGUUGUUAUCCACUUUUGUAAGUUGAAUAUGAAAUAUUUAUCUGGUAUCCUUUUACAAAAAAGAUUAAAAAAAAAAUGAAAUUCAUGUAUCUGAUCUAAGAUUUCGUUAUGUUUUUUUUUUUUCAUUGUCACGAUUGUAUCUUCAUUCCUUUUAAAUUUAGUGUCUACUUAGUUCCGUUGUAUACUUCUUAUACAUACCACUUGUAAAGCAGUGACAAAACCCUAAUUUCUAGUACUUAUAGUCGAAAGUAUACUUUUUCUUUUAAAACCAAAAAUUUCUGAGUCUAGACCCAUAAUAUUUUUGCCGGGAAUUAGACCAAGUUAAUUUAGUCUCUUUCCCACCGUCAAUUCUUUGAACCCAAAAAAAUGGGUUAGUUACCGAAGGCGGAUUAUAUUCAACAAUUAAUUCAAAUAUAGCUUCCUAUUUCAAGGAAAGAAAUAUUACUCAAAUAAAAUGAACUUCUGUGUAUUCUAACUAGAUGGGUCUUUAGUGAUAGAGAAGUCCAAACUCCUUCAUUUUAAUGAAUCAGACGAAUCAUAAGAGUUUGCUUUUAUAAAAAAAAAAAGAGCUUGCUUUUCAUCAAAAUAAAAAUCGAUUUUUGCUUAAAGUGAAAGUAAAGAAAUUGUUUGUGUGAUAGAAAGAAAAGAGAAAAGGAGAUUUCAUAUUAUCUAGAGAAUGAUAAGGAAAUUACAAAACAAUAUACACUUGUGAAUUAUAUAUGAAAACAGAAAAACAAAGUAAGCAUGGGCAUGGGUCCGAUGGCUACGUACUUACCGAAAACGAAGAAAGCCACUUAGAGAAACUGAAGGGUUGAUAAAUGGUCCACGUUUUCCCCUAAAUCCUUUCUUUUCAUAACCAUUGGGUCGCCCAUGAGCCCACCUAAAACCAACCCGACCCGAUUAGAUCCAACCAAGAAUUGUCUACUCUUCUUGAUCACUUUGCCUAUUUUGGCUGCUCUCGGUAAUAUUAACAAGAAGUUGUCCAAUUCGGUUAGGGUUUGGUUAUGAUGACAGAGAGUAAAAGAUGGUCCUGUCCGACAAAUAGCAUUGGUGCUGUUUUGCUAACAAGUACCGAACUGCUUUGUUCAGACCAAAAACAAAAAAUAAUCAAUCUGCUUUGUUCUCUACAGAAAUUGAUUAUAAAAGCUGAAAUGGUAAAAAAAAAAAAGUUGUUUCCCUUAAGUCAUGAAAAGAAGAAAUAUUGUUUUUGGUUCCGUUUGAUUUAUCAAUCAAUAUGGCCUGAAUCAAUAUGACCACUGAGAUAAUCAUCCAAAUCCAGAGAUAUGCAUGGUCGUCGCCCUCGUAUUAGAGAGGGUUGUGUGCAUGCUCAUAGGCUUACUUACAGUCCAAUUGACCUCACCAAAGUGAUAGAUUCCUUUCCCAAAAUCUUUUUGUGAAUAUGAAUAACAUAUUUCUUGAUGAUUUUUUUAUAGAUGCAACAGUAAAAAAUCUGUCGGAGGAUCUCUCGCCUACAUUUUAGUUUGCAUAAAAAAUGUGAAGUUUGGUUUACAUUUAAUGUAUACGAUUAUGGAUGUGGAUCUAUCGAUCUGUGUAUGUCAUUUUGAUGAUUCUUGGACGAGUGACGGUGCAACUAGUGGUUCUUGAUGGAUUAAUGGCACAUCCAGUUUAUUGGGUGAAAUCUCAACACCUUCAUCUUUAAACUCCAUAAAUGAUUUGGACAAUGAAAUGUCAACAACAUAAUCACGAUUUAUUUAUAUUUUGUGAAGGUUUUUAUAUGAUGACUUCUGCACCAAAGUUACAUGAAUUAGCCAUGAUUAUUAAGUUUUUAUCUAAAAGUUACAUGAAUUAGCCAUGAUUAUUAAGUUUUUAUCUAAAAGUUACAUGAAUUAGCCAUGAUUAUUAAGCUUUUAUCUAAAAGUUACAUGAAUUAGCCAUGAUUAUUAAGCUUUUAUCUAAAAGUUACAUGAAUUAGCCAGGAUUAUAAGUUUUUAUCUAAAAAUGAGUUAAUUCGUCAAUUACAUAUACAAACAACGUUUAGGCAGAUUUCGUUGCUUCAAUAAUUAAAACGUUUAAAUUCUAUUUCGUUGCUUCAAUAAUUUAAAACGUUUAUUCUCUUUAGUAACUUUAGUUGUGAUGCAUCGAACUUUGUUUGUAUAAUAAAGUUGCAUAUGCUUGUUGACACAAUAUUCUCAGUUUUCUAGCAUUGAUAAGCAUUUGUAGACGAUCAAAGAACCAUGUAGGAUACAAAUUAGUUGUCAAUAAUCUAAAAUACAAGUUAUAAUGACUUUGUACCUUACAAUCUUACACCACUUAUACAUUACAAUUCUGUUGGUCCAAACCACCUAAGAAAGAAAAAAAGAAAAGAUGAAGAUCGUUAUACCAAACAAAAAAAAACCCGCCAAUUUUCUAAAUUAACCCUUUUUAUUAGUAAAGUUUUCUAAAAAUCAACUUUUUUUUUGUCAACAACUAAAACCAAUCUUAGUCAAAUUUUUGAGUUAUCCAAAAGAAGUCGACAUUUUCGUUAGUUCCAAAAUAGCUCAAACUUUAGAGUUAUCUAAUUUUUUUGAUGAUACUACGUAACAAGUUUAACAUUCAAAAAUUACUCUAAUCGAAACAAACUUGAAAGAAAAAAACUGCUGUGGAAAUAAAUAAUACGCGUUAUCUUGAAAAAAAUAGGAAAACUAAACGCGCGAUUUGGUCAAUGUGGUCGUGGAUGGGUCACCUAAUCUUUUUAAUUUCCCUCUAAAAAAAGAAGAAAUAAAUUUUCUCCCAAUUUCCUCGAAGAAGAACAUUAGAAAAUAAAAUGUCAGGAACUGAAAAAAACUACGAAACCAAUCAGAUUCGGCCAUUUCUUUCCCUCUUUUCUUUUUUCUCCCAAUCACUCUUCAGAUUCCGAAAAAAAAAGCAAACAAAGAAAGAAAAAAUAGAUUCUUUAUCACCGGAGUUUUCACCGGACUCUUAAAAGAUGAAUACGCCGAACUGGGAACUCCGGAGUUGCUGUAACCGAAACCAGAACACGUUCCUCAUCACCAUCGGAAUCUUCACCGUCGUUAUCCUUGUGGUUAGUUUUUCCCAUCUAAUGUCCUUGAGAGAAAGAGUUUAAAGUUUUGACCUUUACUUGUUUUCUUCGAUUCAAAUUGAAGAUCCGACAAAUUUUUUUGUAAAAGUUAGUUUAAAGGGUAUCUCGAUUGUAGUGUUUUAUGCAACUGUUGACUUAUAAUUUCAUUCAAAGUUUGUGACUUUUGGCAUCAUAAAGUUUCUAUAUUUGUUCUUGUUUCUUAAGAUCUUCACAGAGAUUUCUUGGUUUUGUUUUUAACAGCUAUGGAGGACAUUUCUAUUGACUCCAUUUAAACUAAUCACGGUGUUUUUGCACGAAGCGAGUCAUGCUGUUGCUUGCAAGCUCACAUGUGGAGAUGUAAGGAAGCUCUCUCACUUCAACUACUACUUCAAUGAAACUAAAAAAGGUUACAAAACUGAUUUUAGGUGUAAACCCUUAAUUCAGUUUGUAAACUUGAAUUGUCCUUUUGAUUUGUUAAAUUAUACUGGUUGAUUUGUGAUCCACUUUGCGAGCAUAACAUCUCUUUAGAUAUGCACAUUUACCAGUCGAAAGGUUUGCUUUAGCAUUGAUGUCUCUGCAUUUUCUCUGGACAUGACUGUUUAGCAUAGAGUGGAUUUUAGCAUCUUGAUUCAGUUUGCAAACAUAAACCGUCUGCUUCGAUAUGGAAAAAUACACUUGGAACUCAGACUAAUUUUAGGUUCCUUGAAAGUUUAAAUGCGGUCGGGGUUCGCUUUGAAUAGGCAGAGAAGAUGUUUUUGUUAUCAUCCACUACUCGCAUGGCUUUCUUUAGCAACAAUACCUUGUGUAGAUUGCUUUAGCAAUGUUUGUCUUUGGAUAUGGCUGUUUAGCACGAUCGUAAAGUUGGCAUCUUGAUGUCGAGUUACGAUAUCCUUAUUUAUUGUGCCAUUCGCUAUAUUCCUCAUUUGGUAAACAUUGUUUUAUCCUCACUUGUAUAUGAUUCUCGCUCUAUUGCUAAUAUGUAAACUACUAAUAUACGAAUAUACGUCAUUAGUCUAAGAAGCCAAGACACACAGUUAGCUCAAACCUUAGCUUUAGGUCGACCGUAGCGUAGGACUAAAUGUUAACAGAUUAUAGCUGGCUGCUGGUCUGAGUUUGUGAGAAAGCAGUUAGUGAAAGCGAAAUCUGUAAAGAUGUCUCUGCAGAUUGUUAAGGCUGUAGAAUUUAUAGAAUUUGAUUGGGAUUCCGGAUGAAAGCCUUUUCAUUAAUAAGUUUCUCUAGUUGGUGAGUGUUAUAAGAAUAGCAGUGUACAGCUUAGCUCUUAUCAUAGUUCCAAUAAUGCAGAAAAGAUAGUAGAUAAGUUACACCGCUCAGCCCAAAAAAAAUCUUUGAUUAUGUAUUGAUUGCACAUUAUUUUCAUCAAAUGCGUGCAACAUUCUCUAUGUUAAUCUGCAACUUCAUUUUUUCAGUUUGCACUUUGCACAGUCGCAUAUAAUAUGGAUAUUGUGUGCCUAAAAACAAAUGUGGCUAAUUUUUGUUUGAACUUAAUCUUCUUCGUAUUGAAUCAAAAAGGUGGAGGGGAUGGAGGUGAAUGCAAAUGAAGGAGGUUCCACAACAACACGUGGCGGCAUCUAUUGGCUGAUCUUACCUGCUGGCUGUAAUAUACAAUCUGUCUAUCUCCCUUAAACAAAUCAACCAUUUUCAAAUUUGGACCUUCCAUUGUUGAUGGCUAAAAGUGUUACAUAUAUAUUUGUUGUAAUGGUUAUAGAUCUUGGCUCAUCAUUUUGGGGAAUGGCUUUGAUUCUUGCAUCUACUAAUCUGCUUACAGCAAGAAUAGCUGCUGCUGGUCUCGGUCUUGCUUUAUUCAUCGUCCUCUUCAUUGCCAAAAACGUAAGUAGAAUUCAUUUUUAUCUCAUUGAGGCAUUGACAUCAAACCAAUGACAUCCAAAUUUUCAACCUUGACAGUGGACGCUUCGAGGUCUUUGUAUAGGUGUGCUAUCUCACGGUUCUUCUUGUUAAAUUUUUCAUUUUUUAGUUCUCAAAAUGAUAGUUGACAAAAAGAUUCUAACAAUCAGUGAAAAAGUCUCUCAGGUUUCAUAGUUUUCCUCGCUAUCAUAUGGGUUCUACAAGAGUUAACUACAGUAAAAAUUCUCCGUUAUGUCAUUCUGUUCAUCGGUAAAUGAACCUCAUUUUGUUCAGUCUUGUUAACAUGUUUGAGUUUCAUCUUCUCCGUAUGAAAGCCAGAUUCUUGAUAUUGCAGGUGUGAUGAAUAGCUUAUUCUCAGUUUACGGUAUGUGUUUCCUUUUCUCUCCCAAUAACUUCACUUAAAGUUAUGAACUUAUGAACAAGAAAGAAGCCUCAUUUGGUUUUGUUCUGCAAUGGCUAUUAGAUAUCUACGAUGAUCUGAUAUCGCGAAGAGUCCAUUCAAGUGAUGCUGAGAAGUUUGCAGAGAUCUGUCCUUGCUGUACUGGUUGUGGCUGGGGUGUCAUAUGGUGAGACUUUAAUCCAAUUUUACACACAAAAAACAACAAAUCUUUGUUUUUUCUUUGUUUCUGACCAAAAAUGGUUUUGAUUUUUCAGGGGAAUGAUAUCUUUUGCGUUUCUUUGCGCAUCAUUGUAUCUUGGGCUAGUGAUCCUAUCAUAAAAAGGUGUUCUUUUGGUUUUGGCUUUCUUGUUUUUUGUUAAGCACAUUUUUGCUUUUGAAUUUUGAUUAAGCGUUUUCAUGAUUUUUGUGAAUUUUUGGUGUCUCUCAGGUUUCAAAUUCUUUCCAGUGAACUGCGGAGUCUCCUUUCUUUCAUCUAUGCGCAGUUUUUUAACAGAAAACAUUUUUUUGAUUAAAAAGCUUGAUUCUUUAGAUCCCUUUGAUGUAUUUACAUUUGAUUGAAAGUUUAGGGUUUAUCAUUUUUUUUUUAUUCAUUUUGGAGUUUGUGUUGAAUAGAAUUCAUUGAUUGUUCUGUUUUAAUGCAUUGUAAGUCCGUUGAUCUUGUCAUCAAAACAAAACUCCGUCGACUUAUUCCUGUAAAUGGUCAUAGUAUCCUCGAUUAGACUUCGUCCUUUCUUCCAAAUUGAUACUUAAACACCAAAAUCUAUUAUAUAAAGACUCAGCUGAGUCUCACAAACUUGACACAUCAGCUUUCGAAAAAAAUAAUUUUCUCAAUUCCAAAAAAAUCUAAUUUAUCAGCCAUGACACAAGUACAAAUCUAGUUUCUAUCUAGAAAAGUCAUUCUCUUACAAUAAAAAGGAAAUGCAUUGAAUUUAUAGUGUUAUUACUUUGUAAACGACACCCGAGAAAAUUGAACGAGGCUAAAAUAAAUUCAUUUUUAUAAAAUGGAGCGGCAUUCCACCUAUUUUUCAUUUUUCUCUUACGCGCUUAAAAAGCUCCAGAAAUCAGGUAUAGCGCAACUGCAGUCACGUUCAUAACCAACAUUAGAAAAGAAUUAAGGUCUUGAAAUAACAUAUCCAAAAUGCAUAUUUCUUGUGUUAAUUUUGUUUUAGUGAUUGUGGUUUUUAGUGUUUCAGAUCAGAAAGGCGAUCAAAUACAUGGAUAUAAUCACUCUACUCUACGUGUCUACGAGGAGGAAAUGAUAACCAAUCCUUCUCUCAUAGAAAGAGAGCUAGGAUCAAGCUGUAUGUAGUGUAAUUACACACUAUAUAUAUAUAUAUAUAUAUUCAUUCCUAUUUUAUGUAUAUAUAUAAGAAAAACUUUAUGUGCCAUUAAAAAAAUUAUUUCUUGUUUCCAUAUUAAUUUAGAGUUUUAUAUGAUGUUUUUUGUUGUUCGCAAAACAUUGAAAAAACCAUAAAUAGUUUGUUUAUUGCAUGCAUGAAAAAUUAUGAUAUCUUUGUAUGCGUAAUGCUCUGGUGCCUAACAAUAUUAUUAGGUUUAGAGCAGAUGAUAUAACAAACGAAGUUGAAGUUUUAGAGGCAUUUUGUCUUCUGUUCAAUUUCUGUUUAUAGUUUUCGUACAUCUUAUAUAUAUACAUAAAACUGACAUAUAGUGAAUGCUUAACUCAAUCUAAAAUCAGUUAUAAAAUUUUCUUACGUAGCGCCUUAUUUCUCUGUCACAUAGACAAAAUUCUUUGUGUAUCAGGAGAAUGUAAUGCCCAAAUUUUAUCAUAUUUACUUUAUUGACGUCCGAACUUUAUAUUUUUAUAACAAAAAAUGAAUAUUUAGAAAGAAAUUAUUGUUUUUAAUAUUUAUUACCCUAAGCAGAACUCAAAGGAUUUGAGAUGAGAUUUAAAGCUAAGCUGAAACAAACAAACGCAAUAUUUUGUAUUUUAUUGUGUGUCUUUGAGUGUACGUAUUUUGUUAAUUUUAUUUCAUUAGUAAAAAAAACAGAAAAUAUAUAAUAAACAGACAGAUAUAUGUCUUAUUUUAAAGAGAUAACAAUAGAAAGUGAUUUGCGAUUACGUAAUUCUAUCAUGAUCUAGAAAAUUUAAAUUCGCACAUAUAUAUGUAUAUAUAUUAUUGAUCAACUUAACUAUUAUAUAUAUAUAAAUUACCGCGUGUACACGCGAAGUUUUAUCUAGUUAUUGUAAUAGUUGUGUACAAAAUAUCAUGGUGUAGAAAAUAAUUGUUGUAGUUAAAAAUUCAAUAAAAAAAAUAAUCAAAUUCUAUUAUAUGGAGGAAAAAUUUCAUAUUUUGUACUCUUAUUAAAUUUCAUAAUAUUUAAAAGUAAAUUUCCAUUUUUCUUCAAAAUUACAGCGAAUAAAUCCUAACUUUUUUUGUUUGAUAGAUAAGCAAUCUUUUUUGUCUGAUGGUAUAAAGAGGUAUAUCGUUUGGAAUCUUCCGAGGUUCAUCUUGCAUUAUCUUGGUUCAUCUUCCAAUAUAUCUAUUGGUUUGUAGAUUAGGUUGAAGAAAAUGAGAAAAAUUUGUAGUAAAACCUUUCUUUGAAUAUUUCUGUUAUAACGAAUGCGAAAAAAUGAAGUUAUAAACAUAAGGAACACAACACAGAUUUAACGUGGUUUACCAACGAUGUGUUGGUUACUUCCACGAACAAAAAAACCUAUUUAUUAAGGGAGGCAAAAGGUUCAGAAAACUCUGAUGAAGGUUCUGAAUCAUAAUCGGAAUACAUCAGAAUCGGAAUACAUCAGAAUUAGGUAUCACAUAGGUAUUAUAACUACCUAGUUAACCCUAAUCAUUUUUGGACCUGUCGUUCACGCCUAUGUAACGUCCUUAAGCUGAUAGCUUCGACCCAUUACUCAAACCGACAAUCUGCAGUAAGCUUCGUAGCUUACACCUCAUCUGAAAACAACUCCGCAGCUUACACAAUCUGUAACCAACAUCUUCUACAGUUUGCUAUGUAGCUUGCACCUUCCAGAGGUCACACUUUCCGCAAGUCGCACCUUAUGGAAGUCGCACCUUACGCAAGUCGCACCUUACGCAAGUCGCACCUUACGCAAGUCGUACCUUCUGCAGGUACCUUCUGCAAGUUGCACAAUCUACAUUAUGCUCUGUAGGUCCGCACCUUCUGCAACUUGCACCUCUCACAGUCUCAGAUUUAAGGCACAUUAACAAAUCUCCACCUUGUCUUGAAUCGUCCAAACAGAUGUACCAGAUGCACUUUUACAGUGCCAGAUGUACCGAAUUUUUCAUUUGCCUCACACGUUUGAUAACACCUAAUUUUGACAUAUUUUCACCAUUGAUUUCAAAUGCUUUUUCAAAGGUUUUAAUCAGUUUUAGGAAUUUUUAUUAUGAUUUCCAUGUAUUUAUAGUUUCAAGACUUUUUUCAGGAAACUUAGGGAAAAUGAUGGCAAAAUGGAAGAAAUCCACUUUUUAAAGCUCAGAGUCAGACCGUCAGAAGUUCAGCCUCAAAUGAAGACUUUUUCAACGUCUGAUCUAGUUCAAAUUUGGAGACAAUCAAGAGGAGACAACCAGAUUUCCAUAGCACUUUACAUCACAAAGAUUCAAUUGUGCAAUCAAAAGAUACAUGGAGAACAAGCUGACCCAGUUUACCAGUCCUGGAAGACUCUCACCCGCGGCAAAAUCAUGUUUUACCUGCCCUGGAAGACUCUCACCCCCGGUGUACCUUAGGACGAGCCACAAGGCCCAACAUCAAAGCCCACUUCGCCAUUCCUCUUUAGAGAAGCCCUAAAUGAGACCUGGAAAAACUUAGGACCUAUAAAUACAUUGUUUAGCGGCUCCAAACAGGUGUGUGCUCCUGUAAUGAGAUUUUGAGCCACCAAAAUCUGUUUCUCUAGGGUUAGGCGAUGGAGAUGGGGAUUCUUCCCCAGAUCCAUUGUUCUUUCUCCUUUCAAUUCUACUAACUUUUCUGUUUCACUCUUUUGCAUUUUUCUAUGUCUUUUAUUAUUCCUUGCAUCAUGUAGAUCUGUCCCAGAGAGUCAAGUUGUUUUAAGAGUCAUCGAUGAUCAUAUAUAUCGAUUAGGAUUUCUAUAGUUCUAAACCAUAUUCUGGAUCUCAUCUCUUCUAAGUUGUUCAUAUUGCAUGAGAGUAGAUUCAUGACCUAUUUUCUGAGCCUAGGAUCGAUCAGAGCCAUGAGAGUGUUGUAUCAGAUCAUCCAUACCUAGCUUCAGAAGAACAUAGUCGCUAUAGGAGUCGAAAGCUACCCAUAGAGAAGAUGUGAGCAGACGAAUUCAAUGUCUAAUGCAUGAUCUUAUUUCUGUCAUGAGAGCGAGAGUUAAUUGUCAUAUCUAAGUGAUUAGUUGAUUAAGAUGACGAGAAUUAGUUAAUCAUACAUAUGUCUAUUGUAGUUCCAUGCAGAUUCCUAGAAACAGAUGAAGAUAAAUCGCCCGGAAGCUAAUUGUAAAUGCCACCAUACAUCGAUUAUAGUAAAUCGGAGAAGUCUAAAUUGCACCCUAUGAGUUUAAGAGUAUUUAGUUUGAGUCGAUAUGCUUGAGAUAUGCUUGAGAUAUUCUUUUAACAAUUCAUCAUGCAUUGCAUUUUAUCUCUUGUGAAUAUUAGAUUAGGUUUAGUUUAGGACUUUUAACUAAAAACCCCAAAACGUUUAUUGGUUUAUGAUUUUGCUUACUUCCCAGUUUGUUGUUUCUUGCAGAUUAGACAUUCUCCCUAUGGAUCGACACCCUAAGUUCUACAAUCUGUGCACUUUCAGAUUUUAGGGUUUUAUAAAUUUAAAACUUUCUUUAUGGACCAAUGAGCUUGUAUGAAAAACAACCCUAGGCCCGUAGCUCAUCAAAGUUUUUGGCGGCGUUGCCAGGGAGGUUCUUAGUCGCUGGAGGUCUAAACCUAGGAGGUUGAAGCCACAAAAGACAAUAUAUAUGUCGAGUUUCUGCCAAAAAAUCAUAGGAAGUAAACCAAACUCAUAAACACCCUAACUUUUUUUUUUUCUGCUUAUUCUCUCUUCUGUUUGCCCUAGUUUCAGAAAUCUUUGAAGCAUGGAUCAUCCAAGAAGAAAUCCUAACCCUGAUCGAAGGUUUUGCAACUUGUGUGAAGCUCCCUACGCAUGUGAAUCACCUUCCAGGCGUGAUUCCAAUCAUCCAGUUCGGCCAGAUCAUCCGAACCACCACCAUGGAAACUCGCGACCUCUACACCAUCGAGAUGAGCCCUUCACCUGGUGAAUCGUCGACCAUCUCAUCCUCUUUCUCAUCAGAUUAUGCACCAGAACUAUGAGGAUAAUCUGUUUAAAAUCCUGCUAAAUCGAUUGGAAGCCAAGCUGAAUCAGUUCCUUGCCUCCCAAGCCAUCAUCGAUGCUGCCCUGCGAACAAGGAUAGAUGACAUGACCGUCGACCUUAACAAAAGGUUUGAUGACCUCUCUGAGCAUGUGAAGAUACUGGAGAUCAGAUAAUCAAAGAUAAUGACGUGUCGAACCAGAGAAUGGAGUCUGUCGAAGAAGAGCAGGACAAAAACAAGUUCAACAUUCGACAAAAUGAAAGGGAGCUGCAAACCCUAACUUUCAAGAUCGAUGACUUGGAUAAGGAACUGAAUGAGAGCAAAAACCAGACCUACGACUACACAUUGGAGCUGUGGCAGGGCGUAGCUAAGGUUGAAAACAAGACAGAAGAGCUUGAUGCUACUCUAGACAAAGUUGUCUAUGCUGUAGAUGAAGUAGAAGAGAAAGUUGAAAAACUUUCUAAAGAUCAUAAGGAGUAUGAUCUGAACUCUAGAAUCAAUGAUUUGGAUACCCAAGACGUGCCUAACAACCACUGGAAGCAAGAGAACAAUAAUGGAGAAGAAGAGAUUUAAGAAGAAAGCAUAGAGAGCCGGAGGAAGCUGACCGCGGCUGCGAGUACUUCACCCGCGGCCAGAGCCACUUCCACCGCGACUCCAAGCUCCUCACCCGCGGUAGAGCAUGAUUUCUCAGAUUAGGAGAACUUCCAACCUCUUUCUGAAACCUGUUCAACUGCAGACCAACCCCUUGUGACCAGAUCUAGGUUGUUUGAUCAAGUUGUCUUCUCAAUCACUGCACAAGCAUCAAAAGAAAAGGAAGAAUCCAACACUUAUGAAUCUUGCAACAUAGUUUACACUUGUGACAAUGAGCUUCAAGAGCAAUUCUCAGAAGAUGAAGAGUAUGGUUUGUUUGUUGAAGAUCCAAACUAUGGGGACAAUUCAUCUAAUGACAACUCAGAACCAAUUACCAAGAGCAUAUCCAGAGAGAGACUGAUUGAAUUCAACAAUUUUGUGAAGUCCAUUCCUCUCUACCAUGGUUUCGACGACAUCUGGAAGCAAGGCUGCCUUCAAGUUUUUUUUUCAGAUAUAGCAAGAAGACUAAGGAGAACGUCUACACUUAUUUCAGAAGAGCCAGGUAUCUAUCUUUUCCUAGAUCAUCACCUGAUGCAGCUGUUUACAUGAUCCAUCUCAAAGAUCCCCACGAAGCCAUUGACUACACAAACAAGAUCAACAAAGAAGCACUUGAAGAGUCAAUCAAGUAGUUCAAAGCCUCCUAGAAGGAAUUUCAUUUGCCAAAGCAUGUAGAGACUACAUGAUCGGCCACUUCUUCUAUGACAGCAAAGAUUCUAUUCAAGAGAUGAAAGACUUGUUCACACACGCCCAAGAAGGUAGACCAUUUCGAAAUCUGCACAAAGUUCAAGACAAAGGUCAAUUUCUUAUAUCUUGUGAUAUUAGAGGUGAAAGAUUUCUCAAUAUUCUUUGUGAUUCUGGAGCUUGCAUUAACAUGAUGUCCAAAGCAACUGCUUUGAGACUUGGCAUUAAGCACAUUUCAAAUACCAUGACAAAGAUUAGCUUAGCAGAUGGUUCAAGUGCAACACCAAGAGGGAUAUCCCGAGAUAUUCCUCUAAGGAUUGGAGAUUGCAUUGCACCUGUCGAUCUAUACAUAGUGAAGACCAAAGAUGACUCUUAUCCACUUAUCCUUGGAUGGUCUUUCUUAGCAACUGCUGGAGCCAUCAUGGAUUGGCCCAACAGGAGAUUUUAUUUUGCAAAUAUCGACAAGGAUAUCUUCUAUCAAGCUACACCACUUAAGAGCAAAGGAGAAAAGCAGAAAGCCUAGGCCUUUGAACCAGAAGAAAUCUGGAGUGAUGAAGAACCUGCAAGACAGAAGAGAAGGAUUUCGAAAAGGACUUGUCUUAGGACAAGAUCCUAUUUGAGCUAAGUCUUUUUCUUUUGCAAGUGUAGCUAAGGACUAUAAACCAAAGCGCUUGAUGGGAGGCAACCCAUUUAGCUACUUAUUUGCUUCUGUUUAUCUUUCUUUUUCUAUUAAAGUUUUGGUUUUUUUAUUUUAGACAGGCCUUAGUAUGCCACAAAAAAAGGAAGAAAAAGAAGAAAGAGAGCUGACCGCAGCCAAAGGAGGUUCAACCGCAGCCAGCAAGCAUUUUGCCGUGGCCACGAAGCUUUGAACCGCGGCCAGCACCACUCGGCCACCCUUGGCCAUUUCCACCUCUACCUUGAUUCAAAUCCAUCCAAGUUGGAUCAAGCACCACUUCACAUCAUCCACCAUCCACCAUUCAAUAUCCUACCACCUCCACAACCACCUCAUAAUCCAUCACCACACCAGGUAAGUUUUCUUUUCCUUAAUCUUUUUAAAUUUUUUCACAUACUCUAUUUCUCAUCCUUGCCUGAUUUAUUUCAUACUGGGGACAGUGUGAUUUAAGUAUGGGGGAGGAUUUCAUCCCUUUCUAACCACUUUUUCUUGCAUGAGCCUUUGCAUUCUGCAUUUUUCUUUAAAAUUUUUCAAUUUUUUUUUCGAUUUUUCACAAAACUUUUCAAAAUUCUUUUGAGUUUCAAAAAGUGUUUUCAAAGGUCAAAUACAUUUUAAGGGAAUAAUGACAAAAUCGAUGAUGAUAACCAACCUGUUUGCUUCUACACCAAUGAUUCAUAAAAAGCUCUUUCAAGGUUUAGUAUUAGACUUGGCGGUAGCUGGAGUACUUACACUACGAAAUCCUACCAGAAGACUUCUAUUCAUGAAGAUAUUUUCUAACAGGAUAUUCUAGCUCAUCUUACUUGGACUUAAUCUUGACAUCUAAUUUUCUCAUCAAUGGUUUUAAGAAGGCAUCAUGAUAUACAUCUAGGACAUCUUUAUCUUAUUGUUACCACUCUUUGUUGUCCUAGAUGGCCAGUUCAUCUUUAGCUGGUACCUCACCUUUAACCCAAACCUUUAUGUUCUAACCUCAUGCAUUCUCUCUUAAGUAUAUAUUGACAGAUAUGUGCAAAAACGCCGUAGAGGGAGGAACAACAUAGUUUUCAGUCAUUCAUGAGAAAAACUGAAAAAGACCAGAAGGGAGUGUGCCAGAAAUCUUAUGAUUCCUCAGAAAAGCUCAUUCUUAUAAGUAAAUUUCAUGCUUUUUAAGAUUAAGUCAAAAGGCAGUUUCCCCUUUCCCAAAAAAAAAACAAAAAAAAAAAGAAGGAAAGGAAAGAAAACCAAAAGCCUAAAGAGUCUUAGAAGCCGAAAUCAUUUGAGCCAAGGCAAUAGGUAUCCACCUAAGGAGUUAUGGAUUCACAACCUAGACAAAAAAUCCAAGUCUGGGGGAACUAUAAGGAGAACCUGAAGAAAGGAGAUCAGAAAUCUUAAAGCAAAGAGAAUGUGACUGAAACAGUGGGGGCAUUUACAGUUCCAUCCUCUCUUGCUGUUUUGCAUAAUGUCUUGUCUCUCCAGAAAAAGGUAACCCUAAACACAUCAAACCUUACCAUUAAAAAGCCUUUUUGAUACCUAACCUUGAAUGCCUUGUUUGAUAUCCUUUUGAUGAGAAUCACUGAAACCUUUAAUAAAUGUUAAGAGCUAGGUGACUGGAAGUUAGUUCUAAGUGUGUGGAUUUUUGCAUGACGGAUUAACAGACUAGUUAUGUUUGUAUUUUGGUGAGAAUUUUCUAGACUUGAUCUGAUUGACGCAUUGUCCAUAAUUAAGGUCUAGAAGUAUGGUUGCUGAUAUUUUUGAGUUCCCUCUCACUUUUGUUGAAUGAUAUUUUUCCAGAUUUGAUCUUGUUUUGUUUGAGGACAAACAAAGUCUUAAGUCAAGGGGGGGGGGGGUUGAUACCACACCUGAUUUUGACCCAUUUUCACCAUUGAUUUCAAUGCUUUUUCAAAGAUUUUAAUCAUUUUUAGUAAUUUUUAUUAUGAUUUCCAUGUAUCUGUAGUUUAAAGGUUCUUUUCAGGAAACUUACGGAAAAUGAUGGAAAAAUGGAAGAAAUCUACUUUUUUAAGCUCAGAGUCAGACCGUCAGAAGUUCAGCCUCAAAUGAAGACUUUUUCAACGUCUGAUCUAGUUCAAAUUUGGAGACAAUCAAGAGGAGACAACCAGAUUUCCAUAGCACUUUACAUCACAAAGAUUCAAUUGUGCAAUCAAAAGAUACAUGGAGAACAAGCUGACCCAGUUUACCGGUCCUGGAAGACUCUCACCCGCGGCAAAAUCAUGUUUUACCUGCCCUGGAAGACUCUCACCCCCGGUGUACCUUAGGACGAGCCACAAGGCCCAACAUCAAAGCCCACUUCGCCAUUCCUCUUCAGAGAAGCCCUAAAUGAGAUCUGGAAGACCUUAGGACCUAUAAAUACAUUGUUUAGCAGCCCCAAACAAGUGUGUGCUCCUGUAAUGAGAUUUUGAGCCACCAAGCUAUGUGUUAGGCGAUGGAGAUGGGGAUUCUUCCCCAGAUCCAUUGUUCUUUCUCCUUUCUAUUCUACUAACUUUUCUGUUUCAUUCUUUUGCUUUUUUCUAUGUCUUUUAUUAUUCCUUGCAUCAUGUAGAUCUGUCCCAGAUAGUCAAGUUGUUUUAAGAGUCAUCGAUGAGCAUAUAUAUCGAUUAGGAUUUCUAUAGUUCUAAACCAUAUUCUGUAUCUCAUCUCUUCUAAGUUGUUCAUAUUUCAUGAGAGUAGAUUCAUGACCUAUUUUCUGAGCUUAGGAUCGAUCAGAGCCACGAGAGUGUUGUAUCAGAUCAUCCAUACCUAGCUUCAGAAGAACAUAGUCGCUAUAGGAGUCGAAAGCUACCUAUAUAGAAGAUGAGAGCAGACGAAUUCAAUGUCUAAUGCAUGAUCUUAUUUCUGUCAUGAGAGCGAGAGUUAAUUGUCAGAUCUAAGUGAUUAGUUGAUUAAGAUGGCGAGAAUUGGUUAAUCAUACAUAUGUCUAUUCUAGUUUCAUGCAGAUUCCCAGAAAAAGAUGAAGAUAAAUCGCCCGGAAGCUAAUUGGAAAUGCCACCAUACAUCGAUUAGAGUAAACCGGAGAAGUCUAAAUCGCACCCUAUGAGUUUAAGAGUCUUUAGUUUGAGUCGAUAUGCUUGAGAUAUUCUUUUAACAAUUCAUCCUGCAUUGCAUUUUAUCUCUUGUGAAUAUUAAAUUAGGUUUAGUUUAGGACUUUUAACCAAAAACCCCAACACGUUUAUUGGUUUAUGACUUUGCUUACGUUCCAGUUUGUUGUUUCUUGCAGAUUAGACAUCCUCUCUGUGGAUCGACACCCUAAGUUCUACAAUGUACAUCUGUGCACUUUCAGAUUUUAGGGUUUUAUACAUUUAAAUCUUCCUUUAUGGACCAAUGGGCUUGGAUGAAAAACAACCCUAGGCCUGUAGCUCAUCAACGUUCCAAAAUGCACUUUACCGUGCCGGAUGUACCAGACGUCCCUUGUAUCAGAUGUACCUGAUGCACGCUUGCCAGAUGUACCAGAAUUCCCUUCUAUCAGAUGUACUAAACGCACCAAUAUUAUGCCAGAUGUACCAGAUGCACUCUUACUGUGCUAGAUCUACUUGGUGUUAAGUAGAACAGGUGUCUCUACAGACCAGACGUCCCUUUGGACCAGAUGUUCCGUCGGACCAGACUCCACUGCGGACUAGAUGUUAUUUCAGACCAUACGCCUCUUCGGAUCGGACAUUGUUUCGGAAUAGACGUCCUUUCAGACCAGACGCCUUUUACCAGGCUCAUAUACUCCUCCAGAGCCAGAUGCCUUUCACUGGGCUCAGAUGCUCCUUCGAGCCAAACAACCCUCACCGGGUUCAGACGUUCCUUCAAGCCAAACGUCCCUUCGGACCUGUAGUGUAUGAUCCACCAUAUCUUCGAAGCCAUAUAUCUCUGUGGAUCCAACCUCAUUCCUUGUAAGCUGAUCAUGACAUGUACUACGGUGAAUAUUCUCAGAUGGUGUCAGUUCUGACAGAUCAAUUUCUGUCUGUAGCUCUUGAAUCUCUUCGUGUAGCUCAGAAUCAGUCUCGUCACGAUAUAUAUACAAAUCCACCUGCAUCUGUAACUCCACCUGCUUGUCAAAGCUACUGUUCUCUGUAGCAGCUGUGGUUAAAGGUUCAUCUUGGAACCUUCUUUCUGAAUCAACAUUAGAGAACAUGCACUUCGUUCUCCGCAGCAGCAUCUGAUUCAUCUGCUCAGAUACACCAUUCGGUUGUGAUGUAUCCGUAACUGCAUGAUGUUGGACAACUCCUUCAUCCUUGCAUAGCUGAUUGAGCUCUAAUGAACAGAAUUUCUCACCUUCCUCUGACAGAAUUUGCACCUUCUUUUCACCUAUACGACCAAAGCUCUUAUGCCACAGCUUUGUUAUAUCUUUGUGGUGAAUUUCUGAAGAUGCAACAUUCACAGAACCUGUAGCUGUGGAACCUCCACCCAUACCCUUGUGCCCUCCUCUGCUGCAGGUGAAAUCACCUUCAUCAUCCUCAUUUUCAUUCAAUGGAGCCGCAAAUCUCUAUGACAGAUAACAUCUUCAACUUUCUUUUUCAAUUUUAUCGAAAAAUGUGAGAUUAGACGCAUAUAGAAUGGGAACCAUCUCUAUAAAAACAAUAGAUUUUUUUUAUGAAGAGAUAUCUGAUGUCCAAUAUAAUUUGUUGUUAUAAUUUGUAUCUAGUUUUUUUGUUAUCAAAAUGAAUGUUCAGAUGAGAAUAUUGUAAAUUAAUUCUUAUCAUGAUAUUUUGAAUAGCAUAUGAUUUUGAUUAAUAUUAAUUAAAAUCAUUAAAUUGAAACUAUAUAAUAUUGAUAAGAACUUUAAAAUUAAUUAUCUAAUGAUACAUAAUUUUAGUUAAAUUUUAAAAUCACUUAAAAUGCAUAAACUAACAGUACCCAACUCAAUAUAUCUUGGUGAAAAGGUUCUUAUGUAAAAGUCUAAUUAUAUAAAAAUUAUAGUAAGGAAAAAGAAUGUGCGUUCUUUCAAAAAAAAAAAAAAAAAAAAAAAAGAAGAAUGUGCAGUGAGCAAUCAUAUAUUCCCUUUAAAUAGUCUCAGUACUGUCAUUUUGAGUUUACCCUCUGUCUCCCCUAUUUUUUAUAUUUACAGUUUUUUAAUAUUAGGUUUUUACUAAAAUAAAAAUUUCACAUCGUGAUUUAUCAGAUGGAUCCUAUCCAUUUCUCAAUUUAAUAAAUAAUAUUUCUUAAAACUUUUCUUGUCUUACUAUAUUCUCAGCAUUUUGUAACACUAAAUAUUUAAAAUGCAAUAUUUAUAUCUUUUUGGACUUUACAUUGAUAUAUAUAAACUUUCGAAUAUUAUUAUGUUAGAUACACAAUUUCUAACCAGAGAGGAAUUUACAUAGUAAAUAAAAUGAUAUUUAUCAUAUUUUUGUAAUUCUAUUAGAAUUAUCUACAUUUUUAUAUGUGUAAAGCUCAUAUAAUUGGUUUUGCAUUCUUAAUGAAAGUUUGUUAAUAGAACUAAUAUAAUUAUAUCAUGGAAGAAAAACUAAUAGAAUUUAUUUUUAAAAAAUGAUAUCAAUCUAUCAAUUUUAUUGGGCACUAAAACAUUUAGGGUCCUGCCAUUGACCAAUACUGUCUACCUCCCAUAUAUCUACCAUUAAGCCAAUACAAUUAUUUAAACACUUUUGUAGAGAAUUUUUUUCUACAUUUGAUAUUUAUAGAAAGACCUAAAAAGAAAUAAAAUCUAUACUUUAUCAAUAAUAUAAUUCUGAAAGGUCGUUUUGAGAUAUAUGUGAUAUAAUAUUAUAAUAUUUAAUUUAUAUAUGAUAUCUAAACUUUACCAAAUACUAAAGUUUUAUAUUUUGAUUAGUCUACAUUGAGAUUACAUAUUGUUUCAUUAAAAUAUUUUAUUUUUAUUUUAUGCUAAAUUUAUAAUCAAUAUUAGAGCAUUUAUUACUUGGUCAUAGGUUUUACUAGAGUUGAAUUUCAUAAAAUAUUAAAUUUGGUCAAAUUAAAAACAUUUGACUCAUUUAGAAUAUGUAAAGAGUAGCGAGCCAAAAGAAGUUGAACUUCUCAAAUAUAAAUUAAAUUUUCAAGCGCAAAGCUCAUGGUACAAUCAAGAAUCUGAAUAACUUUUGAAUGGCCACAUUAUUGUAUAUGAAUUACAUACAUGUAUAUGUAUGAUAGAAUAUAUAUAUAUAUAUAUGUUUUCUUGGUAGUGAAUGAGAGGAGGAAAAAAAAUAAGAGGAGAAACAAUGAGAAAAAGAAAAGUUCAUAAAAACAAAAAUCACAAAAUCAUAAAGUUUUUUCAUUCUUAUUGUUCUGCUCUUAUAUUUUUUUCCUGUCUCUCAUUCACCACCAAAAAAACACAUAUAUAUAUAUAUAUAUUUAUGUAUUUUUGUGUAGCAUUUGACCAUGCCAAUCCGAAAUGCUAAACAAAAAUAUAAUUUAUUUUUCCAGAUUACAGGCCAAGAGAUAGUAUGGAGAUAUAUAGAAGGCGAUGGUAUGAGGGUUACAAAAAUAUUCAGACUAUUAACUCAGAUUAAAAAUUCUGUGAGAAGAAAAUUCAGAUAUGAUUCCAGAAUUAUUUGUUGAGAAUCAAUCCAAAGUUCCACAUCGGAAGUUUAGACUAAUAUGGUCUAAUAUAUAAGUAAUGUCCAACUCUAAUUAGUAUGAGGUCUUUUGGGAAGGAGCCCAAAAUCAAAUCCGUGUGGGCUUUGUCAGUUGGGCCCAAAGCAAACAAUAUCAUACUAAUUGAAAAAGUUGGACAUGCGUUUUUCAAGCCCAAUAUUAUUCAGGUGAAAAUUUUCAUCACUAUUUUCAGAAUGAUAGGCUAAAGUGUAAGAGACAUUUUAUUAUUAUUGUAUCUCAAAAAACGUGGAAAUGUUACAUAAGCCUUUAACAGUCUUUUUAAAAAAAAAGCUAUAUUCAAGAUAUUUAGUUUUUUUUUUAAAUAAUAUAUAUAUAUAUAUAUAUAUAUAUACACAUAUAUAUGAUAUUUAAACUCUAUAAAUAAGAGUUUGAUAUUUCUAGUCCAGAUAAAGUAACGUUAUAAUGCUGCCCAAAAAAUAAUACUACAAAUAAUUAUUUUCUAUUAAAUUUACAUUAUAGCAUUUUUUUUUAUAACAUCUAUUUUAUUAGAUAGUAAAAAAGUAAUACAUCAUGUUUACAAGCCAUUUUGGCAAAGAUUGAAAAACAUAAUACAUAGCAUGAAAACAACAAUACAUAAAAUUAAAAACACAAAGCACUAAAUCAAAGAAGAUGAGUUUAAACGAUUUUUUUCUUCGAAUUUUUCUCGCUGAAAAAGUGUCCACACCUUCUUUCCUCGUAAUCGCAUUUGAUCUAAAGCGAUUUUUUUUUUUGCUAUGAUCCAUCUUUUCUCCUGUUGUAUGUUAUUGACACAUUUCCAAGUAAGAACUAAAAAUAUUCUAUGAAUAAGAAUCCAAUCUUUUGAUUCUUUCCAUAGAAAAAAUACUUGAAAUUGCCAAUUUUCUACGACUGUACGUAUGUCGCCAUACCACAAGGAGUUUUCAUCUUCCGCUCCAAACCCUUGUCCCCUCCAUGGUGGUUUCCAUGUUUGUUGUUCCCAUAGUAAUGCCAUAUCCGGCUGAAUAGAAUCAUCGAAGAAGAUCAAACAUAAAACCCAAAUUCGCCAAUCAUCGUUUCCAUGACUCCUAACUUCUCCUAUUCCCGGAUCAAAAACCCAAAUUACAUCUCCAAACCAUACAGUGGAGGAUAAUAAAAACUGCUGUGAGUGUUGAUUUAAUCUUGGAUCAAUUUGAGUAAAUUGGUUCAAGAAAGAAUUAAAAUCCCAACCAAAGACUUGACGAAUUAUAGCAUUUAUUAUUUGGUCAUAGGUGUUACUAUAGAUGAAUUUAAUGGAAAUGUUAUUUUUGGUCAAAUCAAAAUUAUUUAAUAUUUAUAAUAUGUAAAAAUUUGAUCCAAAAGAAGUUAAAACAUAAAUAGAAUCUCAAACCACAUGAUACAAACAAGAAUCUGAAAAAAAGUUUGGAAUCUCCAAUAUGAUAUACAUUUGCAUUAUUAAAAAAAAAUGGCACUCAUUGUUCUUCUCUCAAUGCUUUUUUUUGUUUCCUUCUCUCAUUCACCACCACGAAAACACACACACAUAUAUAUAUAUAUAUAUAUAUAAAUAUAUAUAUAUGUCAUGCAUUAUCAUUUAUCAUCUCAUCGAUCUAACUCAUGCACUCAGGAUCAUCAUCAAAAUGAUCUUCUCCCUCCAUAGCCUCUCUUGGAUUUCCGGCUUCCAUAUUCUGUUUUCCGCAGGGCUCCAUCACAUUAUGUUUCUGACUUGUCGACACUAGAUUCAUAGAAAGUGAUUGAUCAUGGUUGGUGUCAGGGGUUGAGUCCAUCAGGGUAUUAAAGGCAGAGUCAUGUCCAAUACACCUCGUCGAAAAAAGAAUAUCUUCCUUAGAAGAGCCAAAAUUUCGAACCAACAGUCAAUAUCCAUCUCAUUGACGUCAAUGUCAAAAUAAAUCAGCUCUUCGAUCGGAACAUCAUUAUCUUCCACAUAAGGAACCAAAGCCAUAUCUUCCAUAUUAGUUUCAAGGGAUUGGGUUUUAUUGGUUUCAAAAGAAGCAUGUCUUCAAGAAGAAGAAAACUUUCUUCAGAAAACAACCAAUCUAUCUGGUCUGUAUUGGUUUCGAAAAUGGUGGUCGUAUUGGUUUGAGAAGAGGUUUCAUAACUUGUUUGACCAGAAGCAAAACCGACAUGGGAAAUGACAUUUUGAGAAAGAACAUGAUUUUCUCCAGAAGAAACCAUACCCAUCUGGUUACUGAUUUCAGAGGGAAUCAUAUUUUCAGAAGCAACAUAGCCUUCUACUGAAGAAAUAUUGGUUUCAGGAACAUUUAUGUUCAUAUCAGUUUGAGGAAGAACAUAAUUUUCUAGGGUAGGAAUCCAAUCCAUCUGGUUCAUAUUGGUUUCAGAUGACUAAUGUUUUCUGUUGAUGGAACACAACCUAUUUGGUUUAUAUUGGUUUCAUGAUCGCGAAUAUUAUCGGUUGAUGGACUCCAACUUAUCUGGUCCAUAUUGGUUUCUAAAGUGUUCAUGGUAAAGUCUAGAUCUGGAAGAAAAUAACUUUCUCCCAUAAUGCACAGAUCAGCUUGAGGAACAUAAGGCUCUGGUAUAUAAAUAAAGUCUAGAUCUAGUUGGUUCCAAUCGAUUUCAAGAACAGAUGAGCUAGGUUGAAAUGGGUUAGGUUCAGACUGAGGAAUACAAAUCCCGGAAGACUCCAUCUGGAAUGCAUCUGUGUUAGAUGCACCAACACUUGAUGACAAACCAUAAAGAACAGGAGGGUUAUCACUACUUAAGCCACUAUGGUUAGAUGCACCAACACUUGAUGACAAACCAGAAAGGACAGGAGGAUUAUCACUUAAGCCACUAUGGUUAGAUUCUCCAACACUUGAUAGCAAACCAGAAAGGACAGGAGGAUUAUCACUACUUAAGAUAAUAUGGUUAACAUCAUGGAUAGAAAAAAUAUGGGAAGGUGGGUUGUUACUUGUGGCUGAAGGAGCGUAAUUGACUUCCAUAGGUGACUUGUUUAAUAGGUUACCAAAAAGUGAGUGUUUACUCAGAUCCAAUUUUCCACCUAGAUGAAACUUGGGCACCAUCUUCGCUUUGCCCUUUUCAGCAGAUUUUUUGAAUGAAUCUGCAUACAAGAAAAACAAAAAACAUUAUUGACACAAAGAUGUUGAAUUGUGAAAAGUAUAUAUAUAGUAAAAGAACAUGACUUGCAUUGGUCGAUGGAUCAGGAGGAUGCUUCCUUCUUUUUCAGAGAAUACCACUUUGUGUUACUUUCAACGAUAUUCUUUGCUAAGUUGGAUGCAUUGAAAGGAUAUUCAUAGUCUGAAGGGUAGUUGAAUGUCUUAUCUGUUGACCUCCAUUCAUUCCUCGACAACGAAUGGUUCAUUAGCUUAACUUGUGCUUUGUAUUUCUGAAACAAUUAAUUAUAGAAUAAAACAGGUUAUCAUAAGGCUAGUAAAAUUAUAUAUUGAAAAAGAGUGUAUAUAAAUGUAUAUAUGAACCUGAAGGUGGCUACCGACUUGGCAAAGAUUCAAGUCUGAGUCAUUCAUAAUGCUCAAUAUGGAUUUAGGACAAGAAUCUGUAGGAUAAAGAACUGUAAUCAAUUGGUAGAAAGAAGAAUUGGUCAAAACAAAAAAAAUCUUACCUUUUGCACCCAAUAUGGAUAUAGCUGUUAAAAAUAUCAUUUGGCGCUCCUGGAGUCAAUACAUUGCAUCGUCUUCCAAUAUUACUCUCCAUAUUUAUUCCUUCCUCUCUCUUGUUCUCAGCCUCAGUGGGAUAAACCGGUUUAGUUUUUCCUUCAUCAAUUGCUUUGCCUUUUCUCUUUUGGUAUGUUUCAGGGGUUGUAAAUGUUUUGACGAAGGGUCGUCUUCCUAACAAAGAUGACUGACUUGUUCUCUGCCUCUUUAUGGUUUCUCUAAGAGAUUCAAUCUGAUUUAGUAUAUUUUUCUCCACAACUUUCUCUUGUUGUUCAGCGAUGUUGAUUUUCUUUAACUCUUGGCUCUUCUUAGGUACCACAUGCUGCCAUAGGUUUUCGAUGUCGUUUUCAGAAAUCGGCUUCGUUAGACAAAAACGUGCACUUUUUGUCAAAAGAUCUGAUGUUUCCUUGGUAUUUAUUUCUGGACUUAUCACUUUAACAUCAAAAAAAUAGAUAAAUUAAUCUGUGGAAGAAAGUAACAAACAGUGUAAAGAGUAAGCGCAAGAAGAAUGUGUAAAUGUUUGCUUACGUAUAAGAGGAAUUUUUUUGUGAAGCAAAGCAGUGAGAAAGGAAUGUGAAUCUAUAUGAGGCAUUUCAAUGUUGGCUAUCACAAGUCCAGUAUCCUUUUGCUUUUCGAUCAUCGAUAAAGCCUCACUUGCCUUGUUCAAGCUCAUCACUAGUACAUCAAUUUAUAUAUUAAAUAUUUACAAAAUCCAAAAAAAAACAUUGUUCAAAACAAUAAUCAAGUUUCUUCCAUUUUAGUUUUAGUUAUAUAAAAAAGUUGAAAAAACAAUAGAUUAACACGCACAUUUUCGAUUAUAUAUGAUGAUUAGCUAACCUAAUACAUAAUAUAUUAUUUAUAUACAUAUUAAUAUUUGAAAGAAAUUUUUUGGGCUAGAACCAGACAUCUAACAAUCUGAUUAUCCGAUUAAAAUAUAGAAUAUAUGUAUUAAAACUCAACAAUUAUACAUCUAGGGUAUUCAAUAAAAAAUUAAUAAAAAAUUAGAGUUCAAAUAUUUUAUUAAAUUCUUUCUUAUCGAUUUUUAUUUAUUUACAAAAAAAUAUUUUAAAAGAGAAAUUUAUAUGCGUAUUAUCAAUUAUAUUUGAUGAUCGACUAAUCUAAUACAUAAUACAUUAUAUAUAUAUAUAUAAAUAUUUGAAAACUUUUUCCAGCUAAUACCAAACAUUCGAAAUCAUGUUAAGAAAUCAUUUCUAAAUAACAUCAGUUAUCAAAAUCUCAUAUAUAUUCCACAAAAUAUAGAUUAUACUAAAAUUUAAUGGUUUUUACAAAAUAGUAUCCAAUAUCUAUGACAUAUUAUUAUCCAAACUAAUAAUCGUAGGUGAUUAGGAUUUUCAACAAAAGGGUUGUAAGAAAAUCAUCUUCAAAACUGAGAUCCAAGACCAAUCAGUAGCCUAUAGCUUUAAUAUUCUGUAAAUUAAAUUAUAAAUUAUAAUUUUCUAUGCGAAUUCACAUUUCUUCAAAUUUGUUCAGAGAUCCUGAUUUAUACAAUGUAGAAAUCUCAAGAUCUAGAGACGUUGAAUUAUAAUCAUCAGGAAAAUAUUCAGCAAAUGCUAAAAUUUACCAUACCAAAUGUAACAAAUUAGAAUAAUACCGUUGAUAUGUAAAUGGAAAAAUGAUCAACAUCAAUAUAAAUGGUAAACAAUUUUUUUUUACCUUUAUACGAAAAUUGCUUAAGCAUUGAAGUGAGAAAUUCAAUUGAUGUAGUGUCAUUAUCGAUUAGCAGAACUGAAAUAUCACCAAUGCGUUCAGGAACUAUGUUUCCAGCCAAAUUUACGGUCAACUUUUCAGUCAUAUUUUCAAAAAUAUAUGAUAUGAAGGUUUGAAAUAAUAACCGAGUUAAGGGGAAAUAAGCUAUUGCAUGGACGUAUAUAAAAGAAAGAAUAGAAAUUGUAGACCCAACAAGGUCAUAAAUUGCAAACAACACCAGAUGAAGAAAACUAUUUUAAUUUCUAUCAAAUAUAUUUCAUUUCAUCAUUGACCCUACCUAUAAUAUAUUUUUUUAACUCUAAAAAUAUACCCAGUCUAAAGUAUAAUCUAUUAGUUUAUAUAAUUCAAAAUCUUAUCAAACACAUGGUAAAUGAUAUUAUAGCAUUGGUAGUGAUAAAUAUAAUUAUUUUGGGAAUAUUAUAGUGUUUCUUGACCGAUAUAAUUUGAGAAUUUACACGAUAGUCAUCGACUUAAAAAUCCAUAUAUAGUUAGUUGUUAUUUCAUUUAUAAAUUUUGACUAGAAAUAUACAAUUAGUUCAUUUUUUAUACAAUGUUUUAGAAAAUGAUUAAUUAAUUAACAAAAAGUAAACAUAGAAAAUUUUUGUAUAUGCAUAAAAGAUUUUUCAUAGAAAAAUUUGGUGGAAUUAUGUUUUCUCUUUUUUCUUAUAAUUAGAUAAUAUUUUUAUUUCAGUCAGGAAAAAAUGUAGCUACAGAUGUGUUUUAGAUUUAUGGAAGCGUAAAAUAUUCUUAAUAUGUAAAGUAAUAUAAGUUCUCUAUAUAUUACACAAAAUAUAAUUCAAAUUUUGUUAAUAGUUUUGAUAUCAAAAGUUAUUCAUGCAUGCGUUUUACAAUUCGAUCCUUACCUUAUUUCGAGUACAAUAGGCAUGUGACUGGUCAAGUUUUUAAACUCUUAAGUAACUUCCAUAAUUACGUAGAAACUCAAAAAAAUUCAAGAAUAGAAUAAGGUUCAUCUUUUUAUAAAUGUUUAAUUUGAAACGUAUGCUAACACUUUAAAAUAAAGUAUUGAUAAUUAUAUGUUGUGAUGUUGUGUAAUGUAUAACUAAUGCUCGUUUAGUAGUGAACUCGUGAUCAAUGAUGGACUCCAGCUACAAGUUUGUUUUCCUUCCGAUCUGUUCACUACACUACAAGAAAGAAGACCUUUUAUAUUGGAAGAUAUCGACGUAAAAUCGACGUAAUGGGCCAUUUACGUCAAAUUAGUGACGAAUGAAAAAUUAUCGUAAAACAAUCAUCGUAAAAGAGAAAUCGUCGUAAAAUCUUCGUAAAUUACCAACACAAUAAAAUCGUCAGAAACAAUUCGUCGCAAAAACGACGUAAACGUUCCAACGAAAGUACGACGAAUUAAUUUUAACACAACAACGACGUAAAAUCGAUGUAAAAUUACAUCGGAUUUACAACAAUUUCGAGACGAUCUAUUUCGCAAAAGUCAAAUAAAUUUAUUAUAGAUCGACGUAAAAUCGUCGUAAUAUAUCGACGUAAAGUCGACAAAAAGUAUAUGGACGUUUUAAAAUAUUUGCCUUUAAUUAGACGUAAAUUUACGACGAGUUUACGUCGAAUUAGAAAAAUAAUUAUUAAAAUUGGAUUUUAAUUUAAUUAUUGAAUUUUUAAAAUAAUCAAAUAAAGGAAAAUUUAAAUUUAAAUUCGAAAAUAAUUCAUAAAUUAAAAUACAAAAUUAAAUACAAUUUAAAAAAAAUAAAAACUAAUCUACACAGUAAAUUCAUAAUCGUCGAGGUUGAGAUCGACGUCUCGAGGAGGCUCUCCGUCAUGUCCGUCCGUCGCUGUUGUACCAUCGUUUCCCGUCUGCACUACGGGAUCCGAAGUCUGACCCUGCGUCUGCUGGUCAGAAGGUCCACCCGCAAUAAUCCUGUGUGCUCGCCGUUGCCUCUCUCGAAAGUGGAUCGUGAAUAUUUCUAAUCCGUUUUUGAAGUCUUCAGUCAAUGACCCAUCAACAUUUUUGGGCGUAUACAUCCACUUUCGUAGAUCGUAUAUAGACAUUUAAAAACAAAUAAAUGACUUUUUGUUUUUGAAUUUUGAUAUAAAUUUCAACUACUAAAAAUUUUACUCAAACAUUCAAAGACUCAAAAAAUUGUGUCUUUAUAUGUUUUUUUGGUUGAUGGAAUAAUGAGAGAAGAAAUGGUAUAUAUAGAUUUUUUGUUUGGUUACCAACAUAUUGCCAUUGAAUAUUAACAUCAAAUUUACGUCGAAAUAAAAUUUACAUUAUAUUUACAUCGAUAUUACGUCAACUACAAGAUGGAGGCCAAUUCAUCGUAUUAUCGAUGUAAAAUUUACGACAAUGUUACGACGAAAUGUAAUUCGUUCUUUAUUCGUCAUAAUGUUGUCGUAAGUUUAUGACGAUUUUACGAGAAUACUAUUUUAUAUCGAAACGACGAAAUAUUUUGACGUCGUACGUAAUUUCGUCGUAAAUUUACUACGACCAUAAAUCGACGUAAAAAAUUCGUUGGAAAUGUCCCUCUUUCUUGUACUAUACAAGGAUUCAUAAAUAAUGAAGCUGUUUUGUUCGGUGAGUGCAUUAAUGUGAGUUAUACAAAAUUUACAUUGGUUACAAAAUUAGGAGACCAUCUCCAUCGGUUUGUUAGGUAAUUUAGAUAAUAAUAAAAAUUAAGAAAUGAUUAAAAAGUUAACAAUUCGGGUUGUUAGGUUGUUGUGGAAGAACCCAGGAAUAUAUAAAAACGUGGCACCAUGUCAUUGGUGGAAGAUUUUUUAUGUGUGUGGGCUAAAAAUCAGGAAUAAGCCCACAUAAAAAUUCUUAAUUUUUUUAAUUAAAAAUUCAUAAUUAAAAAAAUUUUAAGAAACCCAAUCCCAGGUUUAGGGAUGGAGAUGUUUUGCGUGAGUACAUUUUCUCUUUCUUAUAUAAAGUGGAUCCACCAUAACUCCUAAACUAAAUGAGACACACGAUGAGGCCGCAUACAGUGUGGAGAAGGUACACAAAUUCCGCAUUAUCGUUAUAAAAGCUAUGCGAAGUCUUUAAAAAUUAUCUACCGUUCUAAUAACUAACUAAAGUAAUCACGAGAAAUAGUAGUUGGAUAACAAGAUUUUUUUUGUCUUUCUGCUAAGGGCGAAAAAAGUAAUGUAACCUGAGCUCUUUUGCAUCUCUUCUCCGGCGAUGCCGACAGCGUCGGUCUCAUCCUCUUCUCCUCAUGGGGUAGAAAAAACAACCCAAAAAAUCUCCACCAUCCAAACCCUUGUGCCCUCCUCUGCCGCAGGUGAAAUAACCUUCACCAUCUUUGUUUUCACUCAAUGAAGCCGCAAAUCCCUUUGCUCACUCAGUGGCGGGGGAUCCUUCGUCUCUAGCACAGCAAAUCCUUACUGAUUCUGAUUCUCUAGCCUCGACUGACAGCAACUCUCGCUCAGAUCCAAUUGUGAUAGUUCCUGCAACAGUCCAAGCCCCCAAAUAUCAUUUAUGUAAAAGUUGUUGAGACAACAGAUCCAGAACUGAAGAACUCAUCAGUAGAGGCACCAAUUGUCCCGACAAUCCCUGCCUCUGAAUCUGUUUCCGUGAAAUAGUCUUUGGCUGCAGUUCCGGAAAUCCUAAAAAGUUCAAAACCCACUGUGAGUGAUUUGUGGUCAGGAUUAUUCAAAGGUGCUACGAAGCAACUGCAGAAGAAAGGCACAACUUUUACCUUCCCAUCCGAUGAAGCUUAUGUGAAGAUUCUCAAAUAUGUAAUCGAAAAGAACAAAAAAUCCUGGGAAAGUUUCAUCUGUGGGCAAUUAUACACAGAUACGCCCUCCCAGAAAACUGUUCAUAACAUCGUGAAUGGAAUUUGGAGUAAGCAUUUCUGUGAUAUUACAGUAUCAAAGAUAGAGGGCAAUACCUACCUUUUUCAGGAUACCAAAUCCUUCCACUCGACAAUGGGUUUUAACUCAGAGAUUAUGGCAGAUAGAAGGUAAAACGAUGUUUGUCACGAAUUAGGAGUCUGGCUUUGUUCCAUUGAAGCCCGAGCUCUCGUUGUCCCCUAUUUUGCUGAACUAAGAAAUGUUCCUCUACAGUUCUUCAAUGAAGACGGCUUUGAACACAUUGCGGGAUUUGUUGGAGAGCCAAAAUGUCUCCAGCCUAUAACUGCAAACAAGACAAAUCUGUAAGUAACGAAGGUAUUCACGAUAACUGAUCCUCGUAAACCUCUUUCAGAAGUUGUCAAUAUCCAAUUUGAUUCUGGAGAGAUCAAUAGAGUUUUAGUGUCCAGUCUGUGGAUGCCACCACUGUUUUAGUUCUGUAAGAGGUGAAUCAUCAUCUGAGGCAGUGCAAUGAAGCUCCAAUCUUUUGCAAGAAGUGCAACUCAAAAAUUCACGUGGAAGAGAAUUAUGCAAGAACCGUCCUACCUGAACAAAAUAAUCCAAACUCCCAUAGAAACAGAGCCAAGGGAUUAGCUGGAAAUACUUAGAAGUGGGUUAAAGUUGCUGAGAAAUCAUCUGCCAAAUCUGUCAAGUUUACUGAGUCUUCACUGGGGAAAGAAAACAAAUCUUCAAAGGGAGAGUUCAGUGGCGCUGUGGUCUGGUACAUCUUCAAGGGAAGAUCGACGAAAAUGUUAAAGGUCCUCCUAUCCCUGACACAAAAAAAUCAUCAGGAGUGGAAUCAGAUUCUUCGGACGUUGCUUUUGUGGACUUCAGCAAUGUUGUAAACCUGCAGGGUGAGCAGAGUGAGUUCGCAGAGGUAGUUUCAAAAAAGAAGAAGAAGGAUAAGAGGGACAAGAGCCCCAACAAAAGCAGCUUAAUAAAUGGUUGAAGAAAAACAAACCGUUUUAUGAGAGUAUUAUAGAAACCCAUGUGAAACAGCCUAAAUGUAGGAAUUUCAUUAAUAGAUCGCUUCCCGGCUGGUCUUUUGAACAGAAUUAUGAUUUCUCCAUUUAACAAGUGUAAAGGCUGUUGUGGUGGCUAAGUCUUUGCAGAUGAUCACCUACAAAGUUAUGUUUCCUGAUGUGCAGCAGUGGGUUAUUUUGUCAGUGAUGUAUGUUUCUACAGUUGAGACUCUGAAAAAGGAUCUUUGGGCAGAGCUGAUUGUUUUGUCUUCAAGCCAGACUGUUGAAGAAAAAGAAUGGAUGGUCAUUGAGGAAUUUAAUCAAGUUCUCCAUCUACAUGAGCAUUCAAGAGCUAUUACUCUUAAUGUGGAUAGGAGGACAAGAGAAUUCAGGCAGUGUUUGUUGUCGGCUGAGGUGUCAGAUUUGAACUACUGAGGAAACACAUUUACUUGGUGGAAUAAAUGUAGUGCCAGGCCAACUGUGAAGAAGUUGGACCACAUUCUUGUAAAUGAGGUUUGAUCUACUUUUUUCCCCUCUUCAUAUGCAAUAUGUGGAGAGCAUGGUUUUUCAGACUAUGCUUCUUGUGUUGUCGUCUUGGAGUUGGGUUCUCAAAGGCAGAGGAGACCUUUUAAAUUCUACAAAUUUUGCCUCCAGAACCAAGACUUUUACCCUCUGGUUUGUGAACAUUGGUUCUCAUGUAACAUGGUGGAAUCAGCAAUGUUAUGUCUCUCAAGGAAGCUUAAGCUUCUGAAAAAUGUCAUAUGUAGAUUCAGUAGAGAUAAUUUCUAGGAUUCAGAGAAAAGAGUUAUUGAAGCUCAUGAGAAGCUUUUGCUUUGCCAGUCUUAGACUCUAACUGAUCUGUCUCGAACAAAUGCAAAACUGGCGUUUGAAGCACAAAGAAAGUGGCAGAUCCUGGCAAGUGCUGAAGAGUCCCUUUUCUGCCAGAGAUCAAGUGUAACCUGACUUAAAGAAGGUGAUUGUAACACUUCUUAUUAUCACAGAAUGACUGCAUCUAGGAAAGCCAUAAAUCACAUUCACUUCCUUAUUGCACCAGAUGGAGAACAUUUUGAAUAUCAAACAGGAGUUUAAGAGCAUUGUGUUGAUUAUUUCUCACACUUUAUGGGUUGUGAGGUUGGUCCCCAGAUGCUGAUCUAGUCGGAUAUGGAGCUCCUCCUUCCAUUUUGAUGCUCUCAGGCCCAAAAAGAGAGUAUGAUAAAGAGCUUCUCGAAGGAGGAAAUCAAACACCUGCUUUUCUCAUUGCCAAAAAACAAAACCAGUGGACCUAAUGGGUAUUCCGCUGAGUUUUUCACCUGUUACUGGAGUAUUGUAGGGCUGAGGUAUGUGAGGCAGUUGAAGAAUUCUUCCGAUUUGGAAAGCUGCUUCAGCAAUGGAACACUACAACUUUGAUCCUCAUUCUCAAUAUCACAAACGCCUCUUCAACAUCUGAUUUCAGGCCAAUAUCCUGUCUCAACACUAUUUACAAAGUCAUAUUCAAGUUAUUGGCAACCAGAUUUCAGAAGAUCCUGUCUCAGGUAAUAUAUCCCUCUUAAUAGGUUUUCAUGCCAGGUAGGCUGCUUGCAGAAAACGUUCUACUGGCUACGAAAAUUAUGCAUGGCUAUAACUGGAGGAACAUCGAUUCCAGAGCAAUGCUUAAGGUGGAUCUUAGAAAGGCAUUUGAUUCAGUAAGAUGGGACUUUGUCCUCUUGACCUUAAAAGCGUUGGAGUUAUCAGAAAUAUUUGUUAAAUGUAUCAGUCAGUGCAUCACAACUCCCUCGUUUACAAUUUCAGUUAAUGAUAUCACCAGAUGCUACUUCAAAAGCGCAAAAGGAUUAAGGCAAAAAGACCCUCUCUCUCCUUACCAUUUUUCCUUGCAACGGAGGCCUUCUCAGGAUUUUCCACUCUAGAUUUGAGGCUGGGUAUAUCCAUUACCAUCCCAAGACGGCAGAACGGAACAUAUCUCACCUGAUAUUUGCAGAGGACGUGAUGAUUUUUUUUAUGGUGGGAGUUCAUCGUUACACAGCAUAACUGAAGGAUUAGAAAACUUUGCGUCUUGGUCAGGAUUGCACAUGAACAGAGACAAGACUCAACUAUUUCAGGCAUGAGUAAACCACAUUGAAUCCACUGCAAUGGCAAGCUAUGAAUUCACUGUAGGUUCACUAUCAAUCCAAUACUUGGGUCUUCCCCUUAUGCAUCGUAAACUGAGACUCUCUAAGUAUGACCUCCUUUUGGAGAAGCUUGCUAAUAUAUUCAGAUCUUGGGCUGUUACAACCCUCUCAUUCCCAGGGAGAGCUCAGCUGAUUGCUUCAGUGAUAUUAGGAACCGUCAACUUCUAGAUUUCCACGUUUAUGCUCCCCAAAGGUUGUAUUAAAAAUUGAAUCUCUGUGUGCUAGGUUAUUGUGGUCUGGUAGUAUUGUGACAAGAUGAGGAGUAAAAGUAGCAUGGUUUACUGUGUGUUUGCCUAACUCUGAAGGAGGUCUGGGCCUGAGAAAAUUUUCUGUGUGGAACAAGACGCUAUGUCUGCGGUUCAUUUGGUUACUAUGCUCUGAAAGUGGAUAUCUCUAGGCUGAAUGGCAUAUCAGAGCUUCUGGUUGGUGGAGGCAUAUUCAGCUGAUUCAUGGACGUGGAAAUCUCUAUUGGAUCUUAGACCAUUGGCUGAAAUGCUCUUAGGAAAUCUGUUGGAAAUGGACGAAAAACAAAUUUUUGGUUGGAUUUUUGGACACCUCUUGGUCCACUAAUUAAACUUCUGGGUAAUGAUGGCCCGAGAAAUAUCAGGCUCCGUCUUUCUGCUAUAGUCGCAGAUACAUGCACAAUGGAGACUUGGAGAAUCCCAUCGCCAAGAUCUGUAGCACAGCUGAGUCUCCAUAUGCACCUAACGACUAUCAACUUACCUUCUUCCUCUCAGAUCGAAGAUGACUGUUUUUGGUUGGAAAAUGGUGUUAAGUGCAGCCAGUAUUCCUCCUCUAAGACUUAGGAUGAUCUAAGGCCACAACAAGGUGAAACAGUGGUCUAAGCUUGUAUGCUUUAAAGAUUGUGUUUCGAGGCAGGCUUUCAAUAUAUGGAUUGCACACUUGAAUAGGCUCCCCACUAGAGCCAGAAUAGCUUUUAGAGGAACAAAUAUAUUCACAGAUUGUUGUCUUUGUUCCAGAGACGAGGAAACGAGAGAUCAUUUGUUGUUCAGUUGUGCUUAUAGCUCGGAAAUCGGAAAUCUGGAGGCUGAUACUUACAAGGUUAGACCAUACCCAGAGUCUGUUCAUCUUGUGGUCGGAGUUGUUAUCAUGGAUAAGUAUGCGUUCUGAUGCUGCCCCUUAUACCUGAAAGGUGGUGGCUCAGGCUAUGGUUUACCACAUUUGGAUGUCAAAGAAACAAUUUGCUGCACAACUAAUAAAGGAUUCCUGCAUCCAGCAUUUUCAAGUCCAUUGAUCGUGUGACUCGAAACACCAUUACUACGAGAAGACAAAGACGUUGCUUUAGCAACUUUAAUGUCUCUUUGGCUUCAAUGAAACAAUAUAAAAUCUAAUUUACUGUGUAUUGUUCUCCUUGUUUUUUAUUUCUUUUUUGCCAAGGAAGUUUUGUAACAGGUUAGCAUCUUUUAUAACCUUCUUUUCAUUUUAAUGAUAUUAACAUUCAUAGCAAAAAAAAAAAAAAAAGAAAUGGUACUUGCAAUGUUUUACACCAUGUUUGUGUUUUAAAAAUAUUUCACACUACAUAUUCAAAGUUAUAAUGCAGGAUACAAUUUGUUUCUAGUCGAAAAGGUCAAAAAUAUCCAAAUUUUUUAUGUGGUGUUUUCAAGAAUUAUGCUUUUAAGAGAAUUUAAGAAAAUCGGACUAUUCUAUCGAGAUACUAUAACUUAUUCAACAGAAUAUCUAAAGCAUUUGUUCUGAAAGCAAGAAUUCUAGAUGCUCUUCUCCCCAUUUGUUUUUGGUCGAAUGCCACAAAAGAUGUUGAGAAUUAGGCACAAGAACCGGGUUCAAUAAGUUGACAAAUACCAAACCGAGGACCGACGUGGAAUCGUGGAGAAAAAGUUACAUUACAAUAAAGAUAAAUAAAGAAAAGGGAAGAUGACGUAAAGCUCAGAUUUGGAGCCUAACGAACUCCACGUCACCGCCUAAGUUCAUCCAUUGAAAUUUGACGGCGUCUUCUACUCUUCUAUCAUAACCCUUCGUUCUUUCAUGUGAACCACGUCACCGCCAUUCUCUUUUUUUUUUCUUUCUUAAUACAUUUCUCAAUAUGCGUCCAAUAUCAUAAAUAUAAUAUAUAUAUAUAUAUACAAUUUAACCUAUUAAGGCAUUGCAACUUGUAGUGAACUUUCAAAGGAACUUGCAUCCACAAAUUUAAACAUUUUUGCAUGUUGUAGAAUUGAACACGAAUAAUAAAGUGUGUAUUGAUGAUACACUUGUGUUACUUAUUUGACAAUUUAUUUGGUUUUCUUAGAAAAACUGAAACUGGCUUAUACAGUAUGUUUGUACACAUUUUUUGUAUUCGAAGAAAUUGGGGCAUCAUACAGUGACAUUGCUAUUAAUGUUUCUUCUAUAUCAAACCAAGUGAUAACAAAAUAUAAAAAGUAAUAAUGUUGACUUGUAAAUAAAGUAAGAAAAUUAAAUUCUGUCAUUUCAGAAGAGGAAGUAUGUCACAUGUAUAAUAGAUCAUCGAUACUUUUCAUGAGAACUUCCACAAGAAAGCCAUUGACUUCUUAUACCUUUCUCAAUUUUCCAGCUUGACCCAUUUUUUUCUUUUGAAGUUAUGAGAACUUUAUGUAUAAAAACAUUUUAGACUAGACCUCAAGAAAAUUCAGAUAUUUUUAUAAUUUGUGAAAAAAAUGUUGAAAUAAAUUGAUUGGAUUAUUUCUAUUACUAACGUUAAUCCAGUAUUAUGGUGGUCUAUAUUAUUAUUAUAGCCACCUAUACGGAAUGUUGAUGUGCCAAACAAUGGAGACACACAUUGUGUACUUGGAUUAAUGAAUAAAAUGACAUGUAUCAGUCUAUGGGACACAUAGUAAACUAGAUUAUUUCAUACCUAAAAUGCUAUAAUAUUUGAUUGAUAAAUGAUAAGAACAAAGAAAAGUUCUUGCAAGUUUGAAAAAAAAAAAGAGAAUAUCUUGACUCGUGCGGAUCUCAAACUUUUCUUUUCUAUCCUCUUCUCAAAUUAUAUUCCAAGUAAAACACGCAAUUACCAUAAGAGUUAAACAAUAUAAAAAGAGUUCUCAACUAAAUCUUCCAAAAGAGGCUUUCUCUUAUGGUUCACAUGUAAGUAUAUACUUUAAUUUACAUAAAAUUUAAUUUAACGAAUCCUAAUGAGCCUAUUUUCUGAACACGUACAAAUCAAUUUAAUGCAUAUCUUCACAUUUACACAAGAAUAAAGAAACUACACAUAUUUUUACUCCAUUGCUUCUGAAUUUAUAUAAUUCUUUCCAUUUAAUAUGAUUGAGUUUUUAUCCCUCUAACAAGGAAAAAUAUUAUAUAUAGAUACAAGGAAAGCCCAUUUCAUUAUCUAUCUUCUCUUUGAUUCAGCGAGCGAAAUAAAAACAAAAGGCCAAAAAUGGGUGCAGACGCAAUCCAAACGAACGGUCACGAUCCCGCCAAGUUAACCGCCGCGAGAGGGAUCCAACGGUUGAGAUGCGCCGUGAAGAACUACGAGUGGGGCAAACUCGGACCGGACUCACUUGUUGCGAGGCUCCACGAGGCGAAUUCAGGGGACCGAGUCGACCCGGUGGUUCCUCACGCCGAGUUGUGGAUGGGUACUCACGAGUCGGCACCGAGUUACGUUGUGAAGGAAGAAGAAUUCGGGUCGGGUCGUAAUGGAUCCGAAUGCAUGGUUACAUUGAAAUCAUGGGUUUUGGAUUAUCCGAAUUUACUCGGGUCUAGAGUCGUGGACAAAUGGGGUUGUGAUCUUCCUUUCCUCUUCAAGGUAUUAUAUUUUAAAAGUUUCCAAUUAAAACAUGUAUAUUCAAAACCUUCUUUCAAAAAAAAAAAAAAACAUGUAUAUUCAGAUUCUGUUUAUGGUAAAUCUUUUUGUUUUUCCAGUUUUGUCUCAUACAUAAUUGUUCAGGAACAAAAGUAUUAUUUAUUUGAUCCUAAGAUUCUCAUUUUGAAUAUUUUUGCUCUGUUUUGAGGAUUUUACUUUUUGACUCUGUUUUCUUAUAAAAUUUCUAAUUAAAAGUCAAAACAUAUAUAUAUAUAUAUAUAUAUAUGUAUUUUUUUGUAAUUUCAGAUUCUGUGAAUUGUCAAUUUCUCCACUUUUUAUAUUUACAUAUAUUAUAUAUACAGCCAAUUUGUCUUGUUAGAUACAUAUAUAUUUUGGCUCUGUUUUGAGGAUGAUACAUUUUAACUCUGUUUUCUCAAUUUAUAAAAAUGCAUUUCUUUUUCUCUGUGUGUUUUAAAUUUAAAACAUAAAGGUUUGAUUCUAAUGAAUAAGAGUUUGAUGUUGAAAUGUGCAAAAAAUAAAAACAGGUUUUGUCAGUGACGAAAGCAUUGUCGAUUCAAGCACAUCCAAACAAAGCCUUAGCAGAGAAAUUGCAUAGAGAAGAUCCUCUUCUUUACAGAGAUGCUAACCAUAAGCCUGAGAUUGCUCUCGCCAUUACUCCUUUUCAAGCUCUUUGUGGUUUCGUAUCUCUUAAUGUACUAGAUUCUUCACUUCUCUGCAAACAUCUAAUUUAGUCGGUUUUUGAUUUAGAUAACUUCGGUUAUUUUGCCUAUCACAUAUGCUAAAUCCAAAAUUGAACCGGUUCUGUACCACUUUUGAUAUCAAAUUCAGGAGCUGAAGGAAGCCAUCGCCAAUGUACCAGAAAUCACAGAGCUUGUCGGAAGUAAAGCAGCAGAUCAAAUCUUCAAAGUCAACGAACACGAUGGAGACGAAACAAGUGUUAAAUCCGUUGUCCGUUUGAUUUUCACGCAAUUGAUGUCUGCAAACAUCAAUGAUACAAAGCAAGUCAUAUCACAGAUGAAGAUUCGUCUGAUCUCAGAAACAAACCACCGUGAGUUAUCGGAGAAGGAGAAGUUAGUAUUGGAACUAGAGAAACAGUAUCCAGGUGACGUGGGCGUGAUCUCAGCAUUCUUCUUUAACCACGUCAAGCUUAAUCCCGGAGAGGCUUUGUAUCUUGACGCCAACGAGCCACACGCUUACAUUUCCGGCGACUGUGUUGAGUGUAUGGCGGCUUCAGACAACGUUGUUAGAGCUGGUCUCACUCCGAAACACCGCGAUGUUCAAACUCUGUGUUCUAUGCUGACCUACAAAUUGGUAACUUUCUUUACACGUUAACGUUUUUUUUGGUUUAGUUGGCUAGCAAAAUUUGGAUUGUACCCUAACCCUAACCAAAACCGAAAAUUUAUUUUUCUUUGUUUGGUUAUUGAUUAAUUGUACCGGAUUUGUUUCAGGGCUACCCGGAGAUUUUGAAAGGAUUUCCUCUGACUCCAUACAUUACGAGAUACCUUCCACCAUUUGAUGAGUUUGAAGUGGACCAUUGUGAUCUUCCUAGAGAGAAAUCCACUGUUUUUCCGGCCAUACCAGGGCCAUCGGUUUAUCUGGUUAUUGAAGGAAAAGGGACAUUGAAAACCGGUUCAUCUCAAUUGUUGGUUAAACGAGGAGAUGUUUUGUUUGUUCCGGCACAUAACGAGAUUCACGUAACCGGAGAAAGUGAUGUGAUGAAGCUUUACAGAGCUGGAGUCAGCAGCAGAUUCUUUCAAACAAUGUAGACUAAGUAAAGAUACAUAUAUAUAUAUUUAAUUUGUUAUCUAAAUGUAACCAUAGGGAUCAAGGCAUUGACGUGAUCAUAGUCAAUAUUGGUCCAUGUUCUUUAAUCCUACAAAUGUCCCAUUACGAAUCAAGGGUUCAAGGGGUUGUUUUUCUAUUAACUUUUGUUGUUUCUUCUACACCUUUAAAAUUGAAUUAUAUAUGUAAAAUGAUUAUAAAACAAUGUUUUUUUUUUUACUUUUUGCUAUUGUAGUGUAGUAACUAGUAAUUAUUCUUCCUUUACCUGUUUAAACUUUAAUUUCUAGAACUACUCUGCAAAAGCACAUUUGUUCAGUUGUAAUAUGUAGAGAUCGAACCACAGAGACGAGAAAUUCGCUCAAUAAACCUAAUAGACUCUAAUUGCGCUAAGAAGAAAUAAUGAAAUUGAGAGCAGCAAUGCAAUAAAAAACGGUUUUAAAUUCGAUGGGAAAGAAUUAGGCUCAGGGUGUUUCACAGAAAAUCAGAGAAUGCAGACAAAUCGAUUAGUCAUGAUUCAGAUUUAAGCGCAAUUCUUGAACUCAAAUCACGAAAUUAUAAUUAACUAACUUUUGUUGCGAAAAUUAUUUAAAUCUAAAUCCCAGAAUCCCAAUUUUCUUUGCAAUCCUAAAGAUAUAAAUUAGCCUUAAGUGCAGGUUCGAUAUGUUCACAAAGUGUCUAAACCAAUUUUUUUUGUGGAUAGCUACUUUGCUCAUCCUAGGUUCUUUCGGAUUAUUCAAUUACAGUUUCGUGUCAAUCAAUUAACCUAAGAUCUAAGUUCUAGGUGAUCAGUCCAAAAUUAGCUUUAAGAAUAAUCUAUGGUGAAUUACUAAUCAGAUUAUGACCCCUAACUAAUUAAUUAUCUAAAAUUCAAAGGGAUCCCUUAUGAGAACCCUAAACCUAACAAACAAACUACUCAAAUAUGGAGAUUGAAUCAAUAAACAUGAAUGAAUAGAUUGCAGAAAGCAGUAAAAAGAUUAAUAAACAGAGGUUCAAAAUCUUCUCUCAAACAAACAGAGUCUCAGACUUGUCUCCCUAAAAGCUCUCUCAAGAUCAAUAGAAAUCAAAAGUCUCAAAGAAAAUCUAGAGUGUAGCCAAAACACGUGGCUGAAAACCCUAUCAAAAGCUAAAACACAUGUUGGACUUCCCUGUAAAUAUUGGAGACUUCUGGGCUCAAGAGAUUCUUUAAAACUUAGACAAAAUCACGUUUUUCCUUAUUCACGACAUUGGUGUCGAGCAACACCAAAACAUAUAAAUCAUCUUUCACGAAUUUGAUCCCUGCUUAGUUCCAAAAUGCUCUAAAAUCUCCAAUUAAACUCCAAAUACAUUUAAGACCUGAAAAGACUCCAAAAAAUUAAAAAAACACUAAAGAGACUCUAUAAAUAAAACCUAUCAUGAUCAAAAACCAUAAAAAAAAACCAUGAUAUAUCAUUCUCCAUGAUAAGCAUUUUUCGAAUGGUCUGAGUCGAACAAAACAAUGUUCUCUAAAGUAUAAGGCCAAUUCUUUUUGCCUCCCUCGUCACUUACCUUUUGUUUGUGGCUUCCAUGGCAUAGACUAGAGAGAUGACCCCGAGAAGACCUAAUCUAGCACGCAUUUGUUUGGAUGUUGCUAAUGUUCCGUUUUAAAGUACAUAUGCAAAGAUCGUGGAAAGUAAAACGAACUCAAUCUUAAGUCUUGAGACAAUGAUUUUUGCCAAUUUUCCGGUAAGCUUUCCCGGUGAAAUCUUUCACUGGAAUGACCUGAUUAUGGAUGCGCUGGAAACUUGAGUACUAUAACGUGAUAUACUUAUAUGUCAAAAUCGAAUUUAAACUGAAUGAGAAAUGAGGAUUCUUAGAGAGUAUAGCUUGAAAGCUUAAAAAUAACAUAAGUUACCAAAUGACAAGUGUGAUUUGUCCCACAUUAGCAAUUCAACGUUACAUUUUGAACGUAGUGUUACGUUCUCCCCUUGAUAAUACUCAAUAGAUCUGCUUCUAGCCUGUCCCAACAAUCUGAUUCGGAUUGAGAAUUGCGGUUUUUGCGAACGUUGUUAAAGAUUUCCAAAAAAAAAAAUAUUUCAUUACGGCUUUUCACAUCAAAUCGGAAAAACUCUGCUUAGUUUUAACUUUUUAGGGAAUUUGAUAAAUAUUUGACAAACUUUGUGAAAAUAACUUUUGGAGUAGCAAAAUUCCGCAAAAAAAAAAAAAAAACUCAGAGUAAACUUACUGACAAAAGAAAAAAGUUUCCUCAAGUUGGUUUAGUCGCAUUCCUUUUGUCAAGCACUUAAUCCACUACAAAGACGUUUUGUUGUAAUUUAACCGAACUGAACAAUCAUUCCAAAUCUUAAUAAGCAGCUAAAGAGAGACAUUGAGAGACCAAGAUAAACCGGUUUACUUGCACCUACUUGCUGUUUGUUAAAGCUUUGGUUACAAAAUGUGAAACGAUUCCAACCGGACAGAAGAGAAGGCACAAUGAAACCGAAUGCCUCGUCUCAAUCUUAUUCUCUAGCCCAUCAUUAAAAACUUGCCUGCAGAGAAACACUCAAAACAUGAGUUAUAAGAAACAUGCUAGGAUCAAUCAGAACCUGAAAAGUGCAAUAUAGUACCUUGCAGCGAAAAGAUCUAUAACAAGAAGAUGAAUCCAAGCAGAAGCAAGAGUCAUUUCACUUGAGAACAUUUUCGCUAUUCCAGACAACUGCAAAUGAAAAAAAAAAAAAGAAAUUUUAGAAACUGGAAUGUACACAUUUUCUUGUUUUCGAUAUUUCCUGAUAAUUGGAGGAAAAAGCUAAAACCUCUGGCAACAUGUAUUUACUGGAAAACAUGUAUUUGAGAGUAUCAGGCGUCCAAGAAAGGUAUAACAAAUACGCGUAUAAUACGCCUAAGACGAUAUACGGUAUGCUACUCUCCAUACACUUUUUGGUCUGCACAAGGAGAAAACAUACACUCAAUUCAAUAUGAACUUUUUUGAUUCUGCACAAGAAGUUGUAAAACUGCUAAACAAAAACUCACAAUUUCAGCUUUUGGAGCUACAACCAUUAGAGUGUAAAAGGGUAAAACAGCGGUUGUUCCAACCGCAAAUACACUGCUUGCAAUCUGAGAAGUAGCUAUCCCUGCACAAGAACAUGUUAUGUCUCUGUCCUACUUUCAAUUUAAACAUUGAAGAGCUAUAGAUUCUAGACAUAUAUCAAGCCUCUUUUUGGUUUAUAAUGUUUCAGUUAAGAGACAUUACAUGAAGCUCGUACACCAGAGGAUUUCUUUUGAACAAGAGAGGACGAGUUCGAUGAAACAUUAGGGAAAAGUGCGAUUUUUGAUCCUCCGAUAAAGCUCCAACGAUUCUGAAGUCGAAUACUUGACGAACCAACGCAUAGUUUAGACUUGACAUUGCUGAGAGAAAGACUUGUUAUCGAGCUCUUAGCUGAAAUGUUGCGAUUCAUCAUCUGAAUCACCAAACAAAAUGAAUCAAUCUGAUGAAAUAUAAAAAACUUCUUUAUUUCUUAAAAUUUAGGAAUCUGAGACCAAAAGCACUUUGAUCUGAACAACAACGAAUCAGGAACAGAGUUAGGUUCUGUAACAGGGACCCAUGAGGAGUAAAUUCAACUUCUUUAAUGUCUGCGUCAAUUCGAUCUGAUUCAAAGGAUAAAACUUUAAGGUUACCCAUAAGGAAUCUGAACUAUUCGAAAUUGUAGAAAGCUCGACAUAAGAAUCUAAUCCGACAAUCUCCAACAACUGUACAUACAUACAUACAUACAUACAUACAUGAUACAUACAUACAUACAUACACACACAUAGAUAUAGACAUAUAUCUGCGUAUACCGAAAAUUGGAGAAGAAUUGAAAAAGGAAGAGAAAAGGUAGAUACCGAGAGAGAUGAAGAAGACAAAGGCUGGGAAAUGCAAGAAGAUAAAGCCAUCUGCGAUUCAAAUCUUCAAUAGUCUUUGCCAGAAUUUGGCCAUUCAUUACCUUCUUCAACGAGCUCUCUCCAUAUAUAUAUGUAAAGUAUCAAUUUUUAGAGAGGAGAGUUGAGAGUUUUCCACUGGUUGAAAAGGGUAAGUGGAGAAGAAGCUAAGAGAAAAAGUGCUCACUCACUCUUUCUUCAUCAGUGUGGACAAUUAUAGUUGCUCAUCCACCCGAAUUUUUUAAAAAAGUUUUGGUCUUUUUUAGUUUUCCUCGUUUACUUCUGUUUCGCAUAAACAAAAAAAAAAGAAAAAACCAUUAUGAGUUUGAGUUAAUUUUAAAGAGAAAAUCAAAUUUAAAGAUUCUUUAUAUUGUAUGUUCAAAAUUGCAAUAUAUUAUGGAAAAAAAGAGAAGAUUUUUUCCUAAUUUUAGAUAAAAACCUUUAAUAAAAAUCAAAAAAUUAUUAAGAUAUUAAUUUAACCUUAUAUUUUAGAUAUUGUUCUUUUUCUGGUCAAUAUAAAAAAUUACAGUUUACCAUUCUUAUAUAAAAAAAAAUUAAUUAGACUCAAAUGGAAUGUUUUUAUUUUUUUAACAAGAAUAUAACUUUCAUAGAACCUAAUACCCAAAAAAAAAACAUUUGACCCGACUAAAUUAAAAUUCAAGGAAAGAUUGGAGCUUUGAUCCUUUACUCGAUAAAAAAAAGGUUCUUCAUUGUAUGAUCAAAUGACUUGUCGGAUUGUAUUUGUAGGUGGCUCAUCGUAGGAUUAAUAGCUUCUCGGAUUUUGUUAUCCUUGUCUUGUGUUUUGCUUUUUCCGUGAAGAUCAAAAUUUUCUUCUAUACAUUCCUGCUAUAUAUUCCAUCAUGUUCUACCGGUUACACUUAUAAGCCUAUAAGGAUAUCUAAUCUACUUUUUUAUUUGAUAAAAACCUAAUAUCUUUGUUAAUGGAUAUUUGUGCUUAAACUGAAUUUAGACACAACACAGGUCUAGUUCAGGACAGAACAAGACAAAAGUGACAGUGCUACUUCUACUCAGCAGUGGUUGUGACUUCCUCUAAAGACAAAAGUUGGUGUUUCCACCAUUAUUUCGGUUUUGCUUUUAUUAUAUAUUUUAUUUUAAUUUAUUUUUCGCUACAUGAGAAUUGCAUUAACGAAGGACAUUAUAUAUGAAAACAAAAAAAAACAAUAAAAAGAUAUACAUACAUGUGUCUGACACUCAUUGUUUGUGAAAUCAGUUGGGAGUAAGAUAGCGCUUGAGUGGGCUAUUUGGUAUGAUAGCUUCUCUCUAUUGAUGGGCCUUAUUGACCCACCCCACUUCAGUUUUGUUUAGUCAUUCACAACAAGAAAAACAUGAAAACAAAAGCAACACUUGUCUUUUCUAUCUCUCAAUCUGUAAGUGGUAUAUGCGCAUUUCGUUGAAUUCGAUUGAGACCAAAACUCUUUUAAAACAUAAUGUAUAGUUCUUAGGAUUAUAUGGGGAAAAUAUAUGAUGUCUCAAAGAUUUUUCAUAACAUAUUAUAUUCCUUAUAAUAAAAGGUCACCUGGGGUUUUUCUAUAAACCGGGGUUUUUUUAUAAACCGCCGGCUUUUCUAUAAACCGCCGGCUUUGUCUCUGGAGAUGUUGUAUCAUCUGCCGGCUUUGUGUAAUCCGUUGGCUUUGCUCUGUAACACUAUGGUGAUCAAUAUAAUAAUAUUCAAUGAAAAAAAAAAAAGGUCACCUAAAUAAUUAAAAAUUUGAAUUUUUACGACUCAUAUUUCUAUCCUAUUCCAAAGCUAGGAAAACAACAUAAAGAGUUACAAAUUCUUACUAUAUAGUACUUCCAACAAUAUCUUUAUGUAAAUUUGUGCCAAGUCAUUUUGAGUGGAAAAUGUAGAAUAUAUGAUCCACAAGAUCCUUGAAUAUACUUGGGUAUAUAGAAAUAAAAAUGAAUAUCCGAGACUCUUAUCUACAAGCCUAUCCUUAAGAAGGCACGUCCACGAAUGUUUCUAUCACAGAUUUUCAGUGGGCCAUCAUCUAUUACUUCAAGAUAUUGUUCUAAAAAUGCAUCUCAACCUCAAGCUUACUAAUCAUGUGACAAAAGUGAUAAUGUGAAUCUAGUUUUUCAAAUAAUUUCUUUAUUCAAUGACGACUAAUCAAAGAGUUGGUAUAUUUUUGUAUUCACAGUUCUUCAACUUUGUAUAUUUUCAUAUCUUGAGCCGCAUUGUAAUUUGUUUUUUCUUAUAUGCAAAAUUCAAAAUCAAAGAUUUAUAGAACAUUACAUAUUUAUUUCAUCAGACAUUUGAGAAUCCGAUAGAAAAUGUCUCGCAAACCGGAAAACAAACGUUAAAUCCGGAAAUUAAAACAAAACUAAGGAAACCAAAAAAAAAAAAGCAGAUGAUAAAAUCAAAGGUGAGGAGGGAGAUAAAGUUUUUUUUUUUUGAUGUUUACACAAAGCAAAGAAGCAGUGAAAUUAAGCAUCGGUGAAGCUUGCUGGCUUGUAGGCGAUGAAACUGAUGCACUGGACUUGACGGGUGUUGUCGAAUCCGAUGAUCCUAAUGAAGGCCUGGGGGUACUCCUUCUUGCACUCUUGCACUUCCUUCAACACUUGAGCUGAGUCAGUGCAUCCGAACAAAGGAAGCUUCCACAUUGUCCAGUACCGUCCAUCGUAGUAUCCGGGAGUGCUUCCGUGCUCACGGUGCACAAAUGCGUUCUACAAAAACACAUUACACAAAACCAUUCAAAAACAUAAAUCAAGAUUCUGCUUAGGACCUCUAAAUAGUUAUUAACUUGAUUGCAAGAUUCAUAUGGUCCAAGAGAUCAAGCUACUCUAUAAAUGAUUUUUAUUACCUCCAACUCGAAUUCAACACAGGGAAUCCACUUGUUGCGGAGAAGGUAGUCAACUUCCUUAGCCAAUUCAACUUCGGUUAGGUCAGGAAGGUAAGAGAGAGUCUCAAACUUCUUCUUACCAAUAGGAGGCCACACCUAUUUUUUGCCAUUUUUCCAAAAUCAACAAAAACAAUAUUAGUUUAUAUGAUUCGAUAAAUCAAAAACCCAUAAAUUUGUUUUUGGUAUAAGAGAUUUGACCUGCAUGCAGUUAACUCUUCCGCCGUUGCUUGCGAUGGAAGUAAUGUCGUUGUUGGCCUUACGGGUCACAGGGAAAGCAGCGGAGGACUUAAGUCCGGUGAAAGGUGCGACCAUUGUGGCCUGAGCCGGAGAAGCGACCAUUGUAGCGGAAGAGAGCAUAGAGGAAGCCAUAUUGCCUUUACUCUUUUUGUGUGUGACUUAGGUUUGGUCUAGUGCUUUGGUCAUCUAUAUAUAAUGGUAACAACAAUGAUAACAAGGUGAGGGAGUGAUCGGAGGGCUCA
rnacentral:lncRNA from 1 species